rnacentral:lncRNA from 1 species
GGCAAGUCCAGCCUUGCUCCAUUCUUCUUCUUCCUUCUCCUCUUCCAUGCUUGGCCUUGAUCCUUGGAUUCUCCAUGGUCAUCUUGGUUGUACCUGAGUGUAUGCAAGGUCCAUGCAUGAGGUAGUAGCCGUGUCUCAUAUGCGGAAAGUGACGGUUCGAAGAGGAGUGAAUUCACCUUGUGUCCAAUGGCGUAUGUUCGAGGUCUCGUCAUAUGUCCUCUUGGGGCUUGGAGAGUAGUCGGAGUGUACAUGGGGAUGAACGUGGGAUGCUCCGCAUCAUAUCCCCCCCCCCUUGGGAAAGAUCCGACCUCGGAUCGUGAUCCUCAUCACCAUGGAAACGGUUGUCGUGGACGGACUUGUAGUUGGACGAAGUUGAAGACAUGGUGCAAUCCGCGUAGUCCAAGGUGUCGCCGGAGUGAUAGACCUGCAAAAAGAGCAAACACAAGCAACACUCAGAAAUAUAAUGGUUAGCGCACACAAAGUGUCCAUCAUGUAAGAAUGAGUCUGUGCGGCAAGAUUGGUUGUGACAAAGUGCAUGAAGCUUAUCAAGAUGAUCUAGAAUGAGAUGCAAAGCAUUCAUGGGAGGAAAUGCAAUCAUUGUGCACACAAAUGUGUUGUAAAUAUGAUCAAUGCAACCACGGUGCAAAAUGAUGUCAUAGUGAGACGGUUUAUCAAUAGCAUGAAUAUGGCAAUGGAUGCUCAAUAUGUAUAUGUUAUCAUGCAAUUGAUGAUGGACAAUAUGAUCAUGAUGUAUAAAUAUGCCUUCAAGGUAGAUCACAACAAAUUUGCUAUGGAAAUGCGCAAGCUCAUAUAUCAUGGAUGACAUGGGAAUACAAGAUGCAACAAGGCAAUCAUAAUGUGAGUCAAUCCUUGCAUGAGGUGCAAACUUGUGGUAAGUAUGAUAUGUCCAUCGAGCAUGACAUGUAUGAGCACAAUCAACAAAUAUGAAGGUGGUACUGUACCAAAGCUCGAUGUCGAGGCAUGAGUGGAGUGCCGAAGGUGCAUCCAAUAAGUGCAAGCGUUCCUCGAUGUGAAGGUCCAUGUAGCCAAUCUCCAAUGUCGCUCCUCAGUUCACGAGAUGUAUCAUGUAGACAACAAGAAGGAAACAACAAUGAAAGAGUGACCCAUCCAAUAUGCGUAUUUGAGGAUGGCUCAAAGAGAAGGAGUUCACCUCAAGAUAGUUCCCAAAGAUGUUGGAGUCCUACAUCAUGUAUGCCUUCACAUAACCAAUAUGUCUCAUGACGGUAUUGCCUUGUGAAUCCUUCAAAAUGAAAUAACAUGACAAACACUCGGAAAAACAAAUGAGGUUAGCGGAAAUGCAAAACCUAUCAUUCAAGUGGUAAGAUACCCAACAAGUGUAUGCAUCAUGCUCAUCAUAAGAAUGGACAAGGGAGCAUUUCAUAGUAUGAAGGCUUAUGAUGUAAGAACAACCGAAUACAAGAGGCUCAAUCAAACAAUCAUGCAUCACAAGUAAAGUGUCCAAGUCUCCAAGAUCAAUAAGCAUAGCAAGUUGGCACUCAAUACAAGGUGAUAUGACAGAUGCAACUAAUGGAGACAAGAGGCAAUGAUUAUGACAAAUCAAGUGAGAGGCAUGAGCAUAUAUGUCAUCAACCCAAGAAAGCAAGUGAUAGUUGAACAUGGGUGAUGCAACCAAGCAAGCAGUCAUAGCAAUCACGUCAAGCAAGCUAGUAGUGCGAAGAUGCAACAUACUAGAAGGAAUCAUGGCAAGCAUGUCAUGUGUGCAAAUAGUGGGCAAGAAUAAUGGACAUGACAUAGCACAAACAUGAAAGCAAGAUAUGAGCAAAAUAUCAUCAAUGUAUUGGCGAGAGACCAUAUGUGAAUAGCAAUGGGGCAUCAUGACUCUUCCAACACAACAAGCAUCAAUAGCAUGGGGCACAUGAUAAACAUGGCAAAAGCAACAAGGAUCUCCACCAAGCAUGCAAGUACACAUAGGGAUAUCAUAAUGGUGAAUCAUGGGUAGAUGCAAGCAAGGGUCAUAAUUGCAUGGCAAAGGCAUAGAAGCAAGAAUAACAUGCAAAGUGAACACAAUAGUGUGGGCAUAAGGUGACAAGUGGUAAAUAGCCCAUAGCCGUGUGAGAGCCAAGUAAAAAAGAUGCGCGUAGUCCUUGCGAAGGGAACGGUGGUAAGGAUAGUCCACGGGAUCCCAAGUCAUCGUUGCUCUCAAGAGCUCGUUUCGUCAACUCAUGGGAUUGUGAGGUUGACGAGUGUUCAUAAGUACCUACACAAAACAAAGACAAAGAGAAAAUUGUGUGUGCAUGGUAUAUGUACACAUCAUCCAUCAUGAUGCGCACGUGCAUGUGUCGGUUAGUACUAAAUAGCCAAUGCUCAAAUAAAUGAGAUGCGUUAUAUAGAAACAUGUCAUCCAUCAUGAGAGGUUUGUUAUUAUGUAUGUCAUAAUGGAGACUCAAAUUGUGUAAUGCAUCAUGAGAAAUAUCUAGAGCAUUGUUAUUCAUGGAAUGCAUAAGGUGCAAGCAAUCAUGGGAAUCAUGCAAAGUAUGAAAUGCAUCAAGAUCUCCUAAUAUGUAUGAGGAAACUAUGGGGGUCUCCUCAUGAACAUGAGUAGCAACAUCACAUGGAGAAUAUUGACAACAUCCAAAACAAUGCAUAUUCGAAACAAUGUGAUCAUGGCAUGACAUAGUAGAUGAAUUGCACAAAUCAUGUAAAGGAAGCAUGGCAAUAUCAUCACAAGAGAAGCAAAAGCCAAUGACCAUCAUCUCGUCAUCUAUGCCAUAAGUGCAAAUGGGAUUGAUCUUAAUGCGGCAUGCAUAGUUACUAUGUUGAGAUUGAAAUGAAGCAAUAUGGGAGAUCUCACUCAUAGCAUAUGACAAGUUCAAUGGAUUGUCAAACAUGAAGUGACCAAUAGAAUUUUCACAUGAUAUCCUAUGAAGCAUAGCAUCACAACUAGGCAACUCAACAUGCUCAUCAUCAUAUUCAUCAUAAAUAGGUAAGUCAAGACAUGAGGAAGUCGCACUAGCAUGAAGCAUGGUAAUAGGUGGGUCAACAUCAUGGGAGCAACCAUUGUCAAGAGCGUCCACUAGUGGGACAAGAGAAGCACCAUCACCUAUGUUACCUUUGGAGCAUAGCUCAUGUGUUGUAGGUGAGGUGUUGAAGAUCCAAUCAUUGUCAUCUUCAUCUUGAUGGAACCAUGUGGGGGGCGCAUCAUUGUCCACCAUGGCCAUCGGUUUUUCCAUUGGAGGGAUGGACUCGUCGAGGAUAGGCAUGUCGUCAUGUAGGAGACCUAGCACCAAAGAAGAAAACACACUAGGAGUAGACGUUAAGUCGUUAGAAAUCAUAGUGGUCUCACAUGCUGUGUCAACUACCUCACUCACUAAGUGUUGUGGCUCACUCACUCCCUCAAGGAUGCUCUCACUCGUAUGGUAGGUGGAGUCACUCAAAUGGCUCUCAACCUCACAUAGGAUGUGUUGCAUGCUCUCAUGUGUGGGGCUAGUGGUGGUCACACUCAUCCUCUCAUAGGAAAUGCUCUCAAUGUCACGUAUGGUGGAGGCACUCAUGUCACUCAUGUGGUGGUGGCUCUCCUCACAUGGCACUUUGGGCAUCUCUUCAUAUGUGGGUGUCGGAGAGGUGUAGGUGCAAAUGUCUCCAUGCGCGGUCGCGUAGCUUGACUCGGAGUAUGAGUCUAAUGUGAGCGCCGUCUUCAUGGUGUCGAAGAGGUUCGUGCUCGUCGCCGUGGUCGAAGGGGAUGGCCCUUGCUCGACCGUCUUGUCACUGUCUUGGUGUUGGAGGCCCAUAUGAUGUGGCAGCUCGUAGCUCGUCUCCAUGACCGAAGGGAAUUUCCCAUGCUCGGCCAUCUUCCUUGAGGGGCUUCCGAAGAUGGAAGUGUCACCCUCACUUGUAUGUGGUCGCCUUGGACUUGAUGAAGUCGUUGUAGGCAUACUUGUGGGAAGUAGGCGAAGAUGUCGUACGUCCAUAGGCGAAGAUGCCUUGAGAACACUUGGCGAAGAUGCCGAAGUGGUUGAUGUAGCCGUAGCGCCGUCUUGGUGGUGGUCGUCUCGCGGUCUUCUUUUAUGCUCAUGAAGCUUCAACUUGGCGUGUUGGGACUUGUGCAUUUGUGCUUGUGGAGCAUCUUCAUGAUGAUGGUGUCGUUGUCGCGCUUGAGCUCGAAGGCGUUCGUCGUCGUCGUGCACAUGAUGCUUGGAGGUGACUUGCCCUUCAUGACGAUGUUGAUCACGAACGUGAUGGUGGUCGCCAUGUAGAUGUGGACAAGGACGAUUUGCACUUGCAUCUUUUUCGCGCUCCGAAGACUUGUGGCUUGAACGUCAUCGUCUUGAGGAUGAUGAAGUGGAAGAAGACUUGAUCAAGGCCCGAAUCUCUUCCAUCCUCGCAUCUUGCUCCUCCUUUUGUGCGGCAAGCUUGUUGUUGAUGUAGUCCCUUUUCCUUGCUUCGGAGUGGAAAAUGUCGAUGGAGAUGUUCUCAAUGCGCUCUUGCAAUAUUGAUUGUGCGCCUUGCAUUUGUCAUUGUAGAUCGAAGAUAGACGCUUUGGAGAUGUAGUUGUUCACGCCGUCGUUGUUGUCGUAGACCGGAGAGGAAAUGCCUUGCCUAUCCAUCACAAAACUCGAGCAAAUAUGAGUGGGAGAAAGAGAAGAACUUAUACCAAUGUACCUUGACCGAUGUUGAAAAUGAAUCAAGUUCACUCAAAUGCGGACAAUGAAAUAGCACUAUUCGUACCAAUCCUUGUCGGUUCUCACACCUACACAAGUAAAGCUUAUAGUGGAGCUCGGUGAGGAUAGUGGCACAAAAAUUUAAUGCAAAAUGUUAGCAAGAGUCAACUAAUGUUGAAAGAGAUUCACAAAUUCGCAAGUGAAACAAGUAGACCAAUAGCAAUAUGUGUCACACGGAAACACACACACGGAUAGAUAAAUGGGGUCGUGUGAUGAGGACAUCAAUACAAUUGUUACACCCACAGCCCCUGCUGCUAUACAUACUGGACCAAUUACUAGAGCUCGUGCACGCCAACUAAAUUACCAGGUACUUUCGUUUCUUGGUAAUGAUUCUAAUGUUCAUGAGAAUAUGAUGCUGCCUAAAUUGGAUACAUUUGUUUUGCUUACAAAUGAAGGGCCUAGCUUGGAGAAGGAUGAACAUUCGAGCAAGAACAAGCAUGGAGAUGGUGGCAUGCGCAAGGGGAACAAGAACGGAGUUACAAGUGAUGAUUUCAGGACUUUGAAGCCACCAUAAUGGGUGCAUGAAGCCUUGGACGAAAUAUACAAGAUGCCACUUCAUAAAUUUUGUCCCGAGGCUAUUUUAGGUGCUGCGUCACCUUAUUAUUGGGCCAGGCCCAUGUAAUUUCGAAAUACAUAAGUAUAGGCUAUUUUUAGAGUCCGUAUGUGUGGGGAAACAAGAGAUAGGGUUGAUUUCGGACCCCUCCACCAAGGGCCACGAAAUUCCCCCCUCUUCCUCCAUAUAUACAGCCCUUAGGGCAUCGUUUAGACUUUGGGUUUUGUUUAGAUUAAAAGUUCGCCAUAUGAUGAGGACAUCAAUACAAUUGUUACACCCACAGCCCCUGCUGCUAUACAUACUGGACCAAUUACUAGAGCUCGUGCACGCCAACUAAAUUACCAGGUACUUUCGUUUCUUGGUAAUGAUUCUAAUAUUCAUGAGAAUAUGAUGCUGCCUAAAUUGGAUACAUUUGUUUUGCUUACAAAUGAAGGGCCUAGCUUGGAGAAGGAUGAACAUUGGAGCAAGAACAAGCAUGGAGAUGAUGGCAUGCGCAAGGGGAACAAGAACGGAGUUACAAGUGAUGAUUUCAGGACUUUGAAGCCACCAUAAUGGGUGCAUGAAGCCUUGGACGAAAUAUACAAGAUGCCACUUCAUAAAUUUCGUCCCGAGGCUAUUUUAGGUGCUGCGUCACCUUAUUAUUGGGCCAGGCCCAUGUAAUUUCGAAAUACAUAAGUAUAGGCUAUUUUUAGAGUCCGUAUGUGUGGGGAAACAAGAGAUAGGGUUGAUUUCGGAUCCCUCCACCAAGGGCCACGAAAUUCCCCCCUCUUCCCCCAUAUAUACAGCCCUUAGGGCAUCGUUUAGACUUUGGGUUUUGUUUAGAUUAAAAGUUCGCCAUAGCUGCAACUUCGCGUACUUCGUUUGUGUUCAACGACCAGACAAAGGCGUCACAGAACCCCACCUUGAUCAAUAAAGCUUUCAUCUUAUAUUCGCAAUAUCCAGAUUGCAAUCUUAGUUUCUUGCUUGUUCUUCGUUUGCUCGCAGGAAACAGACCCUCGUGGUCAGGUUGAUCGUGCUCCGGCGUGGUCAAUAACCUCUCGGAGUUGGUUUAGCGAUUGCUAAGGCGCGACGUCCUCGCACGUUCGUAGUCGGAUCGUCAAAGUCGACUUCCACCAAAGCGAAAUCCACCAUCUCAUCGAAAGACGGGACACCUUUGCCUCUAUCACUACAUGUCAAAAAGCUAAGUCACGACUCAAUCCUCAUGGUUUAUAUAUGCCUUUGCCUGUACCUAGUGUUCCUUGGGAGGAUAUAUCUAUGGACUUUGUUUUAGGUUUACCUCGAACAAAGAAGGGGAGGGAUAGCAUAUUUGUUGUCGUGGAUAGAUUCUCGAAAAUGGCACACUUUAUACCAUGUCAUAAAAGCGAUGAUGCUGUUAAUGUUGCUGAUUUGUUCUUUCGUGAAAUUAUUCGCUUGCAUGGUGUGCCAAAUACUAUUGUUUCAGAUCGUGAUACUAAAUUUCUUACCCACUUUUGGAGAUGUUUAUGGGCUAAGUUGGGGACUAAACUGCUUUUUAGUACUACUUGUCACCCCCAAACUGAUGGACAAACUGAAGUAGUCAAUAGAACGUUGUCUACUAUGCUUAGGGCUGUUUUGAAGAAUAAUAAGAAAAUGUGGGAGGAAUGCUUACCUCAUAUUGAAUUUGCUUAUAAUCGUUCAUUGCAUUCUACUACUAAGAUGUGCCCUUUUGAAGUUGUGUAUGGUUUCCUACCUCGUGCACCUAUUGAUUUGUUGCCUCUUCCAUCUUCGGAGAAGGUUAAUUUUGAUGCUAAACAACGUGCUGAAUUGAUUUUAAAAAUGCAUGAGUUAACUAAGGAAAACAUUGAGCGUAUGAAUGCUAAAUAUAAACUUGCUGGAGAUAAGGGUAGAAAACAUGUUGUGUUUGCUCCUGGAGAUCUUGUUUGGUUACAUUUGCGUAAGGAUAGAUUUCCUGAUUUGCGCAAAUCAAAGUUAAUGCCACGUGCUGAUGGUCCCUUUAAGGUGUUAGAGAAAAUAAAUGAUAAUGCAUAUAAACUUGAGCUGCCUGCAGAUUUUGGGGUUAGUCCCACUUUUAACAUUGCAGAUUUGAAGCCUUAUUUGGGUGAGGAAGAUGAACUUCCGUCGAGGACGACUUCAUUUCAAGAAGGGGAGGAUGAUGAGGACAUCAAUACAAUUGUUACACCCACAGCCCCUGCUGCUAUACAUACUGGACCAAUUACUAGAGCUCGUGCACGCCAACUAAAUUACCAGGUACUUUCGUUUCCUGGUAAUGAUUCUAAUGUUCAUGAGAAUAUGAUGCUGCCUAAAUUGGAUACAUUUGUUUUGCUUACAAAUGAAGGGCCUAGCUUGGAGAAGGAUGAACAUUGGAGCAAGAACAUGCAUCGAGAUGAUGGCAUGCGCAAGGGGAACAAGAACGGAGUUACAAGUGAUGAUUUCAGGACUUUGAAGCCACCAUAAUGGGUGCAUGAAGCCUUGGACGAAAUAUACAAGAUGCCACUUCAUAAAUUUCGUCCCGAGGCUAUUUUAGGUGCUGCGUCACCUUAUUAUUGGGCCAGGCCCAUGUAAUUUCGAAAUACAUAAGUAUAGGCUAUUUUUAGAGUCCGUAUGUGUGGGGAAACAAGAGAUAGGGUUGAUUUCGGACCCCUCCACCAAGGGCCACGAAAUUCCCCCCUCUUCCUCCAUAUAUACAGCCCUUAGGGCAUCGUUUAGACUUUGGGUUUUGUUUAGAUUAAAAGUUCGCCAUAGCUGCAACUUCGCGUACUUCGUUUGUGUUCAACGACCAGACAAAGGCGUCACAGAACCCCACCUUGAUCAAUAAAGCUUUCAUCUUAUAUUCGCAAUAUCCAGAUUGCAAUCUUAGUUUCUUGCUUGUUCUUCGUUUGCUCACAGGAAACAGACCCUCGUGGUCAGGUUGAUCGUGCUCCGGCGUGGUCAAUAACCUCUCGGAGUUGGUUUAGCGAUUGCUAAGGCGCGACGUCCUCGCACGUUCGUAGUCGGAUCGUCAAAGUCGACUUCCACCAAAGCGAUAUCCAUCAUCUCAUCGAAAGAUCGGGACCCUCGCCUCUAUCAAGUGGUAUCAGAUUUCCAGGUUGCUCGGUGAGAUUUUACAGUUUUUCGUAGUUUAGAUCGAGUCUGUUCUUCAUACCUAUAGUCCACGAAAAAGCCAAAAAAAAUUAGGGUUAGUUCAUCCCAUCCGAACCAAUCUGAGCCUUGCAUAAUCUUUUCUGUAUUUGCUUUGUUGAAUUUGCGGUUGCAUCGUCGUGUUCAGUUGCUGGUCUUAGCGUCUAGUCUUUUAGAGUUUCGAGUUCUGUUCACAAGUUGUCACGCCGUCGCCGCACCAUCAUCAUCGCCCCUGCCAUCUACCACCACCGCUCCGAAUCCGUAUCCAUAUACCACCACCAAUCCGCUGCCAUAUACCACCACCAUAUAUCCACCACCAAUCCGAGUUCCUUGCUUAUUAGGUUUGUUUUCGGGAUCAAUCUAGAUUCCGAUUCGUGUUUCCUUGCCGGAGUAGGUUUCGGGAAAAAAAAAGAGUCGGGUAGCCACGCUCCGUUUAGGCCCAAAAUUUUUCGAAAACGCAUUUUUCGAAAAAAUUUCUGGCUAUCCUAUUUUUAGGUGUUUCUGAGUGUUUUGAGACAGGUGCCAUUAUAGGAAGUUUUUUUUGACCCGUUUCCAGUUUUUGGGUCCGGGCAGUCAAAAAAAAAAAAUUGGUCAAAAAAUUUCGUGCCCAUCCUGUCAGUUUGAGCUAAGAAGAGUUUUGAGACACUCGCCAUUAUAGUGAUUUUUCGCAAAAAAAAAAGCAGCGCAAAAAAAAAAGAGCGCAAAAAAAAAAAUCCAGAGUGUGCUUUUCCCUUGUUUACGUGCCGCGCCGUGAUUUUGUUAGUGUUCUAGGCUCGCGUCUCUAGCACAGUCUAGCCUAGGACCAGCACAGUAUCGUCGUUGAGCGUUUAUUCAACUUUGCAUCUCUGAAUUGAUUAUUGCUGACCCUUUUUGCUACCAUAUUAUAAGCCUUCCCAGCUCCACAUACAUCUACGUCGUGUGUUUGACUCUCCCUGGUAAUCGCUCUAUCCAAGCUUUGAGAGUUUUUGACUACAACGGUUGCCGAUCACCGCCUGCUGCUGGGUAAGAACUGGUAAGAAUUUGAGAUUUGCUUGACGGAUUUGUGACACCCACCACCACCACUUGUUCGUAGUCUGUAGGAUCAUAUUCUUGUGUGUUUCUAUUGCUGUUAACCAUGCCAGGAUCACAAGCCGACGAGAUUGACUGGGAGAAUUUAUCGAACAAGGAGCUUCAUGAUAAGUUUCAGCAAAUGAUGACUGAACAGGUGCAAGAUGUGCUGAACAAUUUUGAAGAAGCCAUGGAGAAGAUCACUGGCUUUGAGAAGACGUUCGAAACAAAGCUCGAUAACAAGUUUAAUGAAUUGCUCGCGCGUCUUGCUCGAUAACAAGUAUACUAAUAUCACUCGUUUAUUCCAUCUUGCUUGUAAAGCUGAACGUGAAGUGCAGGAUCGACAAGCAUUGGGGCGAACUAACUUUUCUACAGGCCGACCUUCAUCAUGGACACCACGUGCAUCUUCUACUUCAACUGCACCAGCACCUCCAUCAGGUGCCACCUCCAGCCGUGAUACAAGAAAACAGGCACAACCACCAUUAUCUGCCAAGAGCGCACCUGCGGGGCCUGCACAGCGUUCUUCUUCUUCCAUGGCAUCAACAGGGCACACAAGUGAUAUUAUUUGUCGUCGUUGUAAGGGAGGAGGUCAUUAUGCGAGAGAAUGCAAAUCUCCGCGUGUGAUGAUUGCUACCGCGGAUGGUGGAUAUGAGUCCGCUAGUGACUAUGAUGAGGAGACUUUGGCUCUUAUUACACGUGAAGAACAUGGUGGAGAUGAUUCUGAUCAUGAGACGCAAUACAUGGCUCCUGAAGACGCUGACAGGUAUGAAUGUUUAGUUGCUCAACGUGUUUUGAGUGUGCAGGUCACACAAGCUGAGCAAAAUCAGAGGCACAAUUUGUUCCAUACCAAGGGAUUGUGAAGGAACGUUCUGUGCGCGUCAUCAUAGACGGAGGGAGCUGCAACAACUUGGCUAGCAUGGAGAUGGUGGAGAAGCUUUCUCUCACCACAAGACCACAUCCACAUCCUUACUACAUCCAAUGGUUCAACAACAGCGGCAAGGUUAAGGUAACACGUACUGUUCGUGUGCAUUUUAGUAUCUCUACAUAUGCUGAUUAUGUUGAUUGUGAUGUGGUACCUAUGCAAGCAUGUUCCUUAUUACUUGGUAGACCAUGGCAAUUUGAUAAAAAUUCUGUACACCAUGGUAGAAACAAUCAAUAUACUCUUGUUCAUAAGGAUAAAAAUAUUACUUUGCUUCCUAUGACUCCUGAUUCCAUUUUGAAAGAUGAUAUUAAUAGAGCUAAUAAAGCAAAACAGGAGACGAAUAAGAGUGAAAAUCAGAUUGUGGCAAAAGAAUUUGAGCAACAAAUGAAGCCUAAUAAUAAACCAUCUAGUGUUGCUUCUGAAAUUAAAUUGAAAAGUGCAUGUUUAUUUUCCACCAAAUCUGAUAUUGAUGAGCUAGAUUUCAGCAAAUCUGUUUGCUAUGCUUUUGUGUGCAAAGAGGCAUUAUUUUCAUUCGAGGACGUGCCUUCCUCUUUGCCUCCUGCUGUCACUAACAUUUUGCAGGAGUUCGCUGACGUUUUUCCACAAGACGUGCCACCGGGAUUACCGCCUAUUCGAGGGAUUGAGCAUCAGAUCGACUUAAUUCCCGGUGCUUCACUGCCAAACCGUGCACCAUACCGUACCAAUCCAGAGGAGACGAAGGAGAUUAUGCGUCAAGUACAAGAGCUUCUCGACAAAGGUUAUAUACGCGAAUCCCUUAGUCCUUGUGUUGUUCCUAUUAUUCUAGUGCCGAAAAAGGAUGGUACAUCACGUAUGUGUGUUGAUUGUAGAGGCAUUAAUAACAUUACUAUUCGUUAUCGUCAUCCUAUUCCUAGGCUAGAUGAUAUGCUUGAUGAAUUGAGUGGCUCUACAAUAUUCUCCAAAGUUGAUUUGCGUAGUGGCUACCAUCAAAUUCGUAUGAAAUUGGGAGAUGAAUGGAAAACAGCAUUUAAAACUAAGUUUGGAUUAUAUGAGUGGUUAGUCAUGCCUUUUGGGUUAACUAAUGCACCUAGUACUUUCAUGAGAUUAAUGAACGAAGUUUUACGUGCUUUCAUUGCACGAUGUGUGGUAGUUUACUUUGAUGACAUAUUGAUUUAUAGCAGAUCUUUGGAGGAACAUUUGGAACAUUUACGUGCUGUUUUUAUUGCUCUACGUGAUGCACGUUUGUUUGGUAACCUUGGGAAGUGCACCUUUUGCACCGACCGAGUAUCUUUUCUUGGCUAUGUUGUUACUCCACAGGGAAUUGAAGUUGAUAAAGCCAAGAUUGAAGCUAUUGAGAGUUGGCCGCAGCCCAAAACAGUCACACAAGUGAGGAGUUUUCUUGGCCUCGCUGGAUUCUAUAGGCGUUUUGUGAGAGAUUUCAGCACCAUUGCUGCACCUCUCAACGAGCUUACAAAGAAGGAUGUGCCUUUUGUUUGGGGUACCGCACAGGAAGAAGCCUUCACGGUAUUGAAAGAUAAGUUGACACAUGCUCCUUUACUCCAACUUCCUGAUUUUAAUAAGACUUUUGAGCUUGAAUGUGAUGCUAGUGGAAUUGGAUUAGGAGGUGUGUUAUUACAAAAUGGCAAACCUGUUGCAUACUUUUCUGAAAAAUUGAGUGGGCCUAGUCUGAAUUAUUCUACUUAUGAUAAAGAAUUAUAUGCUCUUGUUCGGACUUUAGAAACAUGGCAACAUUAUUUAUGGCCCAAAGAAUUUGUUAUACAUUCUGAUCAUGAAUCUUUGAAACAUAUUAAAAGUCAAGCUAAACUGAAUCGUAGACAUGCUAAAUGGGUUGAAUUCAUUGAGACUUUCCCUUAUGUCAUUAAACACAAGAAGGGAAAAGAAAAUGUUAUUGCUGAUGCAUUGUCUCGUCGCUAUACUAUGCUUUCACAACUUGACUUCAAAAUAUUUGGUUUGGAGACCAUCAAAGAUCAAUAUGUGCAUGAUGCUGAUUUUAAAGAUGUAAUGCAGAAUUGUAAAGAAGGAAGAAUGUGGAACAAGUUUGUUGUUAACGAUGGAUUUGUGUUUCGUGCUAACAAGCUAUGCAUUCCAGCUAGCUCCGUUCGUCUUUUGUUGUUGCAGGAAGCGCAUGGAGGAGGAUUAAUGGGACAUUUUGGCGUGAAGAAGACGGAGGACGUACUUGCUACACAUUUCUUUUGGCCAAAGAUGAGACGGGAUGUUGAGCGUUUUAUUGCUCGAUGCACUACAUGUCAAAAAGCUAAGUCACGACUCAAUCCUCAUGGUUUAUAUAUGCCUUUGCCUGUACCUAGUGUUCCUUGGGAGGAUAUAUCUAUGGACUUUGUUUUAGGUUUACCUCGAACAAAGAAGGGGAGGGAUAGCAUAUUUGUUGUCGUGGAUAGAUUCUCGAAAAUGGCACACUUUAUACCAUGUCAUAAAAGUGAUGAUGCUGUUAAUGUUGCUGAUUUGUUCUUUCGUGAAAUUAUUCGCUUGCAUGGUGUGCCAAAUACUAUUAUUUCAGAUCGUGAUACUAAAUUUCUUAGCCACUUUUGGAGAUGUUUAUGGGCUAAGUUGGGGACUAAACUGCUUUUUAGUACUACUUGUCACCACCAGACUGAUGGACAAACUGAAGUAGUCAAUAGAACGUUGUCUACUAUGCUUAGGGCUGUUUUGAAGAAUAAUAAGAAAAUGUGGGAGGAAUGCUUGCCUCAUAUUGAAUUUGCUUAUAAUCGUUCAUUGCAUUCUACUACUAAGAUGUGCCCUUUUGAAGUUGUGUAUGGUUUCCUACCUCGUGCACCUAUUGAUUUGUUGCCUCUUCCAUCUUCGGAGAAGGUUAAUUUUGAUGCUAAACAACGUGCUGAAUUGAUUUUAAAAAUGCAUGAGUUAACUAAGGAAAACAUUGAGCGUAUGAAUGCUAAAUAUAAACUUGCUGGAGAUAAGGGUAGAAAACAUGUUGUGUUUGCACCUGGAGAUCUUGUUUGGUUACAUUUGCGUAAGGAUAGAUUUCCUGAUUUGCGCAAAUCAAAGUUAAUGCCACGUGCUGAUGGUCCCUUUAAGGUGUUAGAGAAAAUAAAUGAUAAUNNNNNNNNNNNNNNNNNNNNNNNNNNNNNNNNNNNNNNNNNNNNNNNNNNNNNNNNNNNNNNNNNNNNNNNNNNNNNNNNNNNNNNNNNNNNNNNNNNNNNNNNNNNNNNNNNNNNNNNNNNNNNNNNNNNNNNNNNNNNNNNNNNNNNNNNNNNNNNNNNNNNNNNNNNNNNNNNNNNNNNNNNNNNNNNNNNNNNNNNNNNNNNNNNNNNNNNNNNNNNNNNNNNNNNNNNNNNNNNNNNNNNNNNNNNNNNNNNNNNNNNNNNNNNNNNNNNNNNNNNNNNNNNNNNNNNNNNNNNNNNNNNNNNNNNNNNNNNNNNNNNNNNNNNNNNNNNNNNNNNNNNNNNNNNNNNNNNNNNNNNNNNNNNNNNNNNNNNNNNNNNNNNNNNNNNNNNNNNNNNNNNNNNNNNNNNNNNNNNNNNNNNNNNNNNNNNNNNNNNNNNNNNNNNNNNNNNNNNNNNNNNNNNNNNNNNNNNNNNNNNNNNNNNNNNNNNNNNNNNNNNNNNNNNNNNNNNNNNNNNNNNNNNNNNNNNNNNNNNNNNNNNNNNNNNNNNNNNNNNNNNNNNNNNNNNNNNNNNNNNNNNNNNNNNNNNNNNNNNNNNNNNNNNNNNNNNNNNNNNNNNNNNNNNNNNNNNNNNNNNNNNNNNNNNNNNNNNNNNNNNNNNNNNNNNNNNNNNNNNNNNNNNNNNNNNNNNNNNNNNNNNNNNNNNNNNNNNNNNNNNNNNNNNNNNNNNNNNNNNNNNNNNNNNNNNNNNNNNNNNNNNNNNNNNNNNNNNNNNNNNNNNNNNNNNNNNNNNNNNNNNNNNNNNNNNNNNNNNNNNNNNNNNNNNNNNNNNNNNNNNNNNNNNNNNNNNNNNNNNNNNNNNNNNNNNNNNNNNNNNNNNNNNNNNNNNNNNNNNNNNNNNNNNNNNNNNNNNNNNNNNNNNNNNNNNNNNNNNNNNNNNNNNNNNNNNNNNNNNNNNNNNNNNNNNNNNNNNNNNNNNNNNNNNNNNNNNNNNNNNNNNNNNNNNNNNNNNNNNNNNNNNNNNNNNNNNNNNNNNNNNNNNNNNNNNNNNNNNNNNNNNNNNNNNNNNNNNNNNNNNNNNNNNNNNNNNNNNNNNNNNNNNNNNNNNNNNNNNNNNNNNNNNNNNNNNNNNNNNNNNNNNNNNNNNNNNNNNNNNNNNNNNNNNNNNNNNNNNNNNNNNNNNNNNNNNNNNNNNNNNNNNNNNNNNNNNNNNNNNNNNNNNNNNNNNNNNNNNNNNNNNNNNNNNNNNNNNNNNNNNNNNNNNNNNNNNNNNNNNNNNNNNNNNNNNNNNNNNNNNNNNNNNNNNNNNNNNNNNNNNNNNNNNNNNNNNNNNNNNNNNNNNNNNNNNNNNNNNNNNNNNNNNNNNNNNNNNNNNNNNNNNNNNNNNNNNNNNNNNNNNNNNNNNNNNNNNNNNNNNNNNNNNNNNNNNNNNNNNNNNNNNNNNNNNNNNNNNNNNNNNNNNNNNNNNNNNNNNNNNNNNNNNNNCAUCUCAUCGAAAGAUCGGGACCCUCGCCUCUAUCACCAUAGCUGCAACUUCGCGUACUUCGUUUGUGUUCAACGACCAGACAAAGGCGUCACAGAACCCCACCUUGAUCAAUAAAGCUUUCAUCUUAUAUUCGCAAUAUCCAGAUUGCAAUCUCAGUUUAUUGCUUGUUCUUCGUUUGCUCGCAGGAAACAGACCCUCGUGGUCAGGUUGAUCGUGCUCCGGCGUGGUCAAUAACCUCUCGGAGUUGGUUUAGCGAUUGCUAAGGCGCGACGUCCUCGCACGUUCGUAGUCGGAUCGUCAAAGUCGACUUCCACCAAAGCGAUAUCCAUCAUCUCAUCGAAAGACGGGACACCAUUGCCUCUAUCAAGUGGUAUCAGAUUUCCAGGUUGCUCGGUGAGAUUUUACAGUUUUUCGUAGUUUAGAUCGAGUCUGUUCUUCAUACCUACAGUCCACGAAAAAGCUACAAAAAAUUUUUAGGGUUAGUUCAUCAUAUCCGAACCAAUCUGAGCCUUUGCAUAAUCUUUUUAGGGUUUUGCUUUGUUGAAUUUGCGGUUGCAUCGUCGGUCUAGUUGCUGGUCUUAGAUUCUAGUCUUUUAGAGUUUCGAGUUCUGGUCAUAAGUUGUCACGCCGCCGCCGCACCAUCAUCAUCACCCCUGCCAUCUACCACCACCGCUCCGAAUCCGUAUCCAUAUACCACCACCAAUCCGUGUCCACAUACCACCACCGAUCCAUAUCCAUAUACUACCACCGCUACCACCACCGCUGCCAUAUACCACCACCAUAUAUCCACCACCAAUCCGAGUUCCUUGCUUAUUAGGUUUGUUUUUGAGAUCCAUCUAGUUUCCGAUUCGUGUUUCCUUGCCGGAGUAGGUUUCGGAAAAAAAAAUUCUGGCUAUCCUAUUUUUAGGUGUUUCUGAGUGUUUUGAGACAGGUGCCAUUAUAGGAAGUUUUUUUUGACCCGUUUCCAGUUUUUGGGUCCGGGCAGUCGAAAAAAAAAAUUUGUCGAAAAAAAAAAUUUCGUGCCCAUCCUGUCAGUUUGACCUAGGAAGAGUUUUGAGACACUCGCCAUUAUAGUGCUUUUUCGCAAAAAAAAAACAGCGCAAAAAAAAAGAGCGCAAAAAAAAAGAGAGCGAAAAGAAAAAUUUCAGAGUGUGCUUUUCCCUUGUUUACGUGCCGCGCCGUGAUUUUGUUGGUGUUCUAGGCUCGCGUCUCUAGCACAGUCUAGCCUAGGACCAGCACAGUACCGUCGUUGAGCGUUUAUUCAACUUUGCAUCUCUGAAUUGAUUAUUGCUGACCCUUUUUGCUACCAUACUAUAAGCCUUCCCAGCUCCACAUACAUCUACGUCGUGUGUUUGACUCUCCCUGGUAAUCGCUCGAUCCAAGCUUUGAGAGUUUUUGACUACAACGGUUGCCGAUCACCGCCUGCUGCUGGGUUAGAACUGGUAAGAAUUUGAGAUUUGCUUGACGGAUUUGUGAUACACCACCACCACUUCUUAGUAGUUGAUGAGGACAUCAAUACAAUUGUUACACCCACAGCCCCUGCUGCUAUACAUACUGGACCAAUUACUAGAGCUCGUGCAUGCCAACUAAAUUACCAGGUACUUUCGUUUCUUGGUAAUGAUUCUAAUGUUCAUGAGAAUAUGAUGCUGCCUAAAUUGGAUACAUUUGUUUUGCUUACAAAUGAAGGGCCUAGCUUGGAGAAGGAUGAACAUUGGAGCAAGAACAAGCAUGGAGAUGAUGGCAUGCGCAAGGGAAACAAGAACGGAGUUACAAGGGAUGAUUUCAGGACUUUGAAGCCACCAUAAUGGGUGCAUGAAGCCUUGGACGAAAUAUACAAGAUGCCACUUCAUAAAUUUCGUCCCGAGGCUAUUUUAGGUGCUGCGUCACCUUAUUAUUGGGCCAGGCCCAUGUAAUUUCGAAAUACAUAAGUAUAGGCUAUUUUUAGAGUCCGUAUGUGUGGGGAAACAAGAGAUAGGGUUGAUUUCGGACCCCUCCACCAAGGGCCAAGAAAUUCCCCCCUCUUCCUCCAUAUAUACAGCCCUUAGGGCAUCGUUUAGACUUUGGGUUUUGUUUAGAUUAAAAGUUCGCCAUAGCUGCAACUUCGCGUACUUCGUUUGUGUUCAACGACCAGACAAAGGCGUCACAGAACCCCACCUUGAUCAAUAAAGCUUUCAUCUUAUAUUCGCAAUAUCCAGAUUGCAAUCUUAGUUUCUUGCUUGUUCUUCGUUUGCUCGCAGGAAACAGACCCUCGUGGUCAGGUUGAUCGUGCCCCGGCGUGGUCAAUAACCUCUCGGAGUUGGUUUAGCGAUUGCUAAGGCGCGACGUCCUCGCACGUUCGUAGUCGGAUCGUCAAAGUCGACUUCCACCAAAGCGAAAUCCACCUUCUCAUCGAAAGACGGGACACCUUUGCCUCUAUCAUAUAUCCUCCCAAGGAACACUAGGUACAGGCAAAGGCAUAUAUAAACCAUGAGGAUUGAGUCGUGACUUAGCUUUUUGACAUGUAGUGCAGCGAGCAAUAAAACGCUCAACAUCCCGUCUCAUCUUUGGCCAAAAGAAAUGUGUAGCAAGUACGUCCUCCGUCUUCUUCACGCCAAAGUGUCCCAUUAAUCCUCCUCCAUGCGCCUCCUGCAACAACAAUAGACGAACAGAGCUAGUUGGAAUGCAUAGCUUGUUAGCACGAAACACAAAUCCAUCGUUAACGACGAACUUGUUCCACAUUCUUCCUUCUUUACAAUUCUGCAUUACAUCUUUAAAAUCAGCAUCAUGCACAUAUUGAUCUUUGAUGGUCUCCAAACCAAAGAUUUUGAAGUCAAGUUGUGAAAGCAUAAUAUAGCGACGAGACAAUGCAUCAGCAAUAACAUUUUCUUUUCCCUUCUUGUGUUUAAUGACAUAAGGGAAAGUCUCAAUGAAUUCAACCCAUUUAGCAUGUCUACGAUUCAGUUUAGCUUGACUUUUAAUAUGUUACAAAGAUUCAUGAUCAGAAUGUAUAACAAAUUCUUUGGGCCAUAAAUAAUGUUGCCAUGUUUCUAAAGUCCGAACAAGAGCAUAUAAUUCUUUAUCAUAAGUAGAAUAAUUCAGACUAGACCCACUCAAUUUUUCAGAAAAGUAUGCAACAGGUUUGCCAUCUUGUAAUAACACACCUCCUAAUCCAAUUCCACUAGCAUCACAUUCAAGCUCAAAAGUCUUAUUAAAAUCAGGAAGUUGGAGUAAAGGAGCAUGUGUCAACUUAUCUUUCAAUACCGUGAAGGCUUCUUCCUGUGCGGUACCCCAAACAAAAGGCACAUCCUUCUUUGUAAGCUCGUUGAGAGGUGCAGCAAUGGUGCUGAAAUCUCUCACAAAACGCCUAUAGAAUCCAGCGAGGCCAAGAAAACUCCUCACUUGUGUGACUGUUUUGGGCUGCGGCCAACUCUCAAUAGCUUCAAUCUUGGCUUUAUCAACUUCAAUUCCCUGUGGAGUAACAACAUAGCCAAGAAAAGAUACUCGGUCGGUGCAAAAGGUGCACUUCCCAAGGUUACCAAACAAACGUGCAUCACGUAGAGCAAUAAAAACAGCACGUAAAUGUUCCAAAUGUUCCUCCAAAGAUCUGCUAUAAAUCAAUAUGUCAUCAAAGUAAACUACCACACAUCGUGCAAUGAAAGCACGUAAAACUUCGUUCAUUAAUCUCAUGAAAGUACUAGGUGCAUUAGUUAACCCAAAAGGCAUGACUAACCACUCAUAUAAUCCAAACUUAGUUUUAAAUGCUGUUUUCCAUUCAUCUCCCAAUUUCAUACGAAUUUGAUGGUAGCCACUACGCAAAUCAACUUUGGAGAAUAUUGUAGAGCCACUCAAUUCAUCAAGCAUAUCAUCUAGCCUAGGAAUAGGAUGACGAUAACGAAUAGUAAUGUUAUUAAUGCCUCUACAAUCAACACACAUACGUGAUGUACCAUCCUUUUUCGGCACUAGAAUAAUAGGAACAACACAAGGACUAAGGGAUUCGCGUAUAUAACCUUUGUCGAGAAGCUCUUGUACUUGACGCAUAAUCUCCUUCGUCUCCUCUGGAUUGGUACGGUAUGGUGCACGGUUUGGCAGUGAAGCACCGGGAAUUAAGUCGAUCUGAUGCUCAAUCCCUCGAAUAGGCGGUAAUCCCGGUGGCACGUCUUGUGGAAAAACGUCAGCGAACUCCUGCAAAAUGUUAGUGACAGCAGGAGGCAAAGAGGAAGGCACGUCCUCGAAUGAAAAUAAUGCCUCUUUGCACACAAAAGCAUAGCAAACAGAUUUGCUGAAAUCUAGCUCAUCAAUAUCAGAUUUGGUGGCAAAUAAACAUGCACUUUUCAAUUUAAUUUCAGAAGCAACACUAGAUGGUUUAUUAUUAGGCUUCAUUUGUUGCUCAAAUUCUUUUGCCACAAUCUGAUUUUCACUCUUAUUCUUCUCCUGUUGUGCUUUAUUAGCUCUAUUAAUAUCAUCUUUCAAAAUGGAAUCAGGGGUCAUAGGAAGCAAUGAUGAGGACAUCAAUACAAUUGUUACACCCACAGCCCCUGCUGCUAUACAUACUGGACCAAUUACUAGAGCUCGUGCACGCCAACUAAAUUACCAGGUACUUUCGUUUCUUGGUAAUGAUUCUAAUAUUCAUGAGAAUAUGAUGCUGCCUAAAUUGGAUACAUUUGUUUUUCUUACAAAUGAAGGGCCUAGCUUGGAGAAGGAUGAACAUUGGAGCAAGAACAAGCAUGGAGAUGAUGGCAUGCGCAAGGAAAACAAGAACGGAGUUACAAGUGAUGAUUUCAGGACUUUGAAGCCACCAUAAUGGGUGCAUGAAGCCUUGGACGAAAUAUACAAGAUGCCACUUCAUAAAUUUCGUCCCGAGGCUAUUUUAGGUGCUGCGUCACCUUAUUAUUGGGCCAGGCCCAUGUAAUUUCGAAAUACAUAAGUAUAGGCUAUUUUUAGAGUCCGUAUGUGUGGGGAAACAAGAGAUAGGGUUGAUUUCGGACCCCUCCACCAAGGGCCACGAAAUUCCCCCCUCUUCCUCCAUAUAUACAGCCCUUAGGGCAUCGUUUAGACUUUGGGUUUUGUUUAGAUUAAAAGUUCGCCAUAGCUGCAACUUCGCGUACUUCGUUUGUGUUCAACGACCAGACAAAGGCGUCACAGAACCCCACCUUGAUCAAUAAAGCUUUCAUCUUAUAUUCGCGAUAUCCAGAUUGCAAUCUCAGUUUCUUGCUUGUUCUUCGUUUGCUCGCAGGAAACAGACCCUCGUGGUCAGGUUGAUCGUGCUCCGGCGUGGUCAAUAACCUCUCGGAGUUGGUUUAGCGAUUGCUAAGGCGCGACGUCCUCGCACGUUCGUAGUCGGAUCGUCAAAGUCGACUUCCAACAAAGCGAUAUCCAUCAUCUCAUCGAAAGACGGGACACCUUUGCCUCUAUCAAGUGGUAUCAGAUUUCCAGGUUGCUCGGUGAGAUUUUACAGUUUUUCGUAGUUUAGAUCGAGUCUGUCUUCAUACCUAUAGUCCACGAAAAAGCCACAAAAAAAAUUAGGGUUAGUUCAUCAUAUCCGAACCAAUCUGAGCCUUUGCAUAAUCUUUUUAGGGUUUUGCUUUGUUGAAUUUGCGGUUGCAUCGUCGUUUCUAGUUGCUGGUCUUAGAGUCUAGUCUUUUAGAGUGUCGAGUUCUGGUCAUAAGUUGUCACGCCGCCGCCGCACCAUCAUCACCGCCCCUGCCAUCUACCACCACCGCUCCGAAUCCGUAUCCAUAUACCACCACCAAUCCGUGUCCAUAUACCACCACCGAUCCAUAUCCAUAUACUACCACCGCUACCACCACCGCUGCCAUAUACCACCACCAUAUAUCCACCACCAAUCCGAUUUCCUUGCUUAUUAGGUUUGUUUUCGAGAUCCAUCUAGUUUUCGAUUCGUGUUUCUUUGCCGGAGUAGGUUUCGGAAAAAAAAAGAGUCGGGUAGCCACGCUCCGUUUAGGCCCAAAAAAUUUUCGAAAACGCAUUUUUCGAAAAAAUUUCUGGCUAUCCUAUUUUUAGGUGUUUCUGAGUGUUUUGAGACAGGUGCCAUUAUAGGAAGUUUUUUUUGACCCGUUUCCAGUUUUUGGGUCCGGGCAGUCGAAGAAAAAAAUUUGUCAAAAAAAAAAAUUCGUGCCCAUCCUGUCAGUUUGACCUAGGAAGAGUUUUGAGACACUCGCCAUUAUAGUGAUUUUUCGCAAAAAAAAAGAGCGCAAAAAAAAGAGCGCAAAAAAAAAGAGAGCGAAAAGAAAAAUUUCAGAGUGUGCUUUUCCCUUGUUUACGUGCCGUGCCGUGAUUUUGUUGGUGUUCUAGGCUCGCGUCUCUAGCACAGUCUAGCCUAGGACCAGCACAGUACCGUCGUUGAGCGUUUAUUCAACUUUGCAUCUCUGAAUUGAUUAUUGCUGACCCUUUUUGCUACCAUACUAUAAGCCUUCCCAGCUCCACAUACAUCUACGUCGUGUGUUUGACUCUCCCUGGUAAUCGCUCUAUCCAAGCUUUGAGAGUUUUUGACUACAACGGUUGCCGAUCACCGCCUGCUGCUGGGUAAGAACUGGUAAGAAUUUGAGAUUUGCUUGACGGAUUUGUGAUACACCACCACCACUUCUUAGUAGUUGAUGAGGACAUCAAUACAAUUGUUACACCCACAGCCCCUGCUGCUAUACAUACUGGACCAAUUACUAGAGCUCGUGCACGCCUGAUGAGGACAUCAAUACAAUUGUUACACCCACAGCCCCUGCUGCUAUACAUACUGGACCAAUUACUAGAGCUCGUGCACGCCAACUAAAUUACCAGGUACUUUCGUUUCUUGGUAAUGAUUCUAAUGUUCAUGAGAAUAUGAUGCUGCCUAAAUUGGAUACAUUUGUUUUGCUUACAAAUGAAGGGCCUAGCUUGGAGAAGGAUGAACAUUGGAGCAAGAACAAGCAUGGAGAUGAUGGCAUGCGCAAGGGGAACAAGAAUGGAGUUACAAGUGAUGAUUUCAGGACUUUGAAGCCACCAUAAUGGGUGCAUGAAGCCUUGGACGAAAUAUACAAGAUGCCACUUCAUAAAUUUCGUCCCGAGGCUAUUUUAGGUGCUGCGUGACCUUAUUAUUGGGCCAGGCCCAUGUAAUUUCGAAAUACAUAUGUAUAGGCUAUUUUUAGAGUCCGUAUGUGUGGGGAAACAAGAGAUAGGGUUGAUUUCGGACUCCUCCACCAAGGGCCACGAAAUUCCCCCCUCUUCCUCCAUAUAUAUAGCCCUUAGGGCAUCGUUUAGACUUUGGGUUUUGUUUAGAUUAAAAGUUCGCCAUAGCUGCAACUUCGCGUACUUCGUUUGUGUUCAACGACCAGACAAAGACGUCACAGAACCCCACCUUGAUCAAUAAAGCGUUCAUCUUAUAUUCGCAAUAUCCAGAUUGCAAUCUUAGUUUCUUGCUUGUUCUUCGUUUGCUCGCAGGAAACAGACCCUCGUGGUCAGGUUGAUCGUGCUCCGGCGUGGUCAAUAACCUCUCGGAGUUGGUUUAGCGAUUGCUAAGGCGCGAUGUCCUCGCACGUUCGUAGUCGGAUCGUCAAAGUCGACUUCCACCAAAGCGAAAUCCACCAUCUCAUCGAAAGACGGGACACCUUUGCCUCUAUCAAGUGGUAUCAGAUUUCCACGUUGCUCGGUGAGAUUUUACAGUUUUUCGUAGUUUAGAUCGAGUCUGUUCUUCAUACCUAUAGUCCACGAAAAAGCCACAAAAAAAUUUAGGGUUAGUUCAUCAUAUCCGAACCAAUCUGAGCCUUGCAUAAUCUUUUUAGGGUUUUGCUUUGUUGAAUUUGCGGUUGCAUCGUCGUGUCUAGUUGCUGGUCUUAGAGUCUAGUCUUGUAGAGUUUCGAGUUCUGGUCAUAAGUUGUCACGCCGCCGCCGCCGCACCAUCAUCAUCGCCCCUGCCAUCUACCACCACCGCACCGAAUCCGUAUCCAUAUACCACCACCAAUCCGUGUCCAUAUACCACCACCGAUCCAUAUCCAUAUACUACCACCGCUACCACCACCGCUGCCAUAUACCACCACCAUAUAUCCACCACCAAUCCGAGUUCUUUGCUUAUUAGGUUUGUUUUCGGGAUCCAUCUAGAUUCCGAUUCGUGUUUCCUUGCCGGAGUAGGUUUCGGAAAAAAAAAGAGUCGGGUAGCCACGCUCCGUUUAGGCCCAAAAUUUUUCGAAAACGCAUUUUUCGAAAAAAUUUCUGGCUAUCCUAUUUUUAGGUGUUUCUGAGUGUUUUGAGACAGGUGCCAUUAUAGGAAGUUUUUUUUGACCCGUUUCCAGUUUUUGGGUCCGGGCAGUCGAAAAAAAAAAAUUGGUCGAAAAAAUUUCGUGCCUAUCCUGUCAGUUUGAGCUAGGAAGAGUUUUGAGACACUCGCCAUUAUAGUGAUUUUUCGCACACAAAAAAAGGCAGCGCAAAAAAAAAGAGCGCCAAAAAAAAAGAGCGAAAAUAAAAAUUUCAGAGUGUGCUUUUCCCUUGUUUACGUGCCGCGCCGUGAUUUUGUUAGUGUUCUAGGCUCGCGUCUCUAGCACAGUCUAGCCUAGGACCAGCACAGUACCGUCGUUGAGCGUUUAUUCAACUUUGCAUCUCUGAAUUGAUUAUUGCUGACCCUUUUUGCUACCAUAUUAUAAGCCUUCCCAGCUCCACAUUCAUCUACAUCGUGCGUUUGACUCUCCCUGGUAAUCGCUCUAUCCAAGCUUUGAGAGUUUUUGACUACAACGGUUGCCGAUCACCGCCUGCUGCUGGGUAAGAACUGGUAAGAAUUUGAGAUUUGCUUGACGGAUUUGUGACACCCACCACCACCACUUGUUCGUAGUCUGUAGGAUCGUAUUCUUGUGUGUUUCUAUUGCUGCUAACCAUGCCAGGAUCACAAGCCGACGAGAUCGACUGGGAGAAUUUAUCGAACAAGGAGCUUCAUGAUAAGUUUCAGCAAAUGAUGACUGAACAGGUGCAAGAUGUGCUGAACAAUUUUGAAGAGGCCAUGGAGAAGAUCACUGGCCUUGAGAAGACGUUCGAAACAAAGCUCGAUAACAAGUUUAAUGAAUUGCUCGCGCGUCUUCCACCACCACCACCCGCUGCACCUAACGCACCUCUCCAACAACAACAACAACGACUACCUCCACGUCGCGAAGCAGACCUCCGCCGAGCAAGUCGUGUUCCUCUUGCGUUUGGCCAAACUGUUGGUGCUGCUGUUGAUACUUCUGUGGCUCCUGCUGCUGAUGCGGAGGAGGAUGAUUAUGUGGGAGAUUAUGAGGAUGAGGUUGAUCAAAAUCAACACUACGUGCAGCCACCUGUACCGCCACCAGCAGGUCGACCUCAGGUAUAUAUUCGUAAUGGUAGGCCUGCACCACCACCUCAGGUACGAGAUGAUGUCCAUAUUCCUAAACUGAAAUUGAAUAUUCCACCAUUUGAGGGUAGAUAUGUUCCUGAUAUAUAUCUUACUUGGGAGUUAGAAACUGAACAACGAUUUACAUGUUUACAAUAUCCUGAGGAGAGACGAGUUGCUGCUGCUGUUUGUGCUUUCACUAGUUUUGCAUGUGUAUGGUGGUCUGAACAUUGUAGAUUAUAUCCUAUUCCAACUACUUGGGCUGCUUUGAAAACUGCUAUGCGUACGCGUUGGGUUCCACCAUAUUAUCAACGUGAAUUGCUUCAAAAAUUGCAGCGUUUAAGACAAGGGAAAAAUUCUGUCGAAGAAUAUUAUCAGGAAUAACAAACUGGCAUGAUUAGAUGUGGUAUUGUUGAGGAGAAUGAAGCUAUGCUUGCACGUUUUCUGGGUGGAUUAAAUAGAGAGAUUCAGACCAUUCUAGACUAUAAGGAGUAUACUAAUAUCACUCGUUUAUUCCAUCUUGCUUGUAAAGCUGAACGUGAAGUGCAGGAUCGACAAGCAUUGGGGCGAACUAACUUUUCUGCAGGCCGACCUUCAUCAUGGACACCACGUGCAUCUUCUACUUCAACUGCACCAGCACCUCCAUCCGGUGCCACCUCCAGCCGUGAUACAAGAAAACAGGCACAACCACCAUUAUCUGCCAAGAGCGCACCUGCGGGGCCUGCACAGCGUUCUUCUUCUUCCAUGGCAUCAACAGGGCACACAAGUGAUAUUAUUUGUCGUCGUUGUAAGGGAGGUCAUUAUGCGAGAGAAUGCAAAUCUCCGCGUGUGAUGAUUGCUACCGCGGAUGGUGGAUAUGAGUCCGCUAGUGACUAUGAUGAGGAGACUUUGGCUCUUAUUACACGUGAAGAACAUGGUGGAGAUGAUUCUGAUCAUGAGACGCAAUACAUGGCUCCUGAAGAUGCUGACAGGUAUGAAUGUUUAGUUGCUCAACAUGUUUUGAGUGUGCAGGUCACACAAGCUGAGCAAAAUCAGAGGCACAAUUUGUUCCAUACCAAGGGAGUUGUGAAGGAACGUUCUGUGCGCGUCAUCAUAGACGGAGGGAGCUGCAACAACUUGGCUAGCAUGGAGAUGGUGGAGUAGCUUUCUCUCACCACAAGACCACAUCCACAUCCUUACUACAUCCAAUGGUUCAACAACAGCGGCAAGGUUAAGGUAACACGUACUGUUUGUGUGCAUUUUAGUAUCUCUACAUAUGCUGAUUAUGUUGAUUGUGAUGUGGUACCUAUGCAAGCAUGUUCCUUAUUACUUGGUAGACCAUGGCAAUUUGAUAAAAAUUCUGUACACCAUGGUAGAAACAAUCACUAUACUCUUGUUCAUAAGGAUAAAAAUAUUACUUUGCUUCCUAUGACUCCUGAUUCCAUUUUGAAAGAUGAUAUUAAUAGAGCUAAUAAAGCAAAACAGGAGACGAAUAAGAGUGAAAAUCAGAUUGUGGCAAAAGAAUUUGAGCAACAAAUGAAGCCUAAUAAUAAACCAUCUGGUGUUGCUUCUGAAAUUAAAUUGAAAAGUGCAUGUUUAUUUGCCACCAAAUCUGAUAUUGAUGAGCUAGAUUUCAGCAAAUCUGUUUGCUAUGCUUUUGUGUGCAAAAAGGCAUUAUUUUCAUUCGAGGACGUGCCUUCCUCUUUGCCUCCUGCUGUCACUAACAUUUUGCAGGAGUUCGCUGACGUCUUUCCACAAGACGUGCCACCGGGAUUACCGCCUAUUCGAGGGAUUGAGCAUCAAAUUGACUUAAUUCCCGGUGCUUCACUGCCAAACCGUGCACCAUACCGUACCAAUCCAGAGGAGACGAAGGAGAUUAUGCGUCAAGUACAAGAGCUGCUCGACAAAGGUUAUAUACGCGAAUCCCUUAGUCCUUGUACUGUUCCUAUUAUUCUAGUGCCGAAAAAGGAUGGUACAUCACGUAUGUGUGUUGAUUGUAGAGGCAUUAAUAAUAUUACUAUUCGUUAUCGUCAUCCUAUUCCUAGGCUAGAUGAUAUGCUUGAUGAAUUGAGUGGCUCUACAAUAUUCUCCAAAGUUGAUUUGCGUAGUGGAUACCAUCAAAUUCGUAUGAAAUUGGGAGAUGAAUGGAAAACAGCAUUUAAAACUAAGUUUGGAUUAUAUGAGUGGUUAGUCAUGCCUUUUGGGUUAACUAAUGCGCCUAGUACUUUCAUGAGACUAAUGAACGAAGUUUUACGUGCUUUCAUUGGACGAUUUGUGGUAGUCUAUUUUGAUGAUAUACUGAUUUAUAGCAAAUCUUUGGAAGAACAUUUGGAACAUUUACGUGUUGUUUUUAUUGCUCUACGUGAUGCACGUUUGUUUGGUAACCUUGGGAAGUGCACCUUUUGCACCGACCGAGUAUCUUUUCUUGGCUAUGUUGUUACUCCACAGGGAAUUGAAGUUGACAAAGCCAAGAUUGAAGCUAUUGAGAGUUGGCCGCAGCCCAAAGCGGUCACACAAGUGAGGAGUUUUCUUGGCCUCGCUGGAUUCUAUAGGCGUUUUGUGAGAGAUUUCAGCACCAUUGCUGCACCUCUCAAUGAGCUUACAAAGAAAGAUGUGCCUUUUCUUUGGGGUACCGCACAGGAAGAAGCCUUCUCGGUAUUGAAAGAUAAGUUGACACAUGCUCCUUUACUCCAACUUCCUGAUUUUAAUAAGACUUUUGAGCUUGAAUGUGAUGCUAGUGGAAUUGGAUUAGGAGGUGUGUUAUUACAAGAUGGCAAACCUGUUGCAUACUUUUCUGAAAAAUUGAGUGGGCCUAGUCUGAAUUAUUCUACUUAUGAUAAAGAAAUAUAUGCUCUUGUUCGGACUUUCGAAACAUGGCAACAUUAUUUAUGGCCCAAAGAAUUUGUUAUACAUUCUGAUCAUGAAUCUUUGAAACAUAUUAAAAGUCAAGCUAAACUGAAUCGUAGACAUGCUAAAUGGGUUGAAUUCAUUGAGACUUUCCCUAAUGUCAUUAAACACAAGAAGGGAAAAGAAAAUGUUAUUGCUAAUGCAUUGUCUCGUCGCUAUACUAUGCUUUCACAACUUGACUUCAAAAUAUUUGGUUUGGAGACCAUCAAAGAUCAAUAUGUGCAUGAUGCUGAUUUUAAAGAUGUAAUGCAGAAUUGUAAAGAAGGAAGAAUGUGGAACAAGUUUGUCGUUAACGAUGGAUUUGUGUUUCGUGCUAACAAGCUAUGCAUUCCAGCUAGCUCCGUUCGUCUUUUGUUGUUGCAGGAAGUGCAUGGAGGAGGAUUAAUGGGACAUUUUGGCGUGAAGAAGACGAAGGACGUACUUGCUACACAUUUCUUUUGGCCAAAGAUGAGACGGGAUGUUGAGCGUUUUAUUGCUCGAUGCACUACAUGUCAAAAAGCUAAGUCACGACUCAAUCCUCAUGGUUUAUAUAUGCCUUUGCCUGUACCUAGUGUUCCUUGGGAGGAUAUAUCUAUGGACUUUGUUUUAGGUUUACCUUGAACAAAGAAGGGGAGGGAUAGCAUAUUUGUUGUCGUGGAUAGAUUCUCGAAAAUGGCACACUUUAUACCAUGUCAUAAAAGCGAUGAUGCUGUUAAUGUUGCUGAUUUGUUCUUUCGUGAAAUUAUUCGCUUGCAUGGUGUGCCAAAUACUAUUGUUUCAGAUCGUGAUACUAAAUUUCUUAGCCACUUUUGGAGAUGUUUAUGGGCUAAGUUGGGGACUAAACUGCUUUUUAGUACUACUUGUCACCCCCAAACUGAUGGACAAACUGAAGUAGUCAAUAGAACGUUGUCUACUAUGCUUAGGGCUGUUUUGAAGAAUAAUAAGAAAAUGUGGGAGGAAUGCUUGCCUCAUAUUGAAUUUGCUUAUAAUCGUUCAUUGCAUUCUACUACUAAGAUGUGCCCUUUUGAAGUUGUCUAUGGUUUCCUACCUCGUGCACCUAUUGAUUUGUUGCCUCUUUCAUCUUCGGAGAAGGUUAAUUUUGAUGCUAAACAACGUGCUGAAUUGAUUUUAAAAAUGCAUGAGUUAACUAAGGAAAACAUUGAGCGCGUGAAUGCUAAAUAUAAACUUGCUGGAGAUAAGGGUAGAAAACAUGUUGUGUUUGCACCUGGAGAUCUUGUUUGGUUACAUUUGCGUAAGGAUAGAUUUCCUGAUUUGCGCAAAUCAAAGUUAAUGCCACGUGCUGAUGGUCCCUUUAAGGUGUUAGAGAAAAUAAAUGAUAAUGCAUAUAAACUUGAGCUGCCUGCAGAUUUUGGGGUUAGUCCCACUUUUAACAUUGCAGAUUUGAAGCCUUAUUUGGGUGAGGAAGAUGAAUUUCCGUCGAGGACGACUUCAUUUCAAGAAGGGGAGGAUGAUGAGGACAUCAAUACAAUUGUUACACCCACAGCCCCUGCUGCUAUACAUACUGGACCAAUUACUAGAGCUCGUGCACGCCAACUAAAUUACCAGGUACUUUCGUUUCUUGGUAAUGAUUCUAAUGUUUAUGAGAAUAUGAUGUUGCCUAAAUUGGAUACAUUUGUUUUGCUUACAAAUGAAGGGCCUAGCUUGGAGAAGGAUGAACAUUGGAGCAAGAACAAGCAUGGAGAUGAUGCCAUGCGCAAGGGGAACAAGAACGGAGUUACAAGUGAUGAUUUCAGGACUUUGAAGCCACCAUAAUGGGUGCAUGAAGCCUUGGACGAAAUAUACAAGAUGCCACUUCAUAAAUUUCGUCCCGAGGCUAUUUUAGGUGCUGCGUCACCUUAUUAUUGGGCCAGGCCCAUGUAAUUUCGAAAUACAUAAGUAUAGGCUAUUUUUAGAGUCCGUAUGUGUGGGGAAACAAGAGAUAGGGUUGAUUUCGGACCCCUCCACCAAGGGCCACGAAAUUCCCCCCCUCUUCCUCCAUAUAUACAGCCCUUAGGGCAUCGUUUAGACUUUGGGUUUUGUUUAGAUUAAAAGUUCGCCAUAGCUGCAACUUCACGUACUUCGUUUGUGUUCAACGACCAGACAAAGGCGUCACAGAACCCCACCUUGAUCAAUAAAGCUUUCAUCUUAUAUUCGCAAUAUCCAGAUUGCAAUCUUAGUUUCUUGCUUGUUCUUCGUUUGCUCGCAGGAAACAGACCCUCGUGGUCAGGUUGAUCGUGCUCCGGCGUGGUCAAUAACCUCUCGGAGUUGGUUUAGCGAUUGCUAAGGCGCGACGUCCUCGCACGUUCGUAGUCGGAUCGCCAAAGUCGACUUCCACCAAAGCGAAAUCCACCAUCUCAUCGACAGACGGGACACCUUUGCCUCUAUCAGAUAGCAUAUUUGUUGUCGUGGAUAGAUUCUCGAAAAUGGCACACUUUAUACCAUGUCAUAAAAGCGAUGAUGCUGUUAAUGUUGCUGAUUUGUUCUUUCGUGAAAUUAUUCGCUUGCAUGGUGUGCCAAAUACUAUUGUUUCAGAUCGUGAUACUAAAUUUCUUAGCCACUUUUGGAGAUGUUUAUGGGCUAAGUUGGGGACUAAACUGCUUUUUAGUACUACUUGUCACCCCCAAACUGAUGGACAAACUGAAGUAGUCAAUAGAACGUUGUCUACUAUGCUUAGGGCUGUUUUGAAGAAUAAUAAGAAAAUGUGGGAGGAAUGCUUGCCUCAUAUUGAAUUUGCUUAUAAUCGUUCAUUGCAUUCUACUACUAAGAUGUGCCCUUUUGAAGUUGUGUAUGGUUUCCUACCUCGUGCACCUAUUGAUUUGUUGCCUCUUCCAUCGUCGGAGAAGGUUAAUUUUGAUGCUAAACAACGUGCUGAAUUGAUUUUAAAAAUGCAUGAGUUAACUAAGGAAAACAUUGAGCGUAUGAAUGCUAAAUAUAAACUUGCUGGAGAUAAGGGUAGAAAACAUGUUGUGUUUGCACCUGGAGAUCUUGUUUGGUUACAUUUGCAUAAGGAUAGAUUUCCUGAUUUGCGCAAAUCAAAGCUAAUGCCACGUGCUGAUGGUCCCUUUAAGGUGUUAGAGAAAAUAAAUGAUAAUGCAUAUAAACUUGAGCUGCCUGCAGAUUUUGGGGUUAGUCCCACUUUUAACAUUCAGAUUUGAAGCCUUAUUUGGGUGAGGAAGAUGAACUUCCGUCGAGGACGACUUCAUUUCAAGAAGGGGAGGAUGAUGAGGACAUCAAUACAAUUGUUACACCCACAGCCCCUGCUGCUAUACAUACUGGACCAAUUACUAGAGCUCGUGCACGCCAACUAAAUUACCAGGUACUUUCGUUUCUUGGUAAUGAUCCUAAUGUUCAUGAGAAUAUGAUGCUGCCUAAAUUGGAUACAUUUGUUUUGCUUACAAAUGAAGGGCCUAGCUUGGAGAAGGAUGAACAUUGGAGCAAGAACAAGCAUGGAGAUGAUGGCAUGCGCAAGGGGAACAAGAAUGGAGUUACAAGUGAUGAUUUCAGGACUUUGAAGCCACCAUAAUGGGUGCAUGAAGCCUUGGACGAAAUAUACAAGAUGUCACUUCAUAAAUUUCGUCCCGAGGCUAUUUUAGGUGCUGCGUCACCUUAUUAUUGGGCCAGGCCCAUGUAAUUUCGAAAUACAUAAGUAUAGGCUAUUUUUGGAGUCCGUAUGUGUGGGGAAACAAGAGAUAGGGUUGAUUUCGGACUCCUCCACCAAGGGCCACGAAAUUCCCCCCUCUUCCUCCAUAUAUACAGGCCUUAGGGCAUCGUUUAGACUUUGGGUUUUGUUUAGAUUAAAAGUUCGCCAUAGCUGCAACUUCGCGUACUUCGUUUGUGUUCAACGACCAGACAAAGACGUCACAGAACCCCACUUUGAUCAACAAAGCUUUCAUCUUAUAUUCGCAAUAUCCAGAUUGCAAUCUUAGUUUCUUGCUUGUUCUUCGUUUGCUCGCAGGAAACAGACCCUCGUGGUCAGGUUGAUCGUGCUCCGGCGUGGUCAAUAACCUCUCGGAGUUGGUUUAGCGAUUGCUAAGGCGCGACGUCCUCGCACGUUCGUAGUCGGAUCGUCAAAGUCGACUUCCACCAAAGCGAAAUCCACCAUCUCAUCGAAAGACGGGACACCUUUGACUCUAUCAACGCCAACUAAAUUACCAGGUACUUUCGUUUCUUGGUAAUGAUUCUAAUGUUCAUGAGAAUAUGAUGCUGCCUAAAUUGGAUACAUUUGUUUUGCUUACAAAUGAAGGGCCUAGCUUGGAGAAGGAUGAACAUUGGAGCAAGAACAAGCAUGGAGAUGAUGGCAUGCGCAAGGGAAACAAGAACGGAGUUACAAGGGAUGAUUUCAGGACUUUGAAGCCACCAUAAUGGGUGCAUGAAGCCUUGGACGAAAUAUACAAGAUGCCACUUCAUAAAUUUCGUCCCGAGGCUAUUUUAGGUGCUGCGUCACCUUAUUAUUGGGCCAGGCCCAUGUAAUUUCGAAAUACAUAAGUAUAGACUAUUUUUAGAGUCCGUAUGUGUGGGGAAACAAGAGAUAGGGUUGAUUUCGGACCCCUCCACCAAGGGCCACGAAAUUCCCCCCUCUUCCUCCAUAUAUACAGCCCUUAGGGCAUCGUUUAGACUUUGGGUUUUGUUUAGAUUAAAAGUUCGCCAUAGCUGCAACUUCGCGUACUUCGUUUGUGUUCAACGACCAGACAAAGGCGUCACAGAACCCCACCUUGAUCAAUAAAGCUUUCAUCUUAUAUUCGCGAUAUCCAGAUUGCAAUCUCAGUUUCUUGCUUGUUCUUCGUUUGCUCGUAGAAAACAGACCCUCGUGGUCAGGUUGAUCGUGCUCCGGCAUGGUCAAUAACCUCUCGGAGUUGGUUUAGCGAUUGCUAAGGCGCGACGUCCUCGCACGUUCGUAGUCGGAUCGUCAAAGUCGACUUCCAACAAAGCGAUAUCCAUCAUCUCAUCGAAAGACGGGACACCUUUGCCUCUAUCAAGUGGUAUCAGAUUUCCAGGUUGCUCGGUGAGAUUUUACAGUUUUUCGUAGUUUAGAUCGAGUCUGUCUUCAUACCUAUAGUCCACGAAAAAGCCACAAAAAAAAUUAGGGUUAGUUCAUCAUAUCCGAACCAAUCUGAGCCUUUGCAUAAUCUUUUUAGGGUUUUGCUUUGUUGAAUUUGCGGUUGCAUCGUGUUUCUAGUUGCUGGUCUUAGAGUCUAGUCUUUUAGAGUUUCGAGUUCUGGUCAUAAGUUGUCACGCCACCGCCGCACCAUCAUCAUCGCCCCUGCCAUCUACCACCACCGCUCCGAAUCCGUAUCCAUAUACCACCACCAAUCCGUGUCCAUAUACCACCACCGAUCCAUAUCCAUAUACUACCACCGCUACCACCACCGCUGCCAUAUACCACCACCAUAUAUCCACCACCAAUCCGAUUUCCUUGCUUAUUAGGUUUGUUUUCGAGAUCCAUCUAGUUUCCGAUUCGUGUUUCCUUGCCGGAGUAGGUUUCGGAAAAAAAAAGAGUCGGGUAGCCACGCUCCGUUUAGGCCCAAAAUUUUUUCGAAAACGCAUUUUUCGAAAAAAUUUCUGGCUAUCCUAUUUUUAGGUGUUUCUGAGUGUUUUGAGACAGGUGCCAUUAUAGGAAGUUUUUUUUGACCCGUUUCCAGUUUUUGGGUCCGGGCAGUCGAAAAAAAAAAUUUGUCGAAAAAAAAAAUUCGUGCCCAUCCUGUCAGUUUGACCUAGGAAGAGUUUUGAGACACUUGCCACCAUAGUGAUUUUUCGCAAAAAAAAACAGCGCAAAAAAAAAGAGCGCAAAAAAAAGAGCGAAAAGAAAAAUUUCAGAGUGUGCUUUUCCCUUGUUUACGUGCCGCUCCGUGAUUUUUUGGUGUUCUAGGCUCGCGUCUCUAGCACAGUCUAGCCUAGGACCAGCACAGUACCGUCGUUGAGCGUUUAUUCAACUUUGCAUCUCUGAAUUGAUUAUUGCUGACCCUUUUUGCUACCAUACUAUAAGCCUUCCCAGCUCCACAUACAUCUACGUCGUGUGUUUGACUCUCCCUGGUAAUCGCUCUAUCCAAGCUUUGAGAGUUUUUGACUACAACGGUUGCCGAUCACCGCCUGCUGCUGGGUAAGAACUGGUAAGAAUUUGAGAUUUGCUUGACGGAUUUGUGAUACACCACCACCACUUCUUAGUAGUUGAUGAGGACAUCAAUACAAUUGUUACACCCACAGCCCCUGCUGCUAUACAUACUGGACCAAUUACUAGAGCUCGUGCACGCCAACUAAAUUACCAGGUACUUUCGUUUCUUGGUAAUGAUUCUAAUGUUCAUGAGAAUAUGAUGCUGCCUAAAUUGGAUACAUUUGUUUUGCUUACAAAUGAAGGGCCUAGCUUGGACAAGGAUGAACAUUGGAGCAAGAACAAGCAUGGAGAUGAUGGCAUGCGCAAGGGGAACAAGAACGGAGUUACAAGUGAUGAUUUCAGGACUUUGAAGCCACCAUAAUGGGUGCAUGAAGCCUUGGACGAAAUAUACAAGAUGCCACUUCAUAAAUUUCGUCCCGAGGCUAUUUUAGGUGCUGCGUCACCUUAUUAUUGGGCCAGGCCCAUGUAAUUUCGAAAUACAUAAGUAUAGGCUAUUUUUAGAGUCCGUAUGUGUGGGGAAACAAGAGAUAGGGUUGAUGUCGGACCCCUCCACCAAGGGCCACGAAAUUCCCCCCUCUUCCUCCAUAUAUACAGCCCUUAGGGCAUCGUUUAGACUUUGGGUUUUGUUUAGAUUAAAAGUUCGCCAUAGCUGCAACUUCGCGUACUUCGUUUGUGUUCAACGACCAGACAAAGGCGUCACAGAACCCCACCUUGAUCAAUAAAGCUUUCAUCUUAUAUUCGCAAUAUCCAGAUUGCAAUCUUAGUUUCUUGCUUGUUCUUCGUUUGCUCGCAGGAAACAGACCCUCGUGGUCAGGUUGAUCGUGCUCCGGCGUGGUCAAUAACCUCUCGGAGUUGGUUUAGCGAUUGCUAAGGCGCGACGUCCUCGCACGUUCGUAGUCGGAUCGUCAAAGUCGACUUCCACCAAAGCGAAAUCCACCAUCUCAUCGAAAGACGGGACACCUCCGCCUCUAUCAACUUGUCACCCCCAAACUGAUGGACAAACUGAAGUAGUCAAUAGAACGUUGUCUACUAUGCUUAGGGCUGUUUUGAAGAAUAAUAAGAAAAUGUGGGAGGAAUGCUUGCCUCAUAUUGAAUUUUCUUAUAAUCGUUCAUUGCAUUCUACUACUAAGAUGUGCCCUUUUGAAGUUGUGUAUGGUUUCCUACCUCGUGCACCUAUUGAUUUGUUGCCUCUUCCAUCUUCGGAGAAGGUUAAUUUUGAUGCUAAACAACGUGCUGAAUUGAUUUUAAAAAUGCAUGAGUUAACUAAGGAAAACAUUGAGCGUAUGAAUGCUAAAUAUAAACUUGCUGGAGAUAAGGGUAGAAAACAUGUUGUGUUUGCACCUGGAGAUGUUGUUUGGUUACAUUUGCGUAAGGAUAGAUUUCCUGAUUUGCGCAAAUCAAAGCUAAUGCCACGUGCUGAUGGUCCCUUUAAGGUGUUAGAGAAAAUAAAUGAUAAUGCAUAUAAACUUGAGCUGCCUGCAGAUUUUGGGGUUAGUCCCACUUUUAACAUUGCAGAUUUGAAGCCUUAUUUGGGUGAGGAAGAUGGACUUCCGUCGAGGACGACUUCAUUUCAAGAAGGGGAGGAUGAUGAGGACAUCAAUACAAUUGUUACACCCACAGCCCCUGCUGCUAUACAUACUGGACCAAUUACUAGAGCUCGUGCAUGCCAACUAAAUUACCAGGUACUUUCGUUUCUUGGUAAUGAUUCUAAUGUUCAUGAGAAUAUGAUGCUGCCUAAAUUGGAUACAUUUGUUUUGCUUACAAAUGAAGGGCCUAGCUUGGAGAAGGAUGAACAUUGGAGCAAGAACAAGCAUGGAGAUGAUGGCAUGCGCAAGGGAAACAAGAACGGAGUUACAAGGGAUGAUUUCAGGACUUUGAAGCCACCAUAAUGGGUGCAUGAAGCCUUGGACGAAAUAUACAAGAUGCCACUUCAUAAAUUUCGUCCCGAGGCUAUUUUAGGUGCUGCGUCACCUUAUUAUUGGGCCAGGCCCAUGUAAUUUCGAAAUACAUAAGUAUAGGCUAUUUUUAGAGUCCGUAUGUGUGGGGAAACAAGAGAUAGGGUUGAUUUCGGACCCCUCCACCAAGGGCCACGAAAUUCCCCCCUCUUCCCCCAUAUAUACAACCCUUAGGGCAUCGUUUAGACUUUGGGUUUUGUUUAGAUUAAAAGUUCGCCAUAGCUGCAACUUCGCGUACUUCGUUUGUGUUGAACGACCAGACAAAGGCGUCACAGAACCCCACCUUGAUCAAUAAAGCUUUCAUCUUAUAUUCGCAAUAUCCAGAUUGCAAUCUCAGUUUCUUGCUUGUUCUUCGUUUGCUCGCAGGAAACAGACCCUCGUGGUCAGGUUGAUCGUGCUCCGGCGUGGUCAAUAACCUCUCGGAGUUGGUUUAGCGAUUGCUAAGGCGCGACGUCCUCGCACGUUCGUAGUCGGAUCGUCAAAGUCGACUUCCAACAAAGCGAUAUCCAUCAUCUCAUCGAAAGACGGGACACCUUUGCCUCUAUCAAGUGGUAUCAGAUUUCCAGGUUGCUCGAUGAGAUUUUACAGUUUUUCGUAGUUUAGAUCGAGUCUGUCUUCAUACCUAUAGUCUACGAAAAAGCCACAAAAAAAUUAGGGUUAGUUCAUCAUAUCCGAACCAAUCUGAGCCUUUGCAUAAUCUUUUUAGGGUUUUGCUUUGUUGAAUUUGCGGUUGCAUCGUCGUUUCUAGUUGCUGGUCUUAGAGUCUAGUCUUUUAGAGUUUCGAGUUCUGGUCAUAAGUUGUCACGCCGCUGCCGCACCAUCAUCAUCGCCCCUGCCAUCUACCACCACCGCUCCGAAUCCGUAUCCAUAUACCACCACCAAUCCGUGUCCAUAUACCACCACCGAUCCAUAUCCAUAUACUACCACCGCUACCACCACCGCUGCCAUAUACCACCACCAUAUAUCCACCACCAAUCCGAUUUCCUUGCUUAUUAGGUUUGUUUUCGAGAUCCAUCUAGUUUCCGAUUCGUGUUUCCUUGCCGGAGUAGGUUUCGGAAAAAAAAAGAGUCGGGUAGCCACGCUCCGUUUAGGCCCAAAAUUUUUCGAAAACGCAUUUUUCGAAAAAAUUUCUGGCUAUCCUAUUUUUAGGUGUUUCUGAGUGUUUUGAGACAGGUGCCAUUAUAGGAAGUUUGUUUUGACCCGUUUCCAGUUUUUGGGUCCGGGCAGUCGAAAAAAAAAAAUUUGUCGAAAAAAAAAAUUCGUGCCCAUCCUGUCAGUUUGACCUAGGAAGAGUUUUGAGACACUCGCCAUUAUAGUGAUUUUUCGCAAAAAAAAAACAGCGCAAAAAAAAGAGCGCAAAAAAAAGAGAGCAAAAAGAAAAAUUUUAGAGUGUGCUUUUCCCUUGUUUACGUGCCGCGCCGUGAUUUUGUUGGUGUUCUAGGCUCGCGUCUCUAGCACAGUCUAGCCUAGGACCAGCACAGUACCGUCGUUGAGCGUUUAUUCAACUUUGCAUCUCUGAAUUGAUUAUUGUUGACCCUUUUUGCUACCAUACUAUAAGCCUUCCCAGCUCCACAUACAUCUACGUCGUGUGUUUGACUCUCCCUGGUAAUCGCUCUAUCCAGGCUUUGAGAGUUUUUGACUACAACGGUUGCCGAUCACCGCCUGCUGCUGGGUAAGAACUGGUAAGAAUUUGAGAUUUGCUUGACGGAUUUGUGAUACACCACCACCACUUCUUAGUAGUUGAUGAGGACAUCAAUACAAUUGUUACACCCACAGCCCCUGCUGCUAUACAUACUGGACCAAUUACUAGAGCUCGUGCACGCCAACUAAAUUACCAGGUACUUUCGUUUCUUGGUAAUGAUUCUAAUGUUCAUGAGAAUAUGAUGCUGCCUAAAUUGGAUACAUUUGUUUUGCUUACAAAUGAAGGGCCUAGCUCGGAGAAGGAUGAACAUUGGAGCAAGAACAAGCAUGGAGAUGAUGGCAUGCGCAAGGGAAACAAGAACGGAGUUACAAGGGAUGAUUUCAGGACUUUGAAGCCACCAUAAUGGGUGCAUGAAGCCUUGGACGAAAUAUACAAGAUGCCACUUCAUAAAUUUCGUCCCGAGGCUAUUUUAGGUGCUGCGUCACCUUAUUAUUGGGCCAGGCCCAUGUAAUUUCGAAAUACAUAAGUAUAGGCUAUUUUUAGAGUCCGUAUGUGUGGGGAAACAAGAGAUAGGGUUGAUUUCGGACCCCUCCACCAAGGGCCACGAAAUUCCCCCCUCUUCCUCCAUAUAUACAGCCCUUAGGGCAUCGUUUAGACUUUGGGUUUUGUUUAGAUUAAAAGUUCGCCAUAGCUACAACUUCGCGUACUUCGUUUGUGUUCAACGACCAGACAAAGGCGUCACAGAACCCCACCUUGAUCAAUAAAGCUUUCAUCUUAUAUUCGCGAUAUCCAGAUUGCAAUCUCAGUUUCUUGCUUGUUCUUCGUUUGCUCGCAGGAAACAGACCCUCGUGGUGAGGUUGAUCGUGCUCCGGCGUGGUCAAUAACCUCUCGGAGUUGGUUUAGCGAUUGCUAAGGCGCGACGUCCUCGCACGUUCGUAGUCGGAUCGUCAAAGUCGACUUCCAACAAAGCGAUAUCCAUCAUCUCAUCGAAAGACGGGACACCUUUGCCUCUAUCAAGUGGUAUCAGAUUUCCAGGUUGCUAGGUGAGAUUUUACAGUUUUUCGUAGUUUAGAUCGAGUCUGUCUUCAUACCUAUAGUCCACGAAAAAGCCACAAAAAAAUUUAGGGUUAGUUCAUCAUAUCCGAACCAAUCUGAGCCUUUGCAUAAUCUUUUUAGGGUUUUGCUUUGUUGAAUUUGCGGUUGCAUCGUCGUUUCUAGUUGCUGGUCUUAGAGUCUAGUCUUUUAGAGUUUCGAGUUCUGGUCAUAAGUUGGCACGCCGCCGCCGCACCAUCAUCAUCGCCCCUGCCAUCUACCACCACCGCUUCGAAUCCGUAUCCAUAUACCACCACCAAUCCGUGUCCAUAUACCACCACCGAUCCAUAUCCAUAUACUACCACCGCUACCACCACCGCUGCCAUAUACCACCACCAUAUAUCCACCACCAAUCCGAUUUCCUUGCUUAUUAGGUUUGUUUUCGAGAUCCAUCUAGUUUCCGAUUCGUGUUUCCUUGCCGGAGUAGGUUUCGGAAAAAAAAAGAGUCGGGUAGCCACGCUCCAUUUAGGCCCAAAAUUUUUUCGAAAACGCAUUUUUCGAAAAAAAUUCUAGCUAUCCUAUUUUUUUUGACCCGUUUCCAGUUUUUGGGUCCGGGCAGUCGAAAAAAAAAAUUUUGUCGAAAAAAAAAAUUCGUGCCCAUCCUGUCAGUUUGACCUAGGAAGAGUUUUGAGACACUCGCCAUUAUAGUGAUUUUUCGCAAAAAAAAGCAGCGCAAAAAAAAGAGCGAAUUUUUUUUCAGAGUGUGCUUUUCCCUUGUUUACGUGCCGCGCCGUGAUUUUGUUGGUGUUCUAGGCUCGCGUCUCUAGCACAGUCUAGCCUAGGACCAGCACAGUACCGUCGUUGAGCGUUUAUUCAACUUUGCAUCUCUGAAUUGAUUAUUGCUGACCCUUUUUGCUACCAUAGUAUAAGCCUUCCCAGCUCCACAUACAUCUACGUCGUGCGUUUGACUCUCCCUGGUAAUCGCUUUAUCCAAGCUUUGAGAGUUUUGACUACAACGGUUGCCGAUCACCGCCUGUUGCUGGGUAAGAACUGGUAAGAAUUUGAGUUUUGCUUGACGGAUUUGUGACACCCACCACCACCACUUGUUCGUAGUCUGUAGGAUCAUAUUCUUGUGUGUUUCUAUUGCUGCUAACCAUGCCAGGAUCACAAGCCGACGAGAUUGACUGGGAGAAUUUAUCGAACAAGGAGCUUCAUGAUAAGUUUCAGCAAAUGAUGACUGAACAGGUGCAAGAUGUGCUGAACAAUUUUGAAGAGGCCAUGGAGAAGAUCACUGGCCUUGAGAAGACGUUCGAAACAAAGCUCGAUAACAGAUUUAAUGAAUUGCUUGCGCGUCUUCCACCACCACCACCCGCUGCACCUAACGCACCUCUCCAGAAACAACAACAACGACUACCUCCACGUCGCGAAAUAGACCUUCGCCGAGCGAGCCGUGUUCCUCUUGUGUUUGGCCAAACUGUUGGUGCUGCUGUUGAUACUUCUGUGGCUCCUGCUACUGCUGUUGCUGGUACCCAGGAGGAUGAUGAGUAUGCGGGCGAUUAUGAGGAUGAGGUUGAUCAAAAUCAGAUCUACGAGCAGCCACCAGCACCACCACCAGCAGGUCGACCUCAGGUAUAUAUUCGUAAUGGUACGCCUGCACCACCACCUCAGGUACGAGAUGAUGUCCAUAUUCCUAAACUGAAAUUGAAUAUUCCACCAUUUGAGGGUAGAUAUGUUCCUGAUAUAUAUCUUACUUGGGAGUUAGAAACUGAACAACGAUUUACAUGUUUACAAUAUCCUGAGGAGAGACGAGUUGCUGCUGCUGUUUGUGCUUUCACUAGUUUUGCAUGUGUAUGGUGGUCUGAACAUUGUAGAUUAUAUCCUAUUCCAACUACUUGGGCUGCUUUGAAAACUGCUAUGCGUACGCGUUGGGUUCCACCAUAUUAUCAACGUGAAUUGCUUCAAAAAUUGCAGCGUUUAAGACAAGGAAAAAAUUCUGUAGAAGAAUAUUAUCAGGAAUUACAAACUGGCAUGAUUAGAUGUGGUAUUGUUGAGGAGAAUGAAGCUAUGCUUGCACGUUUUCUGGGUGGAUUAAAUAGAGAGAUUCAGACCAUUCUAGACUAUAAGGAGUAUACUAAUAUCACUCGUUUAUUCCAUCUUGCUUGUAAAGCUGAACGUGAAGUGCAGGAUCGACAAGCAUUGGGGCGAACUAACUUUUCUGCAGGCCGACAUUCAUCAUGGACACCACGUGCAUCUUCUACUUCAACUGCACCAGCACCUCCAGUCGUGAUACAAGAAAACAGGCACAACCACCAUUAUCUGCCAAGAGCGCACCUGCGGGGCCUGCACAGCGUUCUUCUUCUUCCAUGGCAUCAACAGGGCACACAAGUGAUAUUAUUUGUCGUCGUUGUAAGGGAGGAGGUCAUUAUGCGAGAGAAUGCAAAUCUCCGCGUGUGAUGAUUGCUACCGCGGAUGGUGGAUAUGAGUCCGCUAGUGACUAUGAUGAGGAGACUUUGGCUCUUAUUACACGUGAAGAACAUGGUGGAGAUGAUUCUGAUCAUGAGACGCAAUACAUGGCUCCUGAAGACGCUGACAGGUAUGAAUGUUUAGUUGCUCAACGUGUUUUGAGUGUGCAGGUUACACAAGCUGAGCAAAAUCAGAGGCACAAUUUGUUCCAUACCAAGGGAGUUGUGAAGGAACGUUCUGUGCGCGUCAUCAUAGACGGAGGGAGCUGCAACAACUUGGCUAGCAUGGAGAUGGUGGAGAAGCUUUCUCUCACCACAAGACCACAUCCACAUCCUUACUACAUCCAAUGGUUCAACAACAGCGGCAAGGUUAAGGUAACACGUACUGUUCGUGUGCAUUUUAGUAUCUCUACAUAUGCUGAUUAUGUUGAUUGUGAUGCGGUACCUAUGCAAGCAUGUUCCUUAUUACUUGGUAGACCAUGGCAAUUUGAUAAAAAUUCUGUACACCAUGGUAGAAACAAUCACUAUACUCUUGUUCAUAAGGAUAAAAAUAUUACUUUGCUUCCUAUGACUCCUGAUUCCAUUUUGAAAGAUGAUAUUAAUAGAGCUAAUAAAGCACAACAGGAGAAGAAUAAGAGUGAAAAUCAGAUUGUGGCAAAAGAAUUUGAGCAACAAAUGAAGCCUAAUAAUAAACCAUCUAGUGUUGCUUCUGAAAUUAAAUUGAAAAGUGCAUGUUUAUUUGCCACCAAAUCUGAUAUUGAUGAGCUAGAUUUCAGCAAAUCUGUUUGCUAUGCUUUUGUGUGCAAAGAGGCAUUAUUUUCAUUCGAGGACGUGCCUUCCUCUUUGCCUCCUGCUGUCACUAACAUUUUGCAGGAGUUCGCUGAUGUCUUUCCACAAGACGUGCCACCGGGAUUACCACCUAUUCGAGGGAUUGAGCAUCAGAUUGACUUAAUUCCCGGUGCUUCACUGCCAAACCGUGCACCAUACCGUACCAAUCCAGAGGAGAUGAAGGAGAUUAUGCGUCAAGUACAAGAGCUUCUCGACAAAGGUUAUAUACGCGAAUCCCUUAGUCCUUGUGCUGUUCCUAUUAUUCUAGUGCCGAAAAAGGAUGGUACAUCACGUAUGUGUGUUGAUUGUAGAGGCAUUAAUAAUAUUACUAUUCGUUAUCGUCAUCCUAUUCCUAGGCUAGAUGAUAUGCUUGAUGAAUUGAGUGGCACUACAAUAUUCUCCAAAGUUGAUUUGCGUAGUGGCUACCAUCAAAUUCAUAUGAAAUUGGGAGAUGAAUGGAAAACAGCAUUUAAAACUAAGUUUGGAUUAUAUGAGUCGUUAGUCAUGCCUUUUGGGUUAACUAAUGCACCUAGUACUUUCAUGAGAUUAAUGAACGAAGUUUUACGUGCUUUCAUUGGACGAUUUGUGGUAGUUUACUUUGAUGACAUACUGAUUUAUAGCAGAUCUUUGGAAGAACAUUUGGAACAUUUACGUGCUGUUUUUAUUGCUCUACGUGAUGCACGUUUGUUUGGUAACCUUGGGAAGUGCACCUUUUGCACCGACCGAGUAUCUUUUCUUGGCUAUGUUGUUACUCCACAGGGAAUUGAAGUUGACAAAGCCAAGAUUGAAGCUAUUGACAGUUGGCCGCAGCCCAAAACGGUCACACAAGUGAGGAGUUUUCUUGGCCUCGCUGGAUUCUAUAGGCGUUUUGUGAGAGAUUUCAGCACCAUUGCUGCACCUCUCAAUGAGCUUACAAAGAAGGAUGUGCCUUUUGUUUGGGGUACCGCACAGGAAGAAGCCUUCACGGUAUUGAAAGAGAAGUUGACACAUGCUCCUUUACUCCAACUUCCUGAUUUUAAUAAGACUUUUGAGCUUGAAUGUGAUGCUAGUGGAAUUGGAUUAGGAGGUGUGUUAUUACAAGAUGGCAAACCUAUUGCAUACUUUUCUGAAAAAUUGAGUGGGCCUAGUCUGAAUUAUUCUACUUAUGAUAAAGAAUUAUAUGCUCUUGUUCGGACUUUAGAAACAUGGCAACAUUAUUUAUGGCCCAAAGAAUUUGUUAUACAUUCUGAUCAUGAAUCUUUGAAACAUAUUAAAAGUCAAGCUAAACUGAAUCGUAGACAUGCUAAAUGGGUUGAAUUCAUUGAGACUUUCCCUUAUGUCAUUAAACACAAGAAGGGAAAAGAAAAUGUUAUUGCUGAUGCAUUGUCUCGUCGCUAUACUAUGCUUUCACAACUUGACUUCAAAAUAUUUGGUUUGGAGACCAUCAAAGAUCAAUAUGUGCAUGAUGCUGAUUUUAAAGAUGUAAUGUAGAAUUGUAAAGAAGGAAGAAUGUGGAACAAGUUUGUCGUUAACGAUGGAUUUGUGUUUCGUGCUAACAAGCUAUGCAUUCCAGCUAGCUCCGUUCGUCUUUUGUUGUUGCAGGAGGCGCAUUGAUAGAGGCGGAGGUGUCCCGUCUUUGGAUGAGAUGAUGGAUUUCGCUUUGGUGGAAAUUGAUUUUGACGAUCCGACUACGAACGUGCGAGGACGUCGCGCCUUAGCAAUCGCUAAACCAACUCCGAGAGGUUAUUGACCACGCCGGAGCACGAUCAACCUGACCACGAGGGUCUGUUUCCUGCGAGCAAACGAAGAACAAGCAAGAAACUGAGAUUGCAAUCUGGAUAUUGCAAAUAUAAGAUGAAAGCUUUAUUGAUCAAGGUGGGGUUCUGUGACGCCUUUGUCUGGUCGUUGAACACAAACGAAGUACGCGAAGUUGCAGCUAUGGCGAACUUUUAAUCUAAACAAAACCCAAAGUCUAAACGAUGCCCUAAGGGCUGUAUAUAUGGAGGAAGAGGGGGGAAUUUCGUGGCCCUUGGUGGAGGGGUCCGAAAUCAACCCUAUCUCUUGUUUCCCCACACAUACGGACUCUAAAAAUAGCCUAUACUUAUGUAUUUCGAAAUUACAUGGGCCUGGCCCAAUAAUAAGGUGACGCAGCACCUAAAAUAGCCUCGGGAUGAAAUUUAUGAAGUGGCAUCUUGUAUAUUUCGUCCAAGGCUUCAUGCACCCAUUAUGGUGGCUUCAAAGUCCUGAAAUCAUCACUUGUAACUCCGUUCUUGUUCCCCUUGCGCAUGCCAUCAUCUGCAUGCUUGUUCUUGCUCCAAUGUUCAUCCUUCUCCAAGCUAGGCCCUUCAUUUGUAAGCAAAACAAAUGUAUCCAAUUUAGGCAGCAUCAUAUUCUCAUGAACAUUAGAAUCAUUACCAAGAAACGAAAGUACCUGGUAAUUUAGUUGGCGUGCACGAGCUCUAGUAAUUGGUCCAGUAUGUAUAGCAGCAGGGGCUGUGGGUGUAACAGUUGUAUUGAUGUCCUCAUCACUAGUUUUGCAUGUGUAUGGUGGUCUGAACAUUGUAGAUUAUAUCCUAUUCCAACUACUUGGGAUGCUUUGAAAACUGCUAUGCGUACGCGUUGGGUUCCACCAUAUUAUCAACGUGAAUUGCUUCAAAAAUUGCAGCGUUUAAGACAAGGAAAAAAUUCUGUAGAAGAAUAUUAUCAGGAAUUACAAACUGGCAUGAUUAGAUGUGGUAUUGUUGAGGAGAAUGAAGCUAUGCUUGCACGUUUUCUGGGUGGAUUAAAUAGAGAGAUUCAGACCAUUCUAGACUAUAAGGAGUAUACUAAUAUCACUCGUUUAUUCCAUCUUGCUUGUAAAGCUGAACGUGAAGUGCAGGAUCGACAAGCAUUGGGGCGAACUAACUUUUCUGCAGGCCGACCUUCAUCAUGGACACCACGUGCAUCUUCUACUUCAACUGCACCAGCACCUCCAUCAGGUGCCACCUCCAGCCGUGAUACAAGAAAACAGGCACAACCACCAUUAUCUGCCAAGAGCGCACCUGCGGGGCCUACACAGCGUUCUUCUUCUUCCAUAGCAUCAACAGGGCACACAAGUGAUAUUAUUUGUCGUCGUUGUAAGGGAGGAGGUCAUUAUGCGAGAGAAUGCAAAUCUCCGCGUAUGAUUGCUACCGCGGAUGGUGGAUAUGAGUCCGCUAGUGACUAUGAUGAGGAGACUUUGGCUCUUAUUACACGUGAAGAACAUGGUGGAGAUGAUUCUGAUCAUGAGACGCAAUACAUGGCUCCUGAAGACACUGACAGGUAUGAAUGUUUAGUUGCUCAACGUGUUUUGAGUGUGCAGGUCACACAAGCUGAGCAAAAUCAGAGGCACAAUUUGUUCCAUACCAAGGGAGUUGUGAAGGAAUGUUCUGUGCGCGUCAUCAUAGACGGAGGUAGUUGCAACAACUUGGCUAGCAUGGAGAUGGUGGAGAAGCUUUCUCUCACCACAAGACCACAUCCACAUCCUUACUACAUCCAAUGGUUCAACAACAGCGGCAAGGUUAAGGUAACACGUACUGUUCGUGUGCAUUUUAGUAUCUCUACAUAUGCUGAUUAUGUUGAUUGUGAUGUGGUACCUAUGCAAGCAUGUUCCUUAUUACUUGGUAGACCAUGGCAAUUUGAUAAAAAUUCUGUACACCAUGGUAGAAACAAUCACUAUACUCUUGUUCAUAAGGAUAAAAAUAUUACUUUGCUUCCUAUGACUCCUGAUUCCAUUUUGAAAGAUGAUAUUAAUAGAGCUAAUAAAGCAAAACAGGAGACGAAUAAGAGUGAAAAUCAGAUUGUGGCAAAAGAAUUUGAGCAACAAAUGAAGCCUAACAAUAAACCAUCUAGUGUUGCUUCUGAAAUUAAAUUGAAAAGUGCAUGUUUAUUUGCCACCAAAUCUGAUAUUGAUGAGCUAGAUUUCAGCAAAUCUGUUUGCUAUGCUUUUGUGUGCAAAGAGGCAUUAUUUUCAUUCGAGGACGUACCUUCCUCUUUGCCUCCUGCUGUCACUAACAUUUUGCAGGAGUUCGCUGACGUCUUUCCACAAGACGUGCCACCGUGAUUACCGCCUAUUCGAGGGAUUGAGCAUCAGAUUGACUUAAUUCCCGGUGCUUCACUGCCAAACCGUGCACCAUACCGUACCAAUCCAGAGGAGACGAAGGAGAUUAUGCGCCAAGUACAAGAGCUUCUCGACAAAGGUUAUAUACGCGAAUCCCUUAGUCCUUGUGCUGUUCCUAUUAUUCUAGUGCCGAAAAAGGAUGGUACAUCACGUAUGUGUGUUGAUUGUAGAGGCAUUAAUAAUAUUACUAUUCGUUAUCGUCAUCCUAUUCCUAGGCUAGAUGAUAUGCUUGAUGAAUUGAGUGGUUCUACAAUAUUCUCCAAAGUUGAUUUGCGUAGUGGCUACCAUCAAAUUUGUAUGAAAUUGGGAGAUGAAUGGAAAACAGCAUUUAAAACUAAGUUUGGAUUAUAUGAGUGGUUAGUCAUGCCUUUUGGGUUAACUAAUGCACCUAGUACUUUCAUGAGAUUAAUGAACGAAGUUUUACGUGCUUUCAUUGGACGAUUUGUGGUAGUUUACUUUGAUGACAUACUGAUUUAUAGCAGAUCUUUGGAAGAACAUUUGGAACAUUUACGUGCUGUUUUUAUUGCUCUACGUGAUGCACGUUUGUUUGGUAACCUUGGGAAGUGCACCUUUUGCACCGACCGAGUAUCUUUUCUUGGCUAUGUUGUUACUCCACAGGGAAUUGAAGUUGACAAAGCCAAGAUUGAAGCUAUUGACAGUUGGCCGCAGCCCAAAACGGUCACACAAGUGAGGAGUUUUCUUGGCCUCGCUGGAUUCUAUAGGCGUUUUGUGAGAGAUUUCAGCACCAUUGCUGCACCUCUCAAUGAGCUUACAAAGAAGGAUGUGCCUUUUGUUUGGGGUACCGCACAGGAAGAAGCCUUCACGGUAUUGAAAGAGAAGUUGACACAUGCUCCUUUACUCCAACUUCCUGAUUUUAAUAAGACUUUUGAGCUUGAAUGUGAUGCUAGUGGAAUUGGAUUAGGAGGUGUGUUAUUACAAGAUGGCAAACCUAUUGCAUACUUUUCUGAAAAAUUGAGUGGGCCUAGUCUGAAUUAUUCUACUUAUGAUAAAGAAUUAUAUGCUCUUGUUCGGACUUUAGAAACAUGGCAACAUUAUUUAUGGCCCAAAGAAUUUGUUAUACAUUCUGAUCAUGAAUCUUUGAAACAUAUUAAAAGUCAAGCUAAACUGAAUCGUAGACAUGCUAAAUGGGUUGAAUUCAUUGAGACUUUCCCUUAUGUCAUUAAACACAAGAAGGGAAAAGAAAAUGUUAUUGCUGAUGCAUUGUCUCGUCGCUAUACUAUGCUUUCACAACUUGACUUCAAAAUAUUUGGUUUGGAGACCAUCAAAGAUCAAUAUGCGCAUGAUGCUGAUUUUAAAGAUGUAAUGCAGAAUUGUAAAGAAGGAAGAAUGUGGAACAAGUUUGUCGUUAACGAUGGAUUUGUGUUUCGUGCUAACAAGCUAUGCAUUCCAGCUAGCUCCGUUCGUCUUUUGUUGUUGCAGGAGGCGCAUGGAGGAGGAUUAAUGGGACACUUUGGCGUGAAGAAGACGGAGGACGUACUUGCUACACAUUUCUUUUGGCCAAAGAUGAGACGGGAUGUUGAGCGUUUUAUUGCUCGAUGCACUACAUGUCAAAAAGCUAAGUCACGACUCAAUCCUCAUGGUUUAUAUAUGCCUUUGCCUGUACCUAGUGUUCCUUGGGAGGAUAUAUCUAUGGACUUUGUUUUAGGUUUACCUCGAACAAAGAAGGGGAGGGAUAGCAUAUUUGUUGUCGUGGAUAGAUUCUCGAAAAUGGCACACUUUAUAUGAUAGAGGCGAGGGUCCCGAUCUUUCGAUGAGAUGAUAACUAUCGAUUUGGUGGAGACGACUUUGACGAUCCGACUACAAACGUGCACGACGUUGCGCCUUAGCAAUCGCUAAACCAAUCUCCUGAGGUUACUGACGAUGCUGGAAGCACGGUCAGCCUGACCACGAAGGUCUAUUCCUGCAAGCAAUCGAAGAACGAGCAAGAAUAUGAUAAAGCAAUCUGAAUAUUGCAAAUAUAUAUGAAGUAUUGAUAAUGGUGGGGAUCCGGAAGCGGUCUUGGUCUGGUCGUUGGACACAAACGAAGUACACGAAGUUGCAAUGGCUAACUUUUAACUAAACAAAUCCCAAGGAAAAGCUACUAGAUGGAUCUACUUAUAUAGGAGCAAGGGGUGGAGGCCAAGGAGGUUGGAGGACGUCCCAAGGCAGCCUAAAACUAAAUCUAGGUCGUACAAGGCCAAUGGGCCCAAGUGGAGGUGAUGUAACACCUUUGGACUUGUAGUUUGACUCGGAUUCUGCUGCAGCAUCAGAUUGUUUCGUCCACAACUCAACGCUCCGGACGAAUUUGAAGGUGAUUCCAAUUGGGUUGAAAAGUGCACGAAAUCUAGUUUCCAACAAAAAAAGAAUCACCCAAUUCGGAGUCCGUAUGAAAAACUUGUGUGCGUUUUGAGUCAGGUAUGUCUGUGCAGUCCGAAUCUGAAUCCAGAACGUGAGAGACUUGGACUCUAUCUUCUCUUGGGCCAAAAGUGACGUGAGAGAACUUUUUGAACAGAAAAUAAACAUCUCUUUCUUCCUUAUCUUCAUAUGUGGAUUGUACAAAUGUCCCAUACACCUGCAAUUAGACAAAACACAAAAGUGUGUGAAGUAUUUUUGUUCUGGAUAACAUAAAUAGAUUAUUGAAUAGUUUGCACUAGAAAUCACCUGACAAAUAUGCAUAUAUGCAAUAUUUUUGGUCAUAUCCAAGGUAGUCAUGUCCUCAUCAUCCUCCCCUUCUUGAAAAUAAAGCCGUCCUCGGCGUUGCUUAAUCUGAAAUGUGGCUAACAAAAGAGACAAGGUGUACAUGUUGUAUAUGUAUAUGUCAUCCAUUUUUACUUCCCUUGAUUUUUGCAUAUAUAACACAUGAACAGAUGAGUAACUUGCAUAGUUCAUAAAAUCUAAAGCCAAAAAAUUAGCACAAUAAGUAGAAGGCAUGAAAAUAUUGCAACUCAGUUUGCACAUAUAAGUGAAGCUCUUAUUCAUUUCAAAAGAUUGACAAUGUUCAUCAUUAAACCAUCCCAACAUUGGUGAAUAAACCUUACUUGCAUUAAAUUUACAUGCUACAACAUGCUUAAAUAAGCAAACAUGCAAUAAAUCAUUUAACACAGAAUCAUCACCAAGAUUAGAGGUCAUAUCAAAAUGAUUAAACAUUGGUUCUUUUGCAUCAAUAGUUAAUUCAAUGGGUGCACUCAAAAUUGUUGCUAUUUCAGUUGUUUGAUCACAUGGCAAAGUCAAAUUAUCAACGUAGUCCUCUAAAAUAGGUGGUGUGAUCAAAGUAGUGGGUAGCUCAUCAGAUGGUGCAUUCAAAUUGACAAGGCAUUCAUCAUUCUCAUGUAGAGAUGGAAGAUCAGUACCUUUGUCAUUACCUCUUAUGAUCAACUCAGAUGAUAUAGCCACUCUCGGGGGCGAUGUGUCACAUGGUGGAGGUGAUGUAGUCCUGACAACAACGGAUGUGGUUGUCAUAGUAUGCCUAGUAGUUGAAGGAACAAUCAUAUCAACUCUUGGAAUGUGCACCGUGUGCUUGUUCUCCUCGUGGCCAACACGUCGUUUUAUUUCCUGUUCAGCUUUGCAAGCAAGAUGAAACAAAUGGUCCAUAGGAUAACACUCUUCAUGAAUUAGUAUCUCUUGAAUAUCACGGUUUAAUCCUCCCCAAAAUCUAUCCAUAAAAUCAUCUUCACUUUCUUGUAAAGAGGAAUGCAACAAGGUAGUUUGUAAAUCAUCAUAAUAUUUUGUUACAGUUUCACUACCUUGUUUUAAGUGUUGCAACUUCUUAAUCAUGUCACGAGUAUAAUAAGCAGGGACGAAAGUAUGUCGCAUGGCAAGUUUCAAAUCAUCCCAAGUAGUAGGUAUAUAAUCAGGGUGUAACCGACAAUAUUCACUCCACCAAACCAAAGCAUAACCAAUGAAAGAACCAACCGCAACCUUAACCUCUUUAUGUUCAUCGAAAUUAUGGGAAGCAAAUAUAUUUUUUAUGUCGAACUCCCAUUCAAUAUAUAAAGCAGGUUUAAAACGGCCAUUAAAUGGUGGUAUAGAUACAUUAACCUGAUCAUGUGCAUUUGGAUGUUUGUGCACCUCUCGUGACGGUUGUGGUAUUUGCAAAGGUGGUGGCACGUCUCCCGCGAUCGACAAAGCCCAUGAAUUGACUCUGGAUCCUGUCAUGAUUAGUAGAACAAGAAACAAAACCCAAAAAUAAUGUUCCUAUAACUACUAGGAUGUGGUGGUAAAAUGCUCACAGUAAAGCAAAUAUCAAUGUCUUACAAGUUCUUACCAUGCAGCAGGCGGUGAUCGGCAACCAGCGGUGUCAAGUAACUCCGAAUAUUGAGUAAACCGAUUGCCAGGGGAGCGUACGUAUACACGGUGUAGAAAUAUGUGGAGCUGGGUUGGCUAUAUAUGGUAGCAAAAGAUUAGCAAUAAUCAAUUCAAAGAUGCAAUGUUGAAUAAACGCUCAACGACGGUAUUGUGCUGGUCCUAGGCUAGACCGGACUAGAGACGCAAGCCUAGAACACUAAUGAGGUCACGUCGUAGCACAACUAGCAUCAAUGAAGGAUACUAAGUAGCUUUGGACAGCAAGAUAUAAGUGAAGAUCACAACGGCAGUAAAGAUAAUGAGGUGAAACAACAGCCAAGCAGGACAUAUCAACAACUUUGUCUCCAACUUUCCUCUGAAAAAGUUUGUGCCGAUUUUUUUGUUUUUUUUCUCUUUUUUUUCCUCACACUUUUUUUUUCUUUCUCUCCUUUUUUUUCUCUGACUUUUUUUUCUCCUUUUUUUUCUCUCGUUUUUUUUCUCUUUUUACUCCCUCUUUCCAAAACAAACUAGAGAAGAUGCAGAUUGGAUCAAGUGAAGAUGUGAACGAUCUCAACAAUUAUUAUGACAAUGAAUGGUGGGUAGCACGUGGUGGAAAUUGAUGGAUGGAUGGUGGACAGCGGAAGAGAUAAUGAUGCAGCGGUGGCGUGACUAAUGUGAACAGAACUCAAAACUCUAAACGAACUAGACACUAAGACCAGCAACUCGACACGACGAUGCAACCGAUAAUUCAACUAUGCAAGCAAUGAAAAGAAAAUUGCAAAGGCUCAGACUGGCUUGGACCAAGGAUGAAUAGAUCUAACUCUUUUUUGUGGCUUUUUCUUGGACAAUAGGUAAGAAAAUAAAUCUAAUCUAGGAAAACUGGAAAUUCUCACCGAGCAACCUGAAAACUGAUACCACUUGAUAGAGGCGAGGGUCCCGAUCUUUCGAUGAGAUGAUAACUAUCGAUUUGGUGGAGACGACUUUGACGAUCCGACUACAAACGUGCACGACGUUGCGCCUUAGCAAUCGCUAAACCAAUCUCCUGAGGUUACUGACGAUGCUGGAAGCACGGUCAGCCUGACCACGAAGGUCUAUUCCUGCAAGCAAUCGAAGAACGAGCAAGAAUAUGAUAAAGCAAUCUGAAUAUUGCAAAUAUAUAUGAAGUAUUGAUAAUGGUGGGGAUCCGGAAGCGGUCUUGGUCUGGUCGUUGGACACAAACGAAGUACAUGAAGUUGCAAUGGCUAACUUUUAACUAAACAAAUCCCAAGGAAAAGCUACUAGAUGGAUCUACUUAUAUAGGAGCAAGGGGUGGAGGCCAAGGAGGUUGGAGGACGUCCCAAGGCAGCCUAAAACUAAAUCUAGGUCGUACAAGGCCAAUGGGCCCAAGUGGAGGUGAUGUAACACCUUUGGACUUGUAGUUUGACUCGGAUUCUGCUGUAGCAUCAGAUUGUUUCGUCCACAACUCAACGCUCCAGACGAAUUUGAAGGUGAUUCCAACUGGGUUGGAAAGUGCACGAAAUCUAGUUUCCAACAAAAAAAGAAUCACCCAAUUCGGAGUCCGUAUGAAAAACUUGUGUGCGUUUUGAGUCAGGUAUGUCUGUGCAGUCCGAAUCUGAAUCCAGAACGUGAGAGACUUGGACUCUAUCUUCUCUUGGGCCAAAAGUGACGUGAGAGAACUUUUUGAACAGCAAAUAAACAUCUCUUUCUUCCUUAUCUUCAUAUGUGGAUUGUACAAAUGUCCCAUACACCUGCAAUUAGACAAAACACAAAAGUGUGUGAAGUAUUUUUGUUCUGGAUAACAUAAAUAGAUUAUUGAAUAGUUUGCACUAGAAAUCACCUGACAAAUAUGCAUAUAUGCAAUAUUUUUGGUCAUAUCCAAGGUAGUCAUGUCCUCAUCAUUAUACCAUGUCAUAAAAGCGAUGAUGCUGUUAAUGUUGCUGAUUUGUUCUUUCGUGAAAUUAUUCACUUGCAUGGUGUGCCAAAUACUAUUGUUUCAGAUCGUGAUACUAAAUUUCUUAGCCACUUUUGGAGAUGUUUAUGGGCUAAGUUAGGGACUAAACUGCUUUUUAGUACUACUUGUCACCCCCAAACUGAUGGACAAACUGAAGUAGUCAAUAGAACGUUGUCUACUAUGCUUAGGGCUGUUUUGAAGAAUAAUAAGAAAAUGUCGGAGGAAUGCUUGCCUCAUAUUGAAUUUGCUUAUAAUCGUUCAUUGCAUUCUACUACUAAGAUGUGCCCUUUUGAAGUUGUGUAUGGUUUCCUACCUCGUGCACCUAUUGAUUUGUUGCCUCUUCCAUCUUCGGAGAAGGUUAAUUUUGAUGCUAAACAACGUGUUGAAUUGAUUUUAAAAAUGCAUGAGUUAACUAAGGAAAACAUUGAGCGUAUGAAUGCUAAAUAUAAACUUGCUGGAGAUAAGGGUAGAAAACAUGUUGUGUUUGCACCUGGAGAUCUUGUUUGGUUACAUUUGCGUAAGGAUAGAUUUCCUGAUUUGCGCAAAUCAAAGCUAAUGCCACGUGCUGAUGGUCCCUUUAAGGUGUUAGAGAAAAUAAAUGAUAAUGCAUAUAAACUUGAGCUGCCUGCAGAUUUUGGGGUUAGUCCCACUUUUAACAUUGCAGAUUUGAAGCCUUAUUUGGGUGAGGAAGAUGAACUUCUGUCGAGGACGACUUCAUUUCAAGAAGGGGAGGAUGAUGAGGACAUCGAUACAAUUGUUACACCCACAGCCCCUACUGCUAUACAUAUUGGACCAAUUACUAGAGCUCGUGCACGCCAACUAAAUUACCAGGUACUUUCGUUUCUUGGUAAUGAUUCUAAUGUUCAUGAGAAUAUGAUGCUGCCUAAAUUGGAUACAUUUGUUUUGCUUACAAAUGAAGGGCCUAGCUUGGAGAAGGAUGAACAUUGGAGCAAGAACAAGCAUGGAGAUGAUGGCAUGCGCAAGGGGAACAAGAACGGAGUUACAAGUGAUGAUUUCAGGACAUUGAAGCCACCAUAAUGGUGCAUGAAGCCUUGGACGAAAUAUACAAGAUGCCACUUCAUAAAUUUCGUCCCGAGGCUAUUUUAGGUGCUGCGUCACCUUAUUAUUGGGCCAGGCCCAUGUAAUUUCGAAAUACAUAAGUAUAGGCUAUUUUUAGAGUCCGUAUGUGUGGGGAAACAAGAGAUAGGGUUGAUUUCGGACCCCUCCACCAAGGGCCACGAAAUUCCCCCCUCUUCCUCCAUAUAUACAGCCCUUAGGGCAUCGUUUAGACUUUGGGUUUUGUUUAGAUUAAAAGUUCGCCAUAGCUGCAACUUCGCGUACUUCGUUUGUGUUCAACGACCAGACAAAGGCGUCACAGAACCCCACCUUGAUCAAUAAAGCUUUCAUCUUAUAUUCGCAAUAUCCAGAUUGCAAUCUUAGUUUCUUGCUUGUUCUUCGUUUGCUCGCAGGAAACAGACCCUCGUGGUCAGGUUGAUCGUGCUCCGGCGUGGUCAAUAACCUCUCGGAGUUGGUUUAGCGAUUGCUAAGGCGCGACGUCCUUGCACGUUCGUAGUCGGAUCGUCAAAGUCGACUUCCACCAAAGCGAUAUCCAUCAUCUCAUCGAAAGACGGGACACCUCCGCCUCUAUCACCUUUACUCCAACUUCCUGAUUUUAACAAGACUUUUGAGCUUGAAUGUGAUGCUAGUGGAAUUGGAUUAGGAGGUGUGUUAUUACAAGAUGGCAAACCUGUUGCAUACUUUUCUGAAAAAUUGAGUGGGCCUAGUCUGAAUUAUUCUACUUAUGAUAAAGAAUUAUAUGCUCUUGUUCGGACUUUAGAAACAUGGCAACAUUAUUUAUGGCCCAAAGAAUUUGUUAUACAUUCUGAUCAUGAAUCUUUGAAACAUAUUAAAAGUCAAGCUAAACUGAAUCGUAGACAUGCUAAAUGGGUUGAAUUCAUUGAGACUUUCCCUUAUGUCAUUAAACACAAGAAGGGAAAAGAAAAUGUUAUUGCUGAUGCAUUGUCUCGUCGCUAUACUAUGCUUUCACAACUUGACUUCAAAAUAUUUGGUUUGGAGACCAUCAAAGAUCAAUAUGUGCAUGAUGCUGAUUUUAAAGAUGUAAUGCAGAAUUGUAAAGAAGGAAGAAUGUGGAACAAGUUUGUCGUUAACGAUGGAUUUGUGUUUCGUGCUAACAAGCUAUGCAUUCCAGCUAGCUCCGUUCGUCUUUUGUUGUUGCAGGAGGCGCAUGGAGGAGGAUUAAUGGAACACUUUGGCGUGAAGAAGACGGAGGACGUACUUGCUACACAUUUCUUUUGGCCAAAGAUGAGACGGGAUGUUGAGCGUUUUAUUGCUCGAUGCACUACAUGUCAAAAAGCUAAGUCACGACUCAAUCCUCAUGGUUUAUAUAUGCCUUUGCCUGUACCUAGUGUUCCUUGGGAGGAUAUAUCUAUGGACUUUGUUUUAGGUUUACCUCGAACAAAGAAGGGGAGGGAUAGCAUAUUUGUUGUCGUGGAUAGAUUCUCGAAAAUGGCACACUUUAUACCAUGUCAUAAAAGCGAUGAUGCUGUUAAUGUUGCUGAUUUGUUCUUUCGUGAAAUUAUUCGCUUGCAUGGUGUGCCAAAUACUAUUGUUUCAGAUCGUGAUACUAAAUUUCUUAGCCACUUUUGGAGAUGUUUAUGGGCUAAGUUGGGGACUAAACUGCUUUUUAGUACUACUUGUCACCCCCAAACUGAUGGACAAACUGAAGUAGUCAAUAGAACGUUGUCUACUAUGCUUAGGGCUGUUUUGAAGAAUAAUAAGAAAAUGUGGGAGGAAUUCUUGCCCCAUAUUGAAUUUGCUUAUAAUCGUUCAUUGCAUUCUACUACUAAGAUGUGCCCUUUUGAAGUUGUGUAUGGUUUCCUACCUCGUGCACCUAUUGAUUUGUUGCCUCUUCCAUCUUCGGAGAAGGUUAAUUUUGAUGCUAAACAACGUGCUGAAUUGAUUUUAAAAAUGCAUGAGUUAAAUAAGGAAAACAUUGAGCGUAUGAAUGCUAAAUAUAAACUUGCUGGAGAUAAGGGUAGAAAACAUGUUGUGUUUGCACCUGGAGAUCUUGUUUGGUUACAUUUGCGUAAGGAUAGAUUUCCUGAUUUGCGCAAAUCAAAGCUAAUGCCACGUGCUGAUGGUCCCUUUAAGGUGUUAGAGAAAAUAAAUGAUAAUGCAUAUAAACUUGAGCUGCCUGCAGAUUUUGGGGUUAGUCCCACUUUUAACAUUGCAGAUUUGAAGCCUUAUUUGGGUGAGGAAGAUGAACUUCCGUCGAGGACGACUUCAUUUCAAGAAGGGGAGGAUGAUGAGGACAUCAAUACAAUUGUUACACCCACAGCCCCUGCUGCUAUACAUACUGGACCAAUUACUAGAGCUCGUGCACGCCAACUAAAUUACCAGGUACUUUCGUUUCUUGGUGCUGCCUAAAUUGGAUACAUUUGUUUUGCUUACAAAUGAAGGGCCUAGCUUGGAGAAGGAUGAACAUUAGAGCAAGAACAAGCAUGGAGAUGAUGGCAUGCGCAAGGGGAACAAGAACGGAGUUACAAGUGAUGAUUUCAGGACUUUGAAGCCACCAUAAUGGGUGCAUGAAGCCUUGGACAAAAUAUACAAGAUGCCACUUCAUAAAUUUCGUCCCGAGGCUAUUUUAGGUGCUGCGUCACCUUAUUAUUGGGCCAGGCCCAUGUAAUUUCGAAAUACAUAAGUAUAGGCUAUUUUUAGAGUCCGUAUGUGUGGGGAAACAAGAGAUAGGGUUGAUUUCAGACCCCUCCACCAAGGGCCACGAAAUUCCCCCCUCUUCCUCCAUAUAUACAGCCCUUAGGGCAUCGUUUAGACUUUGGGUUUUGUUUAGAUUAAAAGUUCGCCAUAGCUGCAACUUCGCGUACUUCGUUUGUGUUCAACGACCAGACAAAGGUGUCACAGAACCCCACCUUGAUCAAUAAAGCUUUCAUCUUAUAUUCGCAAUAUCCAGAUUGCAAUCUCAGUUUCUUGCUUGUUCUUCGUUUGCUCGCAGGAAACAGACCCUCGUGGUCAGGUUGAUCGUGCUCCGGCGUGGUCAAUAACCUCUCGGAGUUGGUUUAGCGAUUGCUAAGGCGCGACGUCCUCGCACGUUCGUAGUCGGAUCGUCAAAGUCGACUUCCACCAAAGCGAUAUCCAUCAUCUCAUCAAAAGACGGGACACCAUUGCCUCUAUCAUCGUGCAACCAAGGAAUGAGCACAAAAUGUGGAAUCCACGGAAAACGCUCGUGUUGCACAACUCAAGAGAGACGCUAGCACGAUUGCUCUAUAGGCGGAUACGACAUUUGUGCACAACCUAUAAGAUGCAAAAUGGAUAAACUUUCUAUCCCAAAUAUGCUAUGUAUGUAUGGUUCCCGGUGUUUCUCUCAAGAUGAUCCAAGAUGAUCGGAUAUGACAAUCUUAAAUGCAAUGUGGUAUGAUGCUAUGGCACUUGCUUACAAGCUUCUUUGCUCUCUUUCUCUUUUGCUUAAAAGCUUUAUUUCUUUUUUUUUCUAUGGCCACUUUGCACAAUGCACAAACGAAGAUAGCAAUUGUGUAUAUGCGGGAACAAACUUGUGACACAAGAUAUGAUAGCAAUAUAUGCACCACGAUGAUAUGGUAUGUAUGCUUAUGGGAAGUAUGAUCACUAAUGUGCACAAGUAACGUUGCCGGCAAUACUCAAAUGGCUAGUCUCGAUAGGCAAGCAACGCAAAAGUAAGGCUAGGGGUUAACAAUGCAAUAGCAAGGGAAUAUACAAUGGAGGGAUACCAUGAUACCAAGAUGAUAUGGAGGUUACCAUCCGACGAUGAUGAGUAGCAGUGUUCUUGAUGUAGAUACCAAGAUGAUGGAGACUCGUCCCUAAGUAGCCGAAACACCUUAGGAAACGGAAAAACCGCGAACUCAAAAUCUCACACGUCAAAUGUCAAAAUGGUGGUAGCGAAAAUGCGGUGGAGGUUUGCACUUGGCAAUGUGGAAGUGAAAUGAUGGUCUAUACACGUGUCGAAGUUGAAGUUGCCGUCCCUAAGUAGCCGAAACACCUAAGGAGACACAAGCCAUAACUCGAACAACUUCAAACAACAAUUGGGUUAAGUUCGGUUGGUGGAAGUGUAUGAUGGGCAAGGUUAUGUGGAAGUGGUGGUGGUGGUUGAUGAAGAAGUAAUCGUCCCUAAGUAGCCGAAACACCUUAGGAGACUCUAAUCACAACUCAUACAACCACAUAUGCAAUGGGGAACAAAAUGGGUUAGGUUGCGGAAGUCGGUGGUGGCUAUGCGGAUGAUAUGGUGGAAGCCCUAGGCAAAGAUGCUAAAAUCCCGAAAAUUUGAUGGUGUCAAAUGGUGUUGGUGGUAUUUUUGUGGGAUGGGGGAUGUCAAUAGCUUCAAAACGAGCUAAAGAACGUCAAAAACGGACUUCGGAUGAAUUAGUUACGGCCAAAACAAGAUUCCAGCCGAAGCAGUGUCAGGGUUAACCGGACAUCCGGGUGGAGGUCCGGAUGAUCCGGGUUCGUCAGCUCCGGUUCUGUUUUCUGGGUGCGUGGGGUAUCCGGACGUCCGGGAGAGGGUCCAGCUGAUCCGGGAGGUGUCCGGAUGAUCCGGGAGAAGGUCCGGAUGAUCCGGGCAGGUCAAACUGCUCGGGAUUUCCUCUCGGGGACGAAUUUUUGGGCGGAAAUGGAUGAUUUUCAGGGCAAAAUUUGAGGGAUUUCGUGGAUGGAAGGUGGGGAAACUUGGGGAAAUGCUAGAUCCACUUGAAACCAAGCAAAUCCACGGAUCAAAAUCAACAAAACAUCAUCAAACCAACAAAUCACAAAAAAAAAUUGGGGCUAUUUUUGGUGGGGAUUUUUGGAUUUAGGACGAAAACAACAAAAUCAAGCUAGAAAUCACGGGGUAGGGGCUCCAAAAACGUGAUCAACGUGGCUCAUGAUACCAUAUGAUGUAGGGUGGAACCCUAUAGCGUCGAUCUUUCACGUUUGGAGUGGAUCCUAUGGGGAGACACGAAGAACGAGCGGGAGAACACGAGGAAAUCACGGGGAGGAACGAGGGAAAACACUCAACCAACAAGCGAUCGGUCACAUGCUAGAUCGAAGAACACAAAGAGGUACACAAGAUCCAAAGUCAACAAAGGUAAGGAUACAAAGGUAACCGAUCUUCUCCGUGGGGAGGCCUUGAAUCCACAAAGGGAUCUUCCCACGAUGGGGUCUUGAAUCCGAUAGGAUCUACUCCGAAGAGGCCGCGGUCUCUCACGAGGAGGAGAUCUGAUGGAUGAGCGAGGCUCUAUCUCUAACUUGAGCUAAAUCAACGCUAAGUCUCAAAGUGAGGAGGAGGAGUCCUAUAUAUAGGCUAGGGGCGAAGGGGUACAUGGGCUCAGCCCAAGUCGCGCACACAGGCGGGGUCCGGAUGAUCCGGAUGGUGGCCCGGAUGAUCCGGUUGUCGGGGGUCCGGAUGAUCCGGGUGACUGUCCGGAUGAUCCGGCUUCAUCGAGAAGCUUCGGGUGUCUUCGGGCACGUUAGCCGGAUCGUCCGGGUGGUCGUCCGGAUCAUCCGGGCUCGGUCCGGAUCGUCCGGCUGGGUGUCCGGAUGAUCCGGGCAAGUCCAGUCUUGCUCCAUUCUUCUUCUUCCUUCUCCUCUUCCAUGCUUGGCCUUGAUCCUUGGAUUCUUCAUGGUCAUCUUGGUUGUACCUGAGUGUAUGCAAGGUCCAGGCAUGAGGUAGUAGCCGUGUCUCAUAUGCGGAAAGUGACGGUUCGAAGAGAAGUGAAUUCACCUUGUGUCCAAUGGCGUAUGUUCGAGGUCUCGUCAUAUGUCCUCUUGGGGCUUCGAGAGUAGUCGGAGUGUACAUGGGGAUGAACGUGGGAUGCUCCACAUCAUCCCAGAUUUAACAUUGCAGAUUUGAAGCCUUAUUUGGGUGAGGAAGAUGAGCUUCCGCCGAGGACGACUUCAUUUCAAGAAGGGGAGGAUGAUGAGGACAUCAAUACCAUUGUUACACCCACAGCCCCUACUGCUACAUAUACGGGACCAAUUACUAGAGCUCGCGCACGCUAAUUAAUUAUCAGGUACUUUCAUUUCUUGGUAAUGAUUCUAAUGUUCAUGAGAAUAUGAUGUUGCCUAAAUUGGAUACAUUUGUUUUGCUUACAAAUGAAGGGUCUAGCUUGGAGAAGGAUGAACAUUGGAGCAAGAACAAGCAAGGAGAUGAUGCCAUGCGCAAGGGGAACAAGAACGGAGUUACAAGUGAUGAUUUCAGGACUUUGAAGCCACCAUAAUGGGUGCAUGAAGCCUUGGACGAAAUAUACAAGAUGCCACUUCAUAAAUUUCGUCCCGAGGCUAUUCUAGGUGUUGCGUCACCUUAUUAUUGGGCCAGGCCCUUGUAAUUUCGAAAUACAUAAGUAUAGGCUAUUUUUAGAGUCCGUAUGUGUGGGGAAACAAGAGAUAGGGUUGAUUUCGGACCCCUCCACCAAGGGCCACGAAAUUCGCCCCUCUUCCUCCAUAUAUACAGCCCUUAGGGCACCGUUUAGACUUUGGGUUUUGUUUAGAUUAAAGUUCGCCAUAGCUGCAACUUCGCGUACUUCGUUUGUGUUCAACGACCAGACAAAGGCGUCACAGAACCCCACCUUGAUCAAUAAAGCUUUCAUCUUAUAUUCGCAAUAUCCAGAUUGCAAUCUCAGUUUCUUGCUUGUUCUUUGAUUGCUCGCAGGAAACAGACCCUCGUGGUCAGGUUGAUCGUGCUCCGGCGUGGUCAAUAACCUCUCGGAGUUGGUUUAGCAAUUGCUAAGGCGCGACGUCCUCGCACGUUCGUAGUCGGAUCGUCAAAGUCGACUUCCACCAAAGCGAAAUCCAUCAUCUCAUCGAAAGACGGGACACCUUUGCCCCUAUCAGGACUACAUCAACAAGCUUGCCGCACAAAAGGAGGAGCAAGAUGCGAGGAUGCAAGAGAUUCAGGCCUUGAUCAUGUCUUCUUCCCCUUCGUCAUCUUCAAGGCGGCGACGUUCAAGCCACAAGUCUUCGGAGCGCCCAAGCGAUGCAAGCGCAAGUCGUCCACGUCCACAUCCCCAUGCCGACCAUCAUCACGUUCGUGAUCCACAUCGUCAUGAAGGGCAAGUCACCUCCAAGCAUCAUGUGCACGACGACGACGAACACCAUCUCCUACGAGCUCAAGCACGACAACGACAUCAUCAACAUGAAGAUGCUCCACAAGCGCAAGUGCAAAAGUCCCAACAAGCCCUACUUCACGCCAAGUCCAAGCUUCAAGAGCACAAAAGAAGACCGCGAGACGACCACCACCAAGACGGCGCCACGGCUACACCAACCACUUUGGUAUCUUCGCCAAGUGCUAUCAAGGCAUCUUCGCCUUUGGACGUACGGCAUCUUCGCCUACUUCCCAUGAGUACGCCUACAACGACUUCAUCAAGUCCAAGGCAACGACCUACGAGCGAGGGCAACACUUCCAUCUUCGGAAGCCCCUCAAGGACGAUGGUCGAGCAUGGGAAACUCCCUUCGGUCAUGGAGACGAGCUACAAGGUGCCACAUCAUAUGGGCCUCCAACACCAAGACGGCGACAAGAACGUCGAGCAAGGGCCAUCCCCUUCGACUACGGCGAUAGGAGUUCAGCACGAAGACUGAUAGAGGCGAGGGUCCCGAUCUUUCGAUGAGAUGAUAACUAUUGAUUUGGUGGAGACGACUUUGACAAUCCGACUACAAACGUGCACGACGUUGCGCCUUAGCAAUCGCUAAACCAAUCUCCUGAGGUUACUGACGAUGCUGGAAGCACGAUCAGCCUGACCACGAAGGUCUAUUCCUGCAAGCAAUCGAAGAACGAGCAAGAAUAUGAUAAAGCAAUCUGAAUAUUGCAAAUACAUAUGAAGUAUUGAUAAUGGUGGGGAUCCGGAAGCGGUCUUGGUCUGGUCGUUGGACACAAACGAAGUACACGAAGUUGCAAUGGCUAACUUUUAACUAAACAAAUCCCAAGGAAAAAGCUACUAGAUGGAUCUACUUAUAUAGGAGCAAGAGGUGGCGGCCAAGGAGGUGGGAGGACGUCCCAAGGCAGCCUAAAACUAACCCUAGGUCGUACAAGGCUCAUGGGCCCAAGUGGAGGUGAUGCAACACCUUUGGGCUUGUAGUUUGACUCGGAUUCUGCUGCAACGUCAGAUUGUUUCGUCCGUAACUCAACGCUCCAGACGAAUUUUAAGGUGAAUCCAAUUGGGUUGGAAAGAGCACGAAAUCUAGUUUCAAACAAAAAAAGAAUCACCCAAUUCGGAAUCCGUAUGAAAAAGUUGUUGGCGUUUUGAGUCAGGUAUGUAUGUGCAGUCCGAAUUUGAAUCCAGAACGUGAGAGACUUGGACUCUAUCUUCUCUUGGCCCAAAAGUGACGUGAGAGGACUUUUUGAACACAACCUAAACAUCUCCUUUUCCCUUAUCUUCAUAUGUGGAUUGUACAAAUGUCCCAUACACCUGCAAUUAGACAAAACACAAAAGUGUGUGAAGUAUUUUUGUUCUGGAUAACAUAAAUAGACUAUUGAAUAGUUUGCAUUAAAAAUCACCUGACAAAUAUGCAUGUAUGCAAUAUUUUUAGUCGUAUCCAAGGUAGUCAUGUCCUCAUCAUCCUCCCCUUUUUGAAAACAAAGCCGUCCUCGGCGUUGCUUAAUCUGAAAUGUGGCUAUCAAAAGAGACAAGGUAUACAUGUUGUAUAUGUAUAUGUCAUCCAUUUUUACUUCCCUUGAUUUUUGCACAUAUGACAAUGUAUACAUGAGUAACUUUCAUAGAUCAUAAAAUAUAAAACCAAAAUAUUAUCAUAAGUAGAAGGCAUGAAAAUAUUGCAACUCAGUUUGCACAUAUAAGUGAAGCUCUUAUUCCUAUCAAAAGAUUGACAAUAUUCAUCAUUAAGCCAUCCCAACAUUGGUGAAUAAACCUUACUUGCAUCAAAUUUACAUGCUACAACAUGCUUAAAUAAGCAAACAUGCAGUAAGUCAUUGGACACAGAAUCAUCACCAAGAUUGGAGGUCAUAUCAAAAUGAUUAAACAUUGGUUCUUUUGCAUCAAUAGUUAAUUCAAUGGGUGCACUCAAAAUUGUCGGUAUUUCAGUUGUUUGAUCACAUGAUGCAUUCUUAAUAGUAACAUGAUUCUCUAAAAUAGGUGGCGUGCUCAAAUCAACAGGUAAAUCAACACAUGAUGUAUCUAAGUUAAUUAGGGAUGCAUCAUUCUCAUGUGAAGUUAUAUCAUCAAUACCUUUACUGUUACCUUGUCGCAAAGACGUAGCUGAUGUCGGUAUGGACAAUGACAAUGUACCAUACACUUGAGAUGAUGUCGCACUCACAAUCUGAGGUGUGGCUGCUCUAGUAGGUGCAACGGUGGAGGAAUCAACCGAUGGUAGUGAGCAUGAGUUGGAAUAGUAGUUGUUGUAGUCACCCAAUGCAUCCUCCUGUAACUGUCUCUCAAAGGUACAAGUACGAACAUACAUACCAGUAAUGCAACGAGGAAUAUACCUAAAUCUUCCCUGAAUAUCAUGAUUCAAACCACCAAAAAAUCUAUUCAUUGUAUCAUCCUCAGAUUCUUCUAUGUCACAAUGAUGCAUAUAAGAUUUAAACUGUUGGUAGUAAGCAUGAACAGUGUUAUUGCCUUGUUUAAAUUGUUCAAAUUUGCGAAGCAAUUCACGACGAUAGUAAGGAGGGAAAAAUUGUUGUCUCAUUACAUGUUUCAAAUCUUUCCAAGUUGUGGGAUGGUUAUCAAUGUUUUUCUUGCAAUGCACACUCCACCAAACAGAAGCAAAACCAGUAAAUGCUCUAGUGGCAGCUCGUAGUCGCUCAAGUUCAGAAAAGUCAUGGUAACUAAAAACUUGUUCUACUUCAAGCUCCCAAUCUAGAUAAAUAGCAGGAUUAAAUCUACCCUAAAAUGAUGGUAAAGAGAUAACCUUACCAUGUGCUUGUGUCUGUUGUCCCAACUCUUGUGAUGCUGAAGAUGUGUUCGUCGUCCAAGAACUUCUUUCUCUGGAACCUGUCAUGAUUAGUAGAAACAAGAAACAAAAUUCGAGAAUAAUGUUCCUAUGAACAACUAGGAUGUGGUUGUAACGUGCUCACAGUAAAGCAAAUAUCAAUAUCUUACAAGUUCUUACCAUGUGAUAGGUGGUGACAGGCAACCAACGGUAUCAAAUAACUCCGAAGAUUGUGUAAAGCGAUUGCCAGGGGAACGUACAUAUACACGGUGUAGAAAUAUGUGGAGCUGCGUUGGCUAUAUAUGGUAGCAAAAGAUUAGCAAUAAUCAAUUCAAAGAUGCAAUGUUGAAUAAACGCUCAACGACGGUACUGUGCUGGUCCUAGGCUUGGCCGGACUAGAGACGCGAGCCUAGAACAAUAAUGAGGUCACGACAUAGCACAACUACCAUCAAUGAAGGAUAAGUAGCUCUGGACAGCAAGAUAUAAGUGAAGAUCACAACGGCAGUAAAGAUAAUGAUGAAUAACAACUGCCAAGCAGGAUAUAUAACAACUCUCUCUCCAAUUUUCCUCUUGAAAAGUUUUCUACUAACUCAAGCUUUCCAAUGCAGAAAGAAUCACUCAAUUCCGAAUUGAUAUGAGGAGUCAAAGAAUUAUAAAACUGGCCUGAAAAACUGGAACAAAUGUAUGCGCGAACUUCGGAGGGCAAAAAGACCUAUUUAGAAGCUGAUUUUGAGACGCCAACUAUUGAACAAGCUUUUGCAACUAUUCAGAUGCGUCUAGUCGCUAGCUUUAAUUUGACUACUUGUGGAGCCAAAACGGACAUCGUAUGAGGAAGUUAUGCCUGUUUUACUGAACAGUGCACAAAACAGAUUCCAAUCCGAAUUCAACUACGAGAUUGAGUCUAGAUAGAUCCGAAUUUUGUUUUUUUUUCUCUUCCUUUUUUUCCACACUUUUUUUUCUCUCUUUUUUUUCUUUCCUUUUUUUCUCUUUUUUUUCUCCGUCUUUUUUUUCCCUCACUCUUUCCAAAACAAACUAGAUAAGAUGUAGAUUGGAUCAAGUAAAGAUGUGAUGAUCUCAACUAUGAUUAUGACAAUGAACAAUGGGUAGCACAUGGUGGAAAUUGAUGGAUGGGUGGUGGACAGCGAAAGGGAUAACGAUGCAGCGGCGGCGUGACUAAUGUGAGCAGAACUCGAAACUCUAAACCAACUAGACACUAAGACCAGCAACUCGACAUAGCGAUGCAACCGAUAAUUCAAUAAUGCAUAGAAUGAAAAGAAAAUUGCAAAGGCUCAGAUUGGCUUGGACAAAGGAUGAAUAAAUCUAACUUUUUUUGUGGCUUUUUCUUGGACAAUAGGUAAGAAAAUAAAUCUAAUCUAGGGAAACUGGAAAUUCUCACCGAGCAACCUGAAAACUGAUAGCACUUGAUAGAGGCGAGGGUCCCGAUCUUUCGAUGAGAUGAUAACUAUCGAUUUGGUGGAGACGACUUUGACAAUCCGACUACAAACGUGCACGACGUUGCGCCUUAGCAAUCGCUAAACCAAUCUCCUGAGGUUACUGACGAUGCUGGAAGCACGGUCAGCCUGACCACGAAGGUCUAUUCCUGCAAGCAAUCGAAGAACGAGCAAGAAUAUGAUAAAGCAAUCUGAAUAUUGCAAAUAUAUAUGAAGUAUUGAUAAUGGUGGGGAUCCGGAAGCGGUCUUGGUCUGGUCGUUGGACACAAACGAAGUACACGAAGUUGCAAUGGCUAACUUUUAACUAAACAAAUCCCAAGGAAAAAGCUACUAGAUGGAUCUACUUAUAUAGGAGCAAGAGGUGGCGGCCAAGGAGGUGGGAGGACGUCCCAAGGCAGCCUAAAACUAACCCAGGUCGUACAGGGCUCAUGGGCCCAAGUGGAGGUGAUGCAACACCUUUGGGCUUGUAGUUUGACUCGGAUUCUGCUGCAACGUCAGAUUGUUUCGUCCGUAACUCAACGCUCCAGACGAAUUUGAAGGUGAGUCCAAUUGGGAUGGAAAGAGCACGAAAUCUAGUUUCCAACAAAAAAAGAAUCACCCAAUUCGGAGUCCGUAUGAAAAAGUUAUUGGCGUUUUGAGUCAGGUAUGUCUGUGCAGUCCGAAUCUGAAUCCAGAACGUGAGAGACUUGGACUCUAUCUUCUCUUGGCCCAAAAGUGACGUGAGAGGACUUUUUGAACACAACCUAAACAUCUCCUUUUCCCUUAUCUUCAUAUGUGGAUUGUACAAAUGUCCCAUACGCCUGCAAUUAGACAAAACACAAAAGUGUGUGAAGUAUUUUUGUUCUGGAUAACAUAAAUAGACUAUUGAAUAGUUUGCAUCAAAAAUCACCUGACAAAUAUGCAUGUAUGCAAUAUUUUUGGUCGUAUCCAAGGUAGUCAUGUCCUCAUCAGAGACAUUUGCACCAACAUCUCUCCGAUACCCACAUAUCAUAAGAUGACCAAAUUGCCAUGUGAGGAGAGCCACCAACCCAUGAGUGAGAUGAGUGACUCCACCAUAUAUGACAUUGAGUACAUUUCCUAUGAGAGGUGAUAGAGGCAAAGGUGUCCCAUCUUUCGAUGAGAUGAUGGAUAUCGCUUUGGUGGAAGUCGACUUUGACGAUCCGACUACGAACGUGCGAGGACGUCGCGCCUUAGCAAUCGCUAAACCAACUCCGAGAGGUUAUUGACCACGCCGGAGCACGAUCAACCUGACCACGAGGGUCUGUUUCCUGCGAGCAAACGAAGAACAAGCAAGAAACUAAGAUUGCAAUCUGGAUAUUGCGAAUAUAAGAUGAAAGCUUUAUUGAUCAAGGUGGGGUUCUGUGACGCCUUUGUCUGGUCGUUGAACACAAACGAAGUACGCGAAGUUGCAGCUAUGGCGAACUUUUAAUCUAAACAAAACCCAAAGUCUAAACGGUGCCCUAAGGGCUGUAUAUAUGGAGGAAGAGAGGGGGAAUUUCGUGGCCCUUGGUGGAGGGGUCCGAAAUCAACCCUAUCUCUUGUUUCCCCACACAUACGGACUCUAAAAAUAGCCUAUACUUAUGUAUUUCGAAAUUACAUGGGCCUGGCCCAAUAAAAAGGUGACGCAGCACCUAUAAUAGCCUCGGGACGAAAUUUAUGAAGUGGCAUCUUGUAUAUUUCGUCCAUGGCUUCAUGCACCCAUUAUGGUGGCUUCAAAGUCCUGAAAUCAUCACUUGUAACUCCGUUCUUGUUCCCCUUGUGCAUGGCAUCAUCUCCAUGCUUGUUCUUGCUCCAAUGUUCAUCCUUCUCCAAGCUAGGCCCUUCAUUUGUAAGCAAAACAAAUGUAUCCAAUUUAGGCAGCAUCUUAUUCUCAUGAACAUUAGAAUCAUUACCAAGAAACGAAAUUACCUGAUAAUUUAAUUGGCGUGCGCGAGCUCUAGUAAUUGGUCCCGUAUAUGUAGCAGUAGGGGCUGUGGGUGUAACAAUGGUAUUGAUGUCCUCAUCAUCCUCCCCUUCUUGAAAUGAAGUCGUCCUCGACGGAAACUCAUCUUCCUCACCCAAAUAAGGCUUCAAAUCUGCAAUGUUAAAAGUGGGACUAACCCCAAAAUCUGCAGGCAGCUCAAGUUUAUAUGCAUUAUCAUUGAUUUUCUCUAACACCUUAAAGGGACCAUCAGCACGUGGCAUUAGCUUUGAUUUGCGCAAAUCAGGAAAUCUAUCCUUACGCAAAUGUAACCAAACAAGAUCUCCAGGUGCAAACACAACAUGUUUUCUACCCUUAUCUCCAGCAAGUUUAUAUUUAGCAUUCAUACGCUCAAUGUUUUCCUUAGUUAACUCAUGCAUUUUUAAAAUCAAUUCAACACGUUGUUUAGCAUCAAAAUUAACCUGCUCCGAAGAUGGAAGAGGCAACAAAUCAAUAGGUGCACGAGGUAGGAAACCAUACACAACUUCAAAAGGGCACAUCUUAGUAGUAGAAUGCAAUGAACGAUUAUAAGCAAAUUCAAUAUGAGGCAAGCAUUCCUCCCACAUUUUCUUAUUAUUCUUCAAAAUAGCCCUAAGCAUAGUAGACAACGUUCUAUUGACUACUUCAGUUUGUCCAUCAGUUUGGGGGUGACAAGUAGUACUAAAAAGCAGUUUAGUCCCCAACUUAGCCCAUAAACAUCUCCAAAAGUGGCUAAAAAAUUUAGUAUCACGAUCUGAAACAAUAGUAUUUGGCACACCAUGCAAGCGAAUAAUUUCACGAAAGAACAAAUCAGCAACAUUAACAGCAUCAUCGCUUUUAUGACAUGGUAUAAAGUGUGCCAUUUUCGAGAAUCUAUCCACGACAACAAAUAUGCUAUCCCUCCCCUUCUUUGUUCGAGGUAAACCUAAAACAAAGUCCAUAGAUAUAUCCUCCCAAGGAACACUAGGUAUAGGCAAAGGCAUAUAUAAACCAUGAGGAUAGAGUCGUGACUUAGCUUUUUGACAUGUAGUGCAUCGAGCAAUAAAACGCUCAACAUCCCGUAUCAUCUUUGGCCAAAAGAAAUGUGUAGCAAGUACGUCCUCUGUCUUCUUCACGCCAAAGUGUCCCAUUAAUCCUCCUCCAUGCGCCUCCUGCAACAACAAAAGACGAACGGAGCUAGCUGGAAUGCAUAGCUUGUUAGCACGAAACACAAAUCCAUCAUUAACGACGAACUUGUUCCACAUUCUUCCUUCUUUACAAUUCUGCAUUACAUCUUUAAAAUCAGCAUCAUGCACAUAUUGAUCUUUGAUGGUCUCCAAACCAAAUAUUUUGAAGUCAAGUUGUGAAAGCAUAGUAUAGCGGCGAGACAAUGCAUCAGCAAUAACAUUUUCUUUUCCCCUCUUGUGUUUAAUGACAUAAGGAAAAGUCUCAAUGAAUUCAACCCAUUUAGCAUGUCUACGAUUCAGUUUAGCUUGACUUUUAAUAUGUUUCAAAGAUUCAUGAUCAGAAUGUAUAACAAAUUCUUUGGGCCAUAAAUAAUGUUGCCAUGUUUCUAAAGUCCGAACAAGAGCAUAUAAUUCUUUAUCAUAAGUAGAAUAAUUCAGACUAGGCCCACUCAAUUUUUCAGAAAAGUAUGCAACAGGUUUGCCAUCUUGUAAUAACACACCGCCUAAUCCAAUUCCACUAGCAUCACAUUCAAGCUCAAAAGUCUUAUUAAAAUCAGGAAGUUGGAGUAAAGGAGCAUGUGUCAACUUAUCUUUCAAUACCGAGAAGGCUUCUUCCUGUGCGGUACCCCAAAGAAAAGGCACAUCUUUCUUUGUAAGCUCAUUGAGAGGUGCAGCAAUGGUGCUGAAAUCUCUCACAAAACGCCUAUAGAAUCCAGCAAGGCCAAGAAAACUCCUCACUUGUGUGACCGUUUUGGGUUGCGGCCAACUCUCAAUAGCUUCAAUCUUGGCUUUAUCAACUUCAAUUCCCUGUGGAGUAACAACAUAGCCAAGAAAAGAUACUCGGUUGGUGCAAAAGGUGCACUUCCCAAGGUUACCAAACAAACGUGCAUCACGUAGGGCAAUAAAAACAGCACGUAAAUGUUCCAAAUGUUCUUCCAAAGAUCUGCUAUAAAUCAAUAUGUCAUCAAAGUAAACUACCACAAAUCGCCCAAUGAAAGCACGUAAAACUUCGUUCAUUAAUCUCAUGAAAGUACUAGGUGCAUUAGUUAACCCAAAAGGCAUGACUAACCACUCAUAUAAUCCAAACUUAGUUUUGAAUGCUGUUUUCCAUUCAUCUCCCAAUUUCAUACGAAUUUGAUGGUAUCCACUACGCAAAUCAACUUUGGAGAAUAUUGUAGAGCCACUCAAUUCAUCAAGCAUAUCAUCUAGCCUAGGAAUAGGAUGACGAUAACGAAUAGUAAUAUUAUUAAUGCCUCUACAAUCAACACACAUACGUGAUGUACCAUCCUUUUUCGGCACUAGAAUAAUAGGAACAGCACAAGGACUAAUGGAUUCGCGUAUAUAAUCUUUGUCGAGAAGCUCUUGUACUUGACGCAUAAUCUCCUUCGUCUCCUCUGGAUUGGUACGGUAUGGUGCACGGUUUGGCAGUGAAGCACCGGGAAUUAAGUCAAUCUGAUGCUCAGUCCCUCGAAUAGGCGGUAAUCCCGGUGGCACAUCUUGUGGAAAGACGUCAGCGAACUCCUGCAAAAUGUUAGUGACAGCAGGAGGCAAAGAGGAAGGCACGUCCUCGAAUGAAAAUAAUGCCUCUUUGCACACAAAAGCAUAGCAAACAGAUUUGCUGAAAUCUAGCUCAUCAAUAUGAGAUUUGGUGGCAAAUAAACAUGCACUUUUCAAUUUAAUUUCAGAAGCAACACUAGAUGGUUUGUUAUUAGGCUUCAUUUGUUGCUCAAAUUCUUUUGCCACAAUCUGAUUUUCACUCUUAUUCAUCUCCUGUUUUGCUUUAUUAGCUCUAUUAAUAUCAUCUUUCAAAAUGGAAUCAGGAGUCAUAGGAAGCAAAGUAAUAUUUUUAUCCUUAUGAACAAGAGUAUAGUGAUUGUUUCUACCAUGGUGUACAGAAUUUUUAUCAAAUUGCCAUGGUCUACCAAGUAAUAAGGAACAUGCUUGCAUAGGUACCACAUCACAAUCAACAUAAUCAGCAUAUGUAGAGAUACUAAAAUGCACACGAAUAGUACGUGUUACCUUAACCUUGCCGCUGUUGUUGAACCAUUGGAUGUAGUAAGGAUGAGGAUGUGGUCUUGUGGUGAGAGAAAGCUUCUCCACCAUCUCCAUGCUAGCCAAGUUGUUGCAGCUCCCUUCGUCUAUGAUGACGCGCACAGAACGUUCCUUCACAACUCCCUUGGUAUGGAACAAAUUGUGCCUUUGAUUUUGCUCAGCUUGUGUGAUCUGCAUACUCAAAACACGUUGAGCAACUAAACAUUCAUACCUGUCAGCGUCUUCAGGAGCCAUGUAUUGCGUCUCAUGAUCAGAAUCAUCUCCACCAUGUUCUUCACGUGUAAUAAGAGCCAAAGUCUCCUCAUCAUAGUCACUAGCGGACUCAUAUCCACCAUCCGCGGUAGCAAUCAUCACACGUGGAGAUUUGCAUUCUCUCGCAUAAUGACCUCCUCCCUUACAACGACGACAAAUAAUAUCACUUGUGUGCCCUGUUGAUGCCAUGGAAGAAGAAGAACGCUGUGCAGGCCCCGCAGGUGCGCUCUUGGCAGAUAAUGGUGGUUGUGCCUGUUUUCUUGUAUCACGGCUGGAGAUGGCGCCGGAUGGAGGUGCUGGUGCAGUUGAAGUAGAAGAUGCACGUGGUGUCCAUGAUGAAGGUCGUCCUGCAGAAAAGUUAGUUCGCCCCAAUGCUUGUCGAUCCUGCACUUCACGUUCAGCUUUACAAGCAAGAUGGAAUAAACGAGUGAUGUUAGUAUACUCCUUAUAGUCUAGAAUGGUCUGAAUCUCUCUAUUUAAUCCACCCAGAAAACGUGCAAGCAUAGCUUCAUUCUCCUCAACAAUACCACAUCUAAUCAUGCUAGUUUGUAAUUCCUGAUAAUAUUCUUCUACAGAAUUUUUCCCUUGUCUUAAACGCUGCAAUUUUUGAAGCAAUUCACGUUGAUAAUAUGGUGGAACCCAAUGCGUACGCAUAGCAGUUUUCAAAGCAGCCCAAGUAGUUGGAAUAGGAUAUAAUCUACAAUGUUCAGACCACCAUACACAUGCAAAACUAGUGAAAGCACAAACAGCAGCAGCAACUCGUCUCUCCUCAGGAUAUUGUAAACAUGUAAAUCGUUGUUCAGUUUCUAACUCCCAAGUAAGAUAUAUAUCAGGAACAUAUCUACCCUCAAAUGGUGGAAUAUUCAAUUUCAGUUUAGGAAUAUGGACAUCAUCUCAUACCUGAGGUGGUGGUGCAGGCCUACCAUUACGAAUAUAUACCUGAGGUCGACCUGCUGGUGGUGGUGCAGGUGGCUGCACGUAGUGCUGAUUUUGAUCAACCUCAUCCUCAUAAUCUCCCGCAUAAUCAUCCUCCUCUGCAUCAGCAGCAGGAGCCACAGAAGUAUCAACAGCAACACCAACAGUUUGGCCAAACGCAAGAGGAACACGGCUCGCUCGGUGAAGGUCUGUUUCGCGACGUGGAGGUAGUCAUUGUUGUUGUUGUUGGAGAGGUGCGUUAGGUGCAGCGGGUGGUGGUGGUGGAAGACGCGCGAGCAAUUCAUUAAACUUGUUAUCGAGCUUUGUUGCGAACGUCUUCUCAAGGCCAGUGAUCUUCUCCAUGGCCUCUUCAAAAUUGUUCAGCACAUCUUGCACCUGUUCAGUCAUCAUUUGCUGAAACUUAUCAUGAAGCUCCUUGUUCGAUAAAUUCUCCCAGUCAAUCUCGUCGGCUUGUGAUCCUGGCAUGGUUAGCAGCAAUAGAAACACACAAGAAUAUGAUCCUACAGACUACGAACAAGUGGUGGUGGUGGGUGUCACAAAUCCGUCAAGCAAAACUCAAAUUCUUACCAGUUCUUACCCAGCAACAGGCGGUGAUCGGCAACCGUUGUAGUCAAAACUCUCAAAGCUUGGAUAGAGCGAUUACCAGGGAGAGUCAAACGCACGACGUAGAUGUAUGUGGAGCUGGGAAGGCUUAUAAUAUGGUAGCAAAAAGGGUCAGCAAUAAUCAAUUCAGAGAUGCAAAGUUGAAUAAAUGCUCAACGACGGUACUGUGCUGGUCCUAGGCUAGACUGUGCUAGAGACGCGAGCCUAGAACACCAACAAAAUCACGGCGCGGCACGUAAACAAGGGAGGAGCACACUCUGAAUUUUUUUUCUCUCUUUUUUUUUGCACUUUUUUUUCCUCUUUUUUUUUUGCUCCGCAACAAAUUUUUUUCGAAAAAGUCUACAAAUGGUCUAAAAACUGCCUAGCCAGAAUUUUCCAGACUUAGUUUUUUUUUGAAAUUGGAACUAUUUUUCUUCUGCGGAUGGCUCGGAAGUUGGGGAGUCCUUCUCUGUCACGACUCGGAGUAUCGCGUGAUCUGGAAAUCGAGAACAAUGCAACAAUUACUGGACUAGGACUAGGACUGGUGGCGGAGAUGAAUCUGGUGGAACUCAGACUGGUGGCGGAGAUGAAUCUGGUGGAACACGGACAGGUGGCGGAUAUAUCUUGCAGGUGAACUCGGAUUGGCGUGAUGGCGGCGGAUAUGUGGUGGCGUAUAUGGAUUCGGAUUGGCGGUGAAUAUGUGGUGGUGGUAUAUGGCAACAGCGACGAUGAUGAUGCGGUGGUGAUAUAUGGCAGCGGCGACGUGACAACCUGUGAACAGAACUCAAAACUCUAAAAGACUAGACGCUAAGACCAGCAACUGGACAUAACGAUGCAACCGCAAAUUCAACAAAGCAAAUACAGAAAAGAUUAUGCAAGGCUCAGAUUGGUUCGGAUGGGAUGAACUAACCCUAAUUUUUCUUGGCUUUUUCGUGGACUAUAGGUAUGAAGAACAGACUCGAUCUAAACUACGAAAAACUGUAAAAUCUCACCGAGCAACCUGGAAAUCUGAUACCACUUGAUAGAGGCAAAGGUGUCCCGUCUUUCGAUGAGAUGAUGGAUAUCGCUUUGGUGGAAGUCGACUUUGACGAUCCGACUACGAACGUGCGAGGACAUCGCGCCUUAGCAAUCGCUAAACCAACUCCGAGAGGUUAUUGACCACGCCGGAGCACGAUCAACCUGACCACGAGGGUCUGUUUCCUGCGAGCAAACGAAGAACAAGCAAGAAACUAAGAUUGCAAUCUGGAUAUUGUGAAUAUAAGAUGAAAGCUUUAUUGAUCAAGGUGGGGUUCUGUGACGCCUUUGUCUGGUCGUUGAACACAAACGAAGUACGCGAAGUUGCAGCUAUGGCGAACUUUUAAUCUAAACAAAACCCAAAGUCUAAACGGUGCCCUAAGGGCUGUAUAUAUGGAGGAAGAGGGGGGAAUUUCGUGGCCCUUGGUGGAGGGGUCCGAAAUCAACCCUAUCUCUUGUUUCCCCACACAUACGGACUCUAAAAAUAGCCUAUACUUAUGUAUUUCGAAAUUACAUGGGCCUGGCCCAAUAAAAAGGUGACGCGGCACCUAUAAUAGCCUCGGGACGAAACUUAUGAAGUGGCAUCUUGUAUAUUUUGUCCAAGGCUUCAUGCACCCAUUAUGGUGGCUUCAAAGUCCUGAAAUCAUCACUUGUAACUCCGUUCUUGUUCCCCUUGCGCAUGGCAUCAUCUCCAUGCUUGUUCUUGCUCCAAUGUUCAUCCUUCUUGAUAGAGGCAAAGGUGUCCCGUCUUUCGAUGAGAUGGUGGAUUUCGCUUUGGUGGAAGUCGACUUUGACGAUCCGACUACGAACGUGCGAGGACGUCGCGCCUUAGCAAUCGCUAAACCAACUCCGAGAGGUUAUUGACCACGCCGGAGCACGAUCAACCUGACCACGAGGGUCUGUUUCCUGCGAGCAAACGAAGAACAAGCAAGAAACUGAGAUUGCAAUCUGGAUAUUGCGAAUAUAAGAUGAAAGCUUUAUUGAUCAAGGUGGUGUUCUGUGACGCCUUUGUCUGGUCGUUGAACACAAACGAAGUACGCGAAGUUGCAGCUAUGGCGAACUUUUAAUCUAAAUAAAACCCAAAGUCUAAACGAUUCCCUAAGGGCUGUAUAUAUGGAGGAAGAGGGGGGAAUUUCGUGGCCCUUGGUGGAGGGGUCCGAAAUCAACCCUAUCUCUUGUUUCCCCACACAUACGGACUCUAAAAAUAGCCUAUAAUUAUGUAUUUCGAAAUUACAUGGGCCUGGCCCAAUAAUAAGGUGACGCAGCACCUAAAAUAGCCUCGGGACGAAAUUGAUGAAGUGGCAUCUUGUAUAUUUCGUCCAAGGCUUCAUGCACCCAUUAUGAUGGCUUCAAAGUCCUGAAAUCAUCACUUGUAACUCCGUUCUUGUUCUCCUUGCGCAUGCCAUCAUCUCCAUGCUUGUUCUUGCUCCAAUGUUCAUCCUUCUCCAAGCUAGGCCCUUCAUUUGUAAGCAAAACAAAUGUAUCCAAUUUAGGCAGCAUCAUAUUCUCAUGAACAUUAAAAUCAUUACCAAGAAACAAAAGUACCUGGUAAUUUAGUUGGCGUGCACGAGCUCUAGUAAUUGGUCCAGUAUGUAUAGCAGCAGGGGCUGUGGGUGUAACAAUUGUAUUGAUGUCCUCAUCAUCCUCCCCUUCUUGAAAUGAAGUCGUCCUCGACGGAAGCUCAUCUUCCUCACCCAAAUAAGGCUUCAAAUCUGCAAUGUUAAAAGUGGGACUAACCCCAAAAUCUGCAGGCAGCUCAAGUUUAUAUGCAUUAUCAUUUAUUUUCUCUAACACCUUAAAGGGACCAUCGGCACGUGGCAUUAACUUUGAUUUGCGCAAAUUAGGAAAUCUAUCCUUACGCAAAUGUAACCAAACAAGAUCUCCAGGUGCAAACACAACAUGUUUUCUACCCUUAUCUCCAGCAAGUUUAUAUUUAGCAUUCAUACGCUCAAUGUUUUCCUUAGUUAACUCAUGCAUUUUUAAAAUCAAUUCAGCACGUUGUUUAGCAUCAAAAUUAACCUUCUCCGAAGAUGGAAGAGGCAACAAAUCAAUAGGUGCACGAGGUAGGAAACCAUACACAACUUCAAAAGGGCACAUCUUAGUAGUAGAAUGCAAUGAACGAUUAUAAGCAAAUUCAAUAUGAGGCAAGCAUUCCUCCCACAUUUUCUUAUUAUUCUUCAAAACAGCCCUAAGCAUAGUAGACAACGUUCUAUUGACUACUUCAGUUUGUCCAUCAGUUUAGGGGUGACAAGUAGUACUAAAAAGCAGUUUAGUCCCCAACUUAGCCCAUAAACAUCUCCAAAAGUGGCUAAGAAAUUUAGUAUCACGAUCUGAAACAAUAGUAUUUGGCACACCAUGCAAGCGAAUAAUUUCACGAAAGAACAAAUCAGCAACAUUAACAGCAUCAUCGCUUUUAUGACAUGGUAUAAAGUGUGCCAUUUUCGAGAAUCUAUCCACGACAACAAAUAUGCUAUCCCUCCCCUUCUUUGUUCGAGGUAAACCUAAAACAAAGUCCAUAGAUAUAUCCUCCCAAGGAACACUAGGUACAGGCAAAGGCAUAUAUAAACCAUGAGGAUUGAGUCGUGACUUAGCUUUUGACAUGUAGUGCAGCGAGCAAUAAAACGCUCAACAUCCCGUCUCAUCUUUGGCCAAAAGAAAUGUGUAACAAGUACGUCCUCCGUCUUCUUCAUGCCAAAGUGUCCCAUUAAUCCUCCUCCAUGCGCCUCCUACAACAACAAAAGACGAACGGAGCUAACUAGAAUGCAUAGCUUGUUAGCACGAAACACAAAUCCAUCGUUAACGACAAACUUGUUGAUAGAGGCGGAGGUGUCCCGUCUUUCGAUGAGAUGAUGGAUUUCGCUUUGGUUGAAGUCGAGUUUGACGAUCUGACUACGAACGUGCGAGGACGUCGCGCCUUAGCAAUCGCUAAACCAACUCCGAGAGGUUAUUGACCACACCGGAGCAUGAUCAACCUGACCACGAGGGUCUGAUUCAUGUGAGCAAACGAAGAACAAGCAAGAAUCUGAGAUUGCAAUCUGGAUAUUGCGAAUAUAAGAUGAAAGCUUUAUUGAUCAAUGUGGGGUUCUGUGACGCCUUUGUCUGGUCGUUGAACACAAACGAAGUACGCAAAGUUGCAGCUAUGGCAAACUUUAAUCUAAACAAAACCCAAAGUCUAAACGGUGCCAUAAGGGCCGUAUAUAUGGAGGAAGAGAGGGGGAAUUUCGUGGCCCUUGGUGGAGGGGUCCGAAAUCAACCCUAUCUCUUGUUUCCCAACACAUACGGACUCUAAAAAUAGCCUAUACUUAUGUAUUUCGAAAUUACAUGGGCCUGGCCCAAUAAAAAGGUGACGCAGCACCUAUAAUAGCCUCUGGACGAAAUUUAUGAAGUGACAUCUUGUAUAUUUCAUCCAAGUCUUCAUGCACUCGUUAUGGUGGCUUCAAAGACCUGAAAUCAUCACUUGUAACUCUGUUCUUGUUCCCCUUGCGCAUGCCAUCAUCUCCAUGCUUGUUCUUGCUCCAAUGUUCAUCCUUCUCCAAGCUAGGCCCUUCAUUUGUAAGCAAAACAAAUGUAUCCAAUUUAGGCAGCAUCAUAUUCUCAAGAACAUUAGAAUCAUUACUAAGAAACGAAAGUACCUGGUAAUUUAGUUGGCGUGCGCGAGCUCUAGUAAUUGGUCCAGUAUAUAUAGCAGCAGGGGCUGUGGGUGUAACAAUGGUAUUGAUGUCCUCAUCAACCUCCCCUUCUUGAAAUGAAGUCGUCCUCGACGGAAGCUCAUCUUCCUGAUGAGGACAUCAAUACCAUUGUUACACCCACAGCCCCUACUGCUACAUAUACGGGACCAAUUACUAGAGCUCGCGCACACCAAUUAAAUUAUCAGGUACUUUCCUUUCUUGGUAAUGAUUCUAAUGUUCAUGAGAAUAUGAUGUUGCCUAAAUUGGAUACAUUUGUUUUGCUUACAAAUGAAGGGCCUAGCUUGGAGAAGGAUGAACAUUGGAGCAAGAACAAGCAUGGAGAUGAUGCCAUGCGCAAGGGGAACAAGAACGGAGUUACAAGUGAUGAUUUUAGAACUUUGAAGCCACCAUAAUGGGUGCAUGAAGCCAUGGACGAAAUAUACAAGAUGCCACUUCAUAAAUUUCGUCCCGAGGCUAUUAUAGGUGCUGCGUCACCUUUUUAUUGGGCCAGGCCCAUGUAAUUUCGAAAUACAUAAGUAUAGGCUAUUUUUAGAGUCCGUAUGUGUGGGGAAACAAGAGAUAGGGUUGAUUUCGGACCCCUCCACCAAGGGCCACGAAAUUCCCCCUCUCUUCCUCCAUAUAUACAGCCCUUAGGGCACCGUUUAGACUUUGGGUUUUGUUUAGAUUAAAAGUUCGCCAUAGCUGCAACUUCGCGUGCUUCGUUUGUGUUCAACGACCAGACAAAGGCGUCACAGAACCCCACCUUGAUCAAUAAAGCUUUCAUCUUAUAUUCGCAAUAUCCAGAUUGCAAUCUUAGUUUCUUGCUUGUUCUUCGUUUGCUCGCAGGAAACAGACCCUCGUGGUCAGGUUGAUCGUGCUCCGGCGUGGUCAAUAACCUUUUGGAGUUGGUUUAGCGAUUGCUAAGGCGCGACGUCCUCGCACGUUCGUAGUCGGAUCGUCAAAGUCGACUUCCACCAAAGCGAUAUCCAUCAUCUCAUCGAAAGACGGGACACCUUUGCCUCUAUCAAGUGGUAUCAGAUUUCCAGGUUGCUCGGUGAGGUUUUACAGUUUUUCGUAGUUUAGAUCGAGUUUGUUCUUCAUACCUAUAGUCCACGAAAAAGCCAAAAAAAAUUAGGGUUAGUUCAUCCCAUCCGAACCAAUCUGAGCCUUGCAUAAUCUUUUCUGUAUUUGCUUUGUUGAAUUUGCGGUUGCAUCGUCGUGUCCAGUUGCUGGUCUUAGAGUCUAGUCUUUUAGAGUUUCGAGUUCUGGUCAUAAGUUGUCAUGCCGCCGCCGCACCAUCAUCAUCGUCCCUGCCAUCUACCACCACCGCUUAUCCGCCACCGCUCCGAAUCCAUAUCCAUAUACCACCGCCAAUCCGUGUCCAUAUACCACCACCGAUCCAUAUCCAUAUACUACCACCGCUACCACCACCGCUGCCAUAUACCACCACCAUAUAUCCACCACCAGUCUGAGUUCCUUGCAUAUUAGGUUUGUUUUCGGGAUCCAUUUAAUUUCCGAUUCGUGUUUCCUUGUCUGAGUAGGUUUCGGAUUCCAGCAAUCUUUUGCCGUCCGUAGAAGAGGUUGGUUUCCAAAAAAAAAGAGUCCGGAAACCACCCUCCGUUUAGGCCCAAAAUUUUCGGAAAACACACUUGACAAAAAAAUUUCUGGCUAUCCUAUUUUUAGGUGUUUCUAAGCGUAUUGAGACAGUUGCCGUUAUAGAAAGUUUUUUUUGACCCGUUUCCAGUUUUUGGGUCCGGGCAGUCAAAAAAAAAAUUUGGUCACAAAAAUUUCAUGCCCAUCUUGUCAGUUUGACCUGGGAAGAGUUUUGAGACACUCGCCAUUAUAGUUAUUUUUCGCAAAAAAAUAGAGCAGCGCAAAAAAAGCAGCGCAAAAAAAAAGAGCGAAAAAAAAAUUCGAGUGUGCUUUUCCCUUGUUUACGUGCAGCGCCGUGAUUUUGUUAGUGUUCUAGGCUCGCGUCUCUAGCACGGUCUAGCCUAGGACCAGCACAGUACCGUCGUUGAGCCUUUAUUCAAUUUUGCAUCUCUGAAUUGAUUAUUGCUGACCCUUUUUGCUACCAUAUUAUAAGCCUUCCCAGCUCCACAUACAUCUACGUCGUGCGUUUGACUCUCCCUGGUAAUCGCUCUAUCCAAGCUUUGAGAAGUUUUGACUACAACGGUUGCCGAUCACCACCUGCUGUUGGGUAAGAACUGGUAAGAAUUUGAGGUUUGCUUGACGGGUUUGUGAUACACCACCACCACUUCUUAGUAGUCUGUAGGAUCAUAUUCUUCUGUGUUUCUAUUGCUGCUAACCAUGCCAGGAUCACAAGCCGACGAGAUUGACUGGGAGAACUUAUCGAACAAGGAGCUUCAUGAUAAGUUUCAGCAAAUGAUGACUGAACAGGUGCAAGAUGUGCUGAACAAUUUUGAAGAGGCAAUGGAGAAGAUUACUGGCCUUGAGAAGACGUUCGAAACAAAGCUCGAUAACAGAUUUAAUGAACUGCUUGCGCGUCUUCCACCACCGGCUGCACCUGUCCCACCUCUGCAACAACAACAACUACGCCCCCUUCCGAAUCAGUAUGGACGAGCACAGCGUGUUCCUAUUGAGCCAGGACAAAAUUCUGGUGCCGCUGAUACUGCUGUUGGUGCUUCUUUGGCUCCUGCUACUGCUGCUGCUGGUACCCAGGAGGAUGAUGAUUAUGUGGGAGAUUAUGAGGAUGAGGUUGAUCAGAAUCCGAACUACGUGCAGCCACCAGCACCACCACCACCAGGUCGAUCUCAGUUAUAUAUUCGUAAUGGUAGGCCUGCACCACCACCUCAGGUAUGAGAUGAUGUCCAUAUUCCUAAACUGAAAUUGAAUAUUCCACCAUUUGAGGGUAGAUAUGUUCCUGAUAUAUAUCUUACUUGGGAGUUAGAAACUGAACAACGUUUUACAUGUUUACAAUAUCCCGAGGAGAGACGGGUUGCUGCUGAUGUUUGUGCUUUCACUAGAUUUGCAUGUGUCUAGUGGUCUGAACAUUGUAGAUUAUAUCCUAUUCCAACUACUUGGGCUGCUUUGAAAACUGCUAUGCGUACGCGUUGGGUUCCACCAUAUUAUCAACGUGAAUUGCUUCAAAAAUUGCAGCGUUUAAGACAAGGAAAAAAUUCUGUAGAAGAAUAUUAUCAGGAAUUACAAACUGGCAUGAUUCGAUGUGGUAUUGUUGAGGAGAAUGAAGCUAUGCUUGCACGUUUUCUGGGUGGAUUAAAUAGAGAGAUUCAGACCAUUCUAGACUAUAAGGAUAUCACUCGUUUAUGCCAUCUUGCUUGUAAAGCUGAACGUGAAGUGUAGGAUCGACAAGCAUUGGCACGAACUAACUUUUCUGCAGGCCGACCUUCCUCAUGGACGCCGCGUGCAUCUUCUACUUCAACUGCACCAGCACCUCAAUCAGGUGCCCCCUACAGCCGUGAUACAAGAAAACAGGAACAACCACCAUUAUCUGCCAAGAGCGCACCUGCCUUGCCUGCACAGAGUUCUUCUUCUUCGAGGGCAUCAACAGGGCACACAAGUGAUAUUAUUUGUCGUCGUUGUAAGGGAGGAGGUCAUUAUGCGAGAGAAUGCAAAUCUCCGCCUGUGAUGAUUGCUACCGCGGAUGGUGGAUAUGAGUCUGCUAGUGACUAUGAUGAGGAGACAUUGGCUCUUAUUACACGUGAAGAACAUGGUGGAGAUGAUUCUGAUCAUGAGACGCAAUACAUGGCUCCUGAAGACGCUGACAGGUAUGAAUGUUUAGUUGGUCAACGUGUUUUGAGUGUGCAGGUCACACAAGCUGAGCAAAAUCAGAGGCACAAUUUGUUCCAUACCAAGGGAGUUGUGAAGGAACGUUCUGUGCGCGUCAUAAUAGACGGAGGGAGCUGCAACAACUUGGCUAGCAUGGAGAUGGUGGAGAAGCUUUCUCUCACCACAAGACCACAUCCACAUCCUUACUACAUCCAAUGGUUCAACAACAGCGGCAAGGUUAAGGUAACACGUACUGUUCGUGUGCAUUUUAGUAUCUCUACAUAUGCUGAUUAUGUUGAUUGUGAUGUGGUACCUAUGCAAGCAUGUUCCUUAUUACUUGGUAGACCAUGGCAAUUUGAUAAAAAUUCUGUACACCAUGGUAGACACAAUCACUAUACUCUUGUUCAUAAGGAUAAAAAUAUUACUUUGCUUCCUAUGACUCCUGAUUCCAUUUUGAAAGAUGAUAUUAAUAGAGCUAAUAAAGCAAAACAGGAGAAGAAUAAGAGUGAAAAUCAGAUUGUGGCAAAAGAAUUUGAGCAACAAAUGAAGCCUAAUAAUAAACCAUCUAGUGUUGCUUCUGAAAUUAAAUUGAAAAGUGUAUGUUUAUUUGCCACCAAAUCUGAUAUUGAUGAGCUAGAUUUCAGCAAAUCUGUUUGCUAUGCUUUUGUGUGCAAAGAGGCAUUAUUUUCAUUCGAGGACGUGCCUUCCUCUUUGCCUCCUGCUGUCACUAACAUUUUGCAGGAGUUCGCUGACGUUUUUCCACAAGACGUGCCACCGGCAUUACCGCCUAUUCGAGGGAUUGAGCAUCAGAUUGAGUUAAUUCCCGGUGCUUCACUGCCAAACCGUGCACCAUAUCGUACCAAUCCAGAGGAGAUGAAGGAGAUUAUGCGUCAAGUACAAGAGUUUCUCGACAAAGGUUAUAUACGCGAAUCCCUUAGUGCUUGUCAUGUUCCUAUUAUUCUAGUGCCGAAAAAGGAUGGUACAUCACGUAUGUGUGUUGAUUGUAGAGGCAUUAAUAAUAUUACUAUUCGUUAUCGUCAUCCUAUUCCUAGGCUAGAUGAUAUGCUUGAUGAAUUGAGUGGCUCUACAAUAUUCUCCAAAGUUGAUUUGCGUAGUGGAUACCAUCAAAUUCGUAUGAAAUUGGGAGAUGAAUGGAAAACAGCAUUCAAAACAAAGUUUGGAUUUUAUGAGUGGUUAGUCAUGCCUUUUGGGUUAACUAAUGCACCUAGUACUUUCAUGAGAUUAAUGAACGAAGUUUUACGUGCUUUCAUUGGACGAUUUGUGGUAGUUUACUUUGAUGACAUAUUGAUUUAUAGCAGAUCUUUGGAAGAACAUUUGGAACAUUUACGUGCUGUUUUUAUUUCUCUACGUGAUGCACAUUUGUUUGGUAACCUUGGGAAGUGCACCUUUUGCACCGACCGAGUAUCUUUUCUUGGCUAUGUUGUUACUCCACAGGGAAUUGAAGUUGAUAAAGCCAAGAUUGAAGCUAUUGAGAGUUGGCCGCAACCCAAAACGGUCACACAAGUGAGGAGUUUUCUUGGCCUCGCUGGAUUCUAUAGGCGUUUUGUGAGAGAUUUUAGCACCAUUGCUGCACCUCUCAAUGAGCUUACAAAGAAAGAUGUGCCUUUUCUUUGGGGUACCGCACAGGAAGAAGCCUUCUCGGUAUUGAAAGAUAAGUUGGCACAUGCUCCUUUACUCCAACUUCCUGAUUUUAAUAAGACUUUUGAGCUUGAAUGUGAUGCUAGUGGAAUUGGAUUAGGCGGUGUGUUAUUACAAGAUGGCAAACCUGUUGCAUACUUUUCUGAAAAAUUGAGUGGGCCUAGUCUGAAUUAUUCUACUUAUGAUAAAGAAUUAUAUGCUCUUGUUCGGACUUUAGAAACAUGGCAACAUUAUUUAUGGCCCAAAGAAUUUGUUAUACAUUCUGAUCAUGAAUCUUUGAAACAUAUUAAAAGUCAAGCUAAACUGAAUCGUAGACAUGCUAAAUGGGUUGAAUUCAUUGAGACUUUUCCUUAUGUCAUUAAACACAAGAAGGGAAAAGAAAAUGUUAUUGCUGAUGCAUUGUCUCGCUGCUAUACUAUGCUUUCACAACUUGACUUCAAAAUAUUUGGUUUGGAGACCAUCAAAGAUCAAUAUGUGCAUGAUGCUGAUUUUAAAGAUGUAAUGCAGAAUUGUAAAGAAGGAAGAAUGUGGAACAAGUUCGUCGUUAACGAUGGAUUUGUGUUUCGUGCUAACAAGCUAUGCAUUCCAGCUAGCUCCGUUCGUCUUUUGUUGUUGCACGAGGCGCAUGGAGGAGGAUUAAUGGGACACUUUGGCGUGAAGAAGACGGAGGACGUACUUGCUACACAUUUCUUUUGGCCAAAGAUGAGACGGGAUGUUGAGCAUUUUAUUGCUCGAUGCACUACAUGUCAAAAAGCUAAGUCACGACUCAAUCCUCAUGGUUUAUAUAUGCCUUUGCCUGUACCUAGUGUUCCUUGGGAGGAUAUAUCUAUGGACUUUGUUUUAGGUUUACCUCGAACAAAGAAGGGGAGGGAUAGCAUAUUUGUUGUCGUGGAUAGAUUCUCGAAAAUGGCACACUUUAUACCAUGUCAUAAAAGCGAUGAUGCUGUUAAUGUUGCUGAUUUGUUCUUUCGUGAAAUUAUUCGCUUGCAUGGUGUGCCAAAUACUAUUGUUUCAGAUCGUGAUAAUAAAUUUCUUAGCCACUUUUGGAGAUGUUUAUGGGCUAAGUUGGGGACUAAACUGCUUUUUAGUACUACUUGUCACCCCCAAACUGAUGGACAAACUGAAGUAGUCAAUAGAACGUUGUCUACUAUGCUUAGGGCUGUUUUUAGUAUGAAUGCUAAAUAUAAACUUGCUGGAGAUAAGGGUAGAAAACAUGUUGUGUUUGCACCUGGAGAUCUUGUUUGGUUACAUUUGCGUAAGGAUAGAUUUCCUGAUUUGCGCAAAUCAAAGUUAAUGCCAUGUGCUGAUGGUCCCUUUAAGGUGUUAGAGAAAAUAAAUGAUAAUGGAUAUAAACUUGAGCUGCCUGCAGAUUUUGGGGUUAGUCCCACUUUUAACAUUGCAGAUUUGAAGCCUUAUUUGGGUGAGGAAGAUGAGCUUCCGUCGAGGACGACUUCAUUUCAAGAAGGGGAGGAUGAUGAGGACAUCAAUACAAUUGUUACACCCACAGCCCCUGCUGCUAUACAUACUGGACCAAUUACUAGAGCUCGUGCACGCCAACUAAAUUACCAGGUACUUUCAUUUCUUGGUAAUGAUUCUAAUGUUCAUGAGAAUAUGAUGCUGCCUAAAUUGGAUACAUUUGUUUUGCUUCCAAAUGAAGGGCCUAGCUUGGAGAAGGAUGAACAUUGGAGCAAGAACAAGCAUGGAGAUGAUGGCAUGCGCAAGGGGAACAAGAACGGAGUUACAAGUGAUGAUUUCAGGACUUUGAAGCCACCAUAAUGGGUGCAUGAAGCCUUGGACGAAAUAUACAAGAUGCCACUUCAUAAAUUUCGUCCCGAGGCUAUUUUAGGUGCUGCGUCACCUUAUUAUUGGGCCAGGCCCAUGUAAUUUCGAAAUACAUAAGUAUAGGCUAUUUUUAGAGUCCGUAUGUGUGGGGAAACAAGAGAUAGGGUUGAUUUUGGACCCCUCCACCAAGGGCCACAAAAUUCCCCCUCUCUUCCUCCAUAUAUACAACCCUUAGGGCACCGUUUAGACUUUGGGUUUUGUUUAGAUUAAAAGUUCGCCAUAGCUGCAACUUCGCGUACUUCGUUUGUGUUCAACGACCAGACAAAGGCGUCACAGAACCCCACCUUGAUCAAUAAAGCUUUCAUCUUAUAUUCGCAAUAUCCAGAUUGCAAUCUUAGUUUCUUGCUUGUUCUUCGUUUGCUCGCAGGAAACAGACCCUCGUGGUCAGGUUGAUCGUGCUCCGGCGUGGUCAAUGACCUCUCGGAGUUGGUUUAGCGAUUGCUAAGGCGCGACGUCCUCGCACGUUCGUAGUCGGAUCGUCAAAGUUGACUUCCACCAAAGCGAUAUCCAUCAUCUCAUCGAAAGACGUGACACCUUUGCCUCCAUCACUUCCUCACCCAAAUAAGGCUUCAAAUCUGCAAUGUUAAAAGUGGGACUAACCCCAAAAUCUGCAGGCAGCUCAAGUUUAUGUGCAUUAUCAUUUAUUUUCUCUAACACCUUAAAGGGACCAUCAGCCCGUGGCUUGAGCUUUGAUUUGCGCAAAUUAGGAAAUCUAUCCUUACGCAAAUGUAACCAAACAAGAUCUCCAGGUGCAAACACAACAUGUUUUCUACCCUUAUCUCCAGCAAGUUUAUAUUUGGCAUUCAUACGCUCAAUGUUUUCCUUAGUUAACUCAUGCAUUUUUAAAAUCAAUUCAGCACGUUGUUUAGCAUCAAAAUUAACCUUCUCUGAAGAUGGAAGAGGCAACAAAUCAAUAGGUGCACGAGGUAGGAAACCAUACACAACCUCAAAAGGGCACAUCUUAGUAGUAGAAUGCAAUGAACGAUUAUAAGCAAAUUCAAUAUGAGGCAAGCAUUCCUCCCACAUUUUCUUAUUACUCUUCAAAACAGCCCUAAGUAUAGUAGACAAUGUUCUAUUGACUACUUCAGUUCGGCCAUCAGUUUGGGGGUGACAAGUAGUACUAAAAGCAGUUUAGUCCCCAACUUAGCCCAUAAACAUCUCCAAAAGUGGCUAAGAAAUUUAGUAUCACGAUCUGAAACAAUAGUAUUUGGCACACCAUGCAAGCGAAUAAUUUCACGAAAGAACAAAUCAGCAACAUUAACAGCAUCAUCGCUUUUAUGACAUGGUAUAAAGUGUGCCAUUUUCGAGAAUCUAUCCACGACAACAAAUAUGCUAUCCCUCCCCUUCUUUGUUCGAGGUAAACCUAAAACCAAGUCCAUAGAUAUAUCCUCCCAAGGAACACUAGGUACAGGCAAAGGCAUAUAUAAACCAUGAGGAUUGAGUCGUGACUUAGCUUUUUGACAUGUAGUGCAGCGAGCAAUAAAACGCUCAACAUCCCGUCUCAUCUUUGGCCAAAAGAAAUGUGUAGCAAGUACGUCCUCCGUCUUCUUCAUGCCAAAGUGUCCCAUUAGUCCUCCUCCAUGCGCCUCCUACAACAACAAAAGACGAACGGAGCUAGCUGGAAUGCAUAGCUUGUUAGCACGAAACACAAAUCCAUCGUUAACGACAAACUUGUUGAUAGAGGCGGAGGUGUCCAGUCUUUUGAUGAGAUGAUGGAUUUCGCUUUGGUGGAAGUCGACUUUGACGAUCCGACUACGAACGUGCGAGGACGUCGCGCCUUAGCAAUCGCUAAACCAACUCCGAGAGGUUAUUGACCACGCCGGAGCACAAUCAACCUGACCCCGAGGGUCUGAUUCCUGCGAGCAAACAAAGAACAAGCAAGAAUCUGAGAUUGCAAUCUGGAUAUUGCGAAUAUAAGAUGAAAGCUUUAUUGAUCAAGGUGGGGUUCUGUGACGCCUUUGUCUGGUCGUUGAACACAAACGAAGUACGCGAAGUUGCAGCUAUGGCGAACUUUAAUCUAAACAAAACCCAAAGUCUAAACGGUGCCCUAAGGGCUGUAUAUAUGGAGCAAGAGAGGGCGAAUUUCGUGGACCUUGGUGGACGGGUCCGAAAUCAACCCUAUCUCUUGUUUCCCCACACAUACGGACUCUAAAAAUAGCCUAUACUUAUGUAUUUCGAAAUUACAUGGGCCUGGCCCAAUAAAAAGGUGACGCAGCACCUAUAAUAGCCUCUGGACGAAAUUUAUGAAGUGACAUCUUGUAUAUUUCAUCCAAGGCUUCAUGCACUCGUUAUGGUGGCUUCAAAGACCUGAAAUCAUCACUUGUAACUCUGUUCUUGUUCCCCUUGCGCAUGCCAUCAUCUCCAUGCUUGUUCUUGCUCCAAUGUUCAUCCUUCUCCAAGCUAGGCCCUUCAUUUCUAAGCAAAACAAAUGUAUCCAAUUUAGGCACCAUCAUAUUCUCAUGAACAUUAGAAUCAUUACCAAGAAACGAAAGUACCUUGUAAUUUAGUUGGCGUGCGCGAGCUCUAGUAAUUGGUCCAGUAUAUAUAGCAGCAGGGGCUGUGGGUGUAACAAUGGUAUUGAUGUCCUCAUCAACCUCCCCUUCUUGAAACGAAGUCGUCCUCGACGGAAGCUCAUCUUCCUCACCCAAAUAAGGCCUCAAAUCUGCAAUGUUAAAAGUGGGACUAACCCCAAAAUCUGCAGGCAGCUCAAGUUUAUAUGCAUUAUCAUUUAUUUUCUCUAACACCUUAAAGGGACCAUCAGCCCGUGGCAUGAGCUUUGAUUUGCGCAAAUCAGGAAAUCUAUCCUUACGCAAAUGUAACCAAACAAGAUAUCCAGGUGCAAACACAACAUGUUUUCUACCCUUAUCUCCAGCAAGUUUAUAUUUGGCAUUCAUACGCUCAAUGUUUUCCUUAGUUAACUCAUGCAUUUUUAAAAUCAAUUCAGCACGUUGUUUAGCAUCAAAAUUAACCUUCUCCGAAGAUGGAAGAGGCAACAAAUCAAUAGGUGCACGAGGUAGGAAACCAUACACAACCUCAAAAGGGCACAUCUUAGUAGUAGAAUGCAACGAACGAUUAUAAGCAAAUUCAAUAUGAGGCAAGCAAUCCUCCCACAUUUUCUUAUUACUCUUCAAAACAGCCCUAAGCAUAGUAGACAAUGUUCUAUUGACUACUUCAGUUUGGCCAUCAGUUUGGGGGUGACAAGUAGUACUAAAAGCAGUUUAGUCCCGAACUUAGCCAAUAAACAUCUCCAAAAGUGGCUAAGAAAUUUAGUAUCACGAUGUGAAACAAUAGUAUUUGGCACACCAUGCAAGCGAAUAAUUUCACGAAAGAACAAAUCAGCAACAUUAACAGCAUCAUCGCUUUUAUGACAUGGUAUGAAGUGUGCCAUUUUCGAGAAUCUAUCCACGACAACAAAUAUGCUAUCCCUCCCCUUCUUUGUUCGAGGUAAACCUAAAACAAAGUCCAUAGAUAUAUCCUCCCAAGGAACACUAGGUACAGGCAAAGGCAUAUAUAAACCAUGAGGAUUGAGUCGUGACUUAGCUUUUUGACAUGUAUUGCAGCGAGCAAUAAAACGCUCAACAUCCCGUCUCAUCUUCGGCCAAAAGAAAUGUGUAGCAAGUACGUCCUCCGUCUUCUUCAUGCCAAAGUGUCCCAUUAGUCCUCCUCCAUGCGCGUCCUACAACAACAAAAGACGAACGGAGCUAGCUGGAAUGCAUAGCUUGUUAGCACGAAACACAAAUCCAUCGUUAACGACAAACUUGUUGAUAGAGGCGGAGGUGUCCCGUCUUUCGAUGAGAUGAUGGAUUUCGCUUUGGUGGAAGUCGACUUUGACGAUCCGACUACGAACGUGCGAGGACGUCGCGCCUUAGCAAUCGCUAAACCAACUCCGAGAGGUCAUUGACCACGCCGGAGCACGAUCAACCUGACCACGAGGGUCUGAUUCCUGCGAGCAAACGAAGAACAAGCAAGAAUCUGAGAUUGCAAUCUGGAUAUUGCGAAUAUAAGAUGAAAGCUUUAUUGAUCAAGGUGGGGUUCUGUGACGCCUUUGUCUGGUCGUUGAACACAAACGAAGUACGCAAAGUUACAGCUAUGGCGAACUUUAAUCUAAACAAAACCCAAAGUCUAAAUGGUGCCCUAAGGGCUGUAUAUAUGGAGGAAGAGAGGGGGAAUUUUGUGGACCUUGGUGGACGGGUCCGAAAUCAACCCUAUCUCUUGUUUCCCCACACAUACGGACUCUAAAAAUAGCCUAUACUUAUGUAUUUCGAAAUUACAUGGGCCUGGCCCAAUAAAAAGGUGACGCAGCACCUAUAAUAGCCUCUGGACGAAAUUAAUGAAGUGACAUCUUGUAUAUUUCGUCCAAGGCUUCAUGCACUCGUUAUGGUGGCUUCAAAGACCUGAAAUCAUCACUUGUAACUCUGUUCUUGUUCCCCUUGCGCAUGCCAUCAUCUCCAUGCUUGUUCUUGCUCCAAUGUUCAUCCUUCUCCAAGCUAGGCCCUUCAUUUGUAAGCAAAACAAAUGUAUCCAAUUUAGGCACCAUCAUAUUCUCAUGAACAUCAGAAUCAUUACCAAGAAACGAAAGUACCUGGUAAUUUAGUUGGCGUGCGCGAGCUCUAGUAAUUGGUCCAGUAUAUAUAGCAGCUGGGGCUGUGGGUGUAACAAUGGUAUUGAUGUCCUCAUCAUCCUCCCCUUCUUGAAAUGAAGUCGUCCUCGACGGACGCUCAUCUUCCUUACCCAAAUAAGGCUUCAAAUCUGCAAUGUUGAAAGUGGGACUAACCCCAAAAUCUGCAGGCAGCUCAAGUUUAUAUGCAUUAUCAUUUAUUUUCUCUAACACCUUAAAGGGACCAUCAGCCCGUGGCAUGCGCUUUGAUUUGCGCAAAUCAGGAAAUCUAUCCUUACGCAAAUGUAACCAAACAAGAUCUCCAGGUGCAAACACAACAUGUUUUCUAGCCUUAUCUCCAGCAAGUUUAUAUUUGGCAUUCAUACGCUCAAUGUUUUCCUUAUUUAACUCAUGCAUUUUUAAAAUCAGUUCAGCACGUUGUUUAGCAUCAAAAUUAACCUUCUCCGAAGAUGGAAGAGGCAACAAAUCAAUAGGUGCACGAGGUAGGAAACCAUACACAACCUCAAAAGGGCACAUCUUAGUAGUAGAAUGCAAUGAACGAUUAUACGCAAAUUCAAUAUGAGGCAAGCAUUCCUCCCACAUUUUCUUAUUACUCUUCAAAAUAGCCCUAAGCAUAGUAGACAAUGUUCUAUUGACUACUUCAGUUUGGCCAUCAGUUUGGGGGUGACAAGUAGUACUAAAAAGCAGUUUAGUCCCCAACUUAUCCCAUAAACAUCUCAAAAAGUGGCUAAGAAAUUUAGUAUCACGAUCUGAAACAAUAGUAUUUGGCACACCAGGCAAGCGAAUAAUUUCACAAAAGAACAAAUCAGGAACAUUAACAGCAUCAUCGCUUUUAUGACAUGGUAUAAAGUGUGCCAUUUUCGAGAAUCUAUCCACGACAACAAAUAUGCUAUCCCUCCCCUUCUUUGUUCGAGGUAAACCUAAAACAAAGUCCAUAGAUAUAUCCUCCCAAGGAACACUAGGUACAGGCAAAGGCAUAUAUAAACCAUGAGGAUUGAGUCGUGACUUAGCUUUUUGACAUGUAGUGCAACGAGCAAUAAAACGCUCAACAUCCCGUCUCAUCUUUGGCCAAAAGAAAUGUGUAGCAAGUACGUCCUCCAUCUUCUUCAUGCCAAAGUUUUCCCUUAGUCCUCCUCCAUGCGCCUCCUACAACAACAAAAGACGAACGGAGCUAGCUGGAAUGGAUAGCUUGUUAGCACGAAACACAAAUCCAUCGUUAAUGACAAACUUGUUGAUAGAGGCGGAGGUGUCUCGUCUUUCGAUGAGAUGAUGGAUUUCGCUUUGGUGGAAGUCGACUUUGACGAUCCGACUACGAACGUGCGAGGACGUCGCGCCUUAGCAAUCGCUAAACCAACUCCGAGAGGUUAUUGACCACGCCGGAGCACGAUCAACCUGACCACGAGGGUCUGAUUCCUGUGAGCAAACGAAGAACAAGCAAAAAUUUGAGAUUGCAAUCUGGAUAUUGCGAAUAUAAGAUGAAAGCUUUAUUGAUCAAGUGGGGUUCUGUGACGCCUUUGUCUGGUCGUUGAACACAAACGAAGUACGCGAAGUUGCAGCUAUGGUGAACUUUAAUCUAAACAAAACCCAAAGUCUAAACGGUGCCCUAAGGGCUGUAUAUAUGGAGGAAGAGAGGGGGAAUUUCGUGGACCUUGGUGGACGGGUCCGAAAUCAACCCUAUCUCUUGUUUCCCCACACAUACGGACUCUAAAAAUAGCCUAUACUUAUGUAUUUCGAAAUUACAUGGGCCUGACCCAAUAAAAAGGUGACGCAGCACCUAUAAUAGCUUCUGGACGAAAUUUAUGAAGUGACAUCUUGUAUAUUUCGUCCAAGGCUUCAUGCACUCGUUAUGGUGGCUUCAAAGACCUGAAAUCAUCACUUGUAACUCGGUUCUUGUUCCUCUUGCGCAUGCCAUCAUCUCCAUGCUUGUUCUUGCUCCAAUGUUCAUCCUUCUCCAAGAUAGGCCCUUCAUUUGUAAGCAAAACAAAUGUAUCCAAUUUAGGCAGCAUCAUAUUCUCAUGAACAUUAGAAUCAUUACCAAGAAACGAAAGUACCUGGUAAUUUAGUUGGCGUGCGCGAGCUCUAGUAAUUGGUCCAGUAUAUAUAGCAGCAGGGGCUGUGGGUGUAACAAUGGUAUUGAUGUCCUUAUCAUCCUCCCCUUUUUGAAAUGAAGUCGUCCUCGACGGAAGCUCAUCUUCCUCACCCAAAUAAGGCUUCAAAUCUGCAAUGUUAAAAGUGGGACUAACCCCAAAAUCUGCAGGCAGCUCAAGUUCAUAUGCAUUAUCAUUUAUUUUCUCUAACACCUUAAAGGGACCGUCAGCCCGUGGCAUGAGCUUUGAUUUGCGCAAAUCAGGAAAUCUAUCAUUACGCAAAUGUAACCAAACAAGAUCUCCAGGUGCAAACACAACAUGUUUUCUACCCUUAUCUCCAGCAAGUUUAUAUUUGGCAUUCAUACGCUCAAUGUUUUUCUUAGUUAACUCAUGCAUUUUUAAAAUCAAUUCAGCACGGUGUUUAGCAUCAAAAUUAACCUUCUCCGAAGAUGGAAGAGGCAACAAAUCAAUAGGUGCACGAGAUAGGAAACCAUACACAACCUCAAAAGGGCACAUCUUAGUAGUAGAAUGCAAUGAACGAUUAUAAGCAAAUUCAAUAUGAGGCAAGCAUUCCUCCCACAUUUUCUUAUUACUCUUCAAAACAGCCCUAAGCAUAGUAGACAAUGUUCUAUUGACUACUUCAGUUUGGCCAUCAGUUUGGGGGUGACAUGUAGUACUAAAAAGCAGUUUAGUCCCCAACUUAGCCCAUAAACAUCUCCAAAAGGGCUAAGAAAUUUAGUGUCACGAUCUGAAACAAUAGUAUUUGGCACACCAUGCAAGCAAAUAAUUUCACGAAAGAACAAAUCAGCAACAUUAACAGCAUCAUCGCUUUUAUGACAUGGUAUAAAGUGUGCCAUUUUCGAGAAUCUAUCCACGACAACAAAUAUGCUAUCCCUCCCCUUCUUUGUUCGAGGUAAACCUAAAAGAAAGUCCAUAGAUAUAUCCUCCCAAGGAACACUAGGUACAGGCAAAGGCCUAUAUAAACCAUGAGGAUUGAGUCGUGACUUAGCUUUUUGACAUGUAGUGCAGCGAGCAAUAAAACGCUCAACAUCCCGUCUCAUCUUUGGCCAAAAGAAAUGUGUAGCAAGGACGUCCUCCGUCUUCUUCAUGCCAAAGUGUCCCAUUAAUCCUCCUCCAUGCACCUCCUACAACAACAAAAGACGAAUGGAGCUAGCUGGAAUGCAUAGCUUGUUAGCACGAAACACAAAUCCAUCGUUAACGACAAACUUGUUGAUAGAGGCGGAGGUGUCCCGUCUUUCGAUGAGAUGAUGGAUUUCGCUUUGGUGGAAGUCGACUUUGACGAUCCGACUACGAACGUGUGAGGAUGUCGCGCCUUAGCAAUCGCUAAACCAACUCCGAGAGGUUAUUGACCACGCCGGAGCACGAUCAACCUGACCACGAGGGUCUGAUUCCUGCGAGCAAACGAAGAACAAGCAAGAAUCUGAGAUUGCAAUCUGGAUAUUGCGAAUAUAAGAUGAAAGCUUUAUUGAUCAAGGUGGGGUUCUGUGACGCCUUUGUCUGGUCGUUGAACACAAACAAAGUACGCGAAGUUGCAGCUAUGGCGAACUUUAAUCUAAACAAAACGCAAAGUCUAAACGGUGCCCUAAGGGCUGUAUAUAUGGAGGAAGAGAGGGGGAAUUUCGUGGACCUUGGUGGACGGGUCCGAAAUCAACCCUAUCUCUUGUUUCCCCACACAUACGGACUCUAAAAAUAGCCUAUACUUAUGUAUUUCGAAAUUACAUGGGCUGGCCCAAUAAAAAGGUGACGCAGCACCUAUAAUAGCCUCUGGACGAAAUUUAUGAAGUGACAUCUUGUAUAUUUCGUCGAAGGCUUCAUGCACUCGUUAUGGUGGCUUCAAAGACCUGAAAUCAUCACUUGUAACUCUGUUCUUGUUCCCCUUGCGCAUGCCACCAUCUCCAUGCUUGUUCUUGCUCCAAUGUUCAUCCUUCUCCAAGCUAGGCCCUUCAUUUGUAAGCAAAACAAAUGUAUCCAAUUUAGGCAGCAUCAUAUUCUCAUGAACAUUAGAAUCAUUACCAAGAAACGAAAGUACCUGGUAAUUUAGUUGGCGUGCGCGAGCUCUAGUAAUUGGUCCAGUAUAUAUAGCAGCAGGGGCUGUGGGUGUAACAAUGGUAUUGAUGUCCUCAUCAUCCUCCCCUUCUUGAAAUGAAGUCGUCCUCGACGGAAGCUCAUCUUCCUCACCCAAAUAAGGCUUCAAAUCUGCAAUGUUAAAAGUGGGACUAACCCCAAAAUCUGCAGGCAGCUCUAGUUUAUAUGCAUUAUCAUUUAUUUUCUCUAACACCUUAAAGGGACCAUCAGCCCGUGGCAUGAGCUUUGAUUUGCGCAAAUCAGGAAAUCUAUCCUUACGCAAAUGUAACCAAACAAGAUCUCCAGGUGCAAACACAACAUGUUUUCUACCCUUAUCUCCAGCAAGUUUAUAUUUGGCAUUCAUACGCUCAAUGUUUUCCUUAGUUAACUCAUGCAUUUUUAAAAUCAAUUCAGCACGUUGUUUAGCAUCAAAAUUAACCUUCUGCGAAGAUGGAAGAGGCAACAAAUCAAUAGGUGCACGAGGUAGGAAACCAUACACAACCUCAAAAGGGCACAUCUUACUAGUAGAAUGCAAUGAACGAUUAUAAGCAAAUUCAAUAUGAGGCAAGCAUUCCUCCCACACUUUCUUUACUCUUCAAAACAGCCCUAAGCAUAGUAGACAAUGUUCUAUUGACUACUUCAGUUUGGCCAUCAGUUUGGGGGUGACAAGUAGUACUAAAAAGCAGUUUAGUCCCAACUUAGCCCAUAAACAUCUCCAAAAGUGGCUAAGAAAUUUAGUAUCACGAUCUGAAACAAUAGUAUUUGGCACACCAUGCAAGCAAAUAAUUUCACGAAAGAACAUAUCAGCAACAUUAACAGCAUCAUCGCUUUUAUGACAUGGUAUAAAGUGUGCCAUUUUCGAGAAUCUAUCCACGACAACAAAUAUGCUAUCCCUCCCGUUCUUUGUUCGAGGUAAACCUAAAACAAAGUCCAUAGAUAUAUCCUCCCAAGGAACACUAGGUACAGGCAAAGGCAUAUAUAAACCAUGAGGAUUGAGUCAUGACUUAGCUUUUUGACAUGUAGUGCAGCGAGCAAUAAAACGCUCAACAUCCCGUCUCAUCUUUGGCCAAAAGAAAUGUGUAGCAAGUACGUCCUCCGUCUUCUUCACGCCAAAGUGUCCCAUUAAUCCUCCUCCAUGCGCCUCCUGCAACAACAAAAGACGAACGGAGCUAGCUGGAAUGCAUAGCUUGUUAGCACGAAACACAAAUCCAUCGUUAACGACAAACUUGUUCCACAUUCUUCCUUCUUUACAAUUCUGCAUUACAUCUUUAAAAUCAACAUCAUGCACAUAUUGAUCUUUGAUGGUCUCCAAACCAAAUAUUUUGAAGUCAAGUUGUGAAAGCAUAGUAUAGCGACGAGACAAUGCAUCAGCAAUAACAUUUUCUUUUCCCUUCUUGUGUUUAAUGACAUAAGGGAAAGUCUCAAUGAAUUCAACCCAUUUAGCAUGUCUACGAUUCAGUUUAGCUUGACUUUUAAUAUGUUUCAAAGAUUCAUGAUCUAUAACAAAUUCUUUGGGCCAUAAAUAAUGUUGCCAUGUUUCUAAAGUCCGAACAACAGCAUAUAAUUCUUUAUCAUAAGUAGAAUAAUUCAGACUAGGCCCACUCAAUUUUUCAGAAAAGUAUGCAACAGGUUUGCCAUCUUGUAAUAACACACCUCCUAAUCCAAUUCCACUAGCAUCACAUUCAAGCUCAAAAGUCUUAUUAAAAUCAGGAAGUUGGAGUAAAGGAGCAUGUGCCAACUUAUCUUUCAAUACCGUGAAGGCUUCUUCCAGUGCGUUACCCCAAAGAAACGGCACACCUUUCUUUGUAAGCUCAUUGAGAGGUGCAGCAAUGGUGCUGAAAUCUCUCACAAAACGCCUAUAGAAUCCAGCGAGGCCAAGAAAACUCCUCACUUGUGUGACCGUUUUGGGCUGCGGCCAACUCUCAAUAGCUUCAAUCUUGGCUUUAUCAACUUCAAUUCCCUGUGGAGUAACAACAUAGCCAAGAAAAGAUACUCGGUCGGUGCAAAAGGUGCACUUCCCAAGGUUACGAAACAAACGUGCAUCACGUAGAGCAAUAAAAACAGCACGUAAAUGUUCCAAAUGUUCUUCCAAAGAUCUACUAUAAAUCAAUAUGUCAACAAAGUAAACUACCACAAAUCAUCCAAUGAAAGCACGUAAAACUUCGUUCAUUAAUCUCAUGAAAGUACUAGGUGCAUUAGUUAACCCAAAAGGCAUGACUAACCAAUCGUAUAAUCCAAACUUAGUUUUGAAUGUUGUUUUCCAUUCAUCUCCCAAUUUCAUACGAAUUUGAUGGUAUCCACUACGCAAAUCAACUUUGGAGAAUAUUGUAGAGCCACUCAAUUCAUCAAGCAUAUCAUCUAGCCUAGGAAUAGGAUGACGAUAACGAAUAGUAAUAUUAUUAAUGCCUCUACAAUCAACACACAUACGUGAUGUACCAUCCUUUUUCGGCACUAGAAUAAUAGGAACAGCACAAGGACUAAGGGAUUCGCGUAUAUAACCUUUGUCGAGAAGCUCUUGUACUUGACGCAUAAUCUCCUUCGUCUCCUCUGGAUUGGUACGGUAUGGUGCACGGUUUGGCAGUGAAGCACCGGGAAUUAAGUCAAUCUGAUGCUCAAUCCCUCGAAUAGGCGGUAAUCCCGGUGGCACGUCUUGUGGAAAGACGUCAGCGAACUCCUGCAAAAUGUUAGUGACAGCAGGAGGCAAAGAGGAAGGCACGUCCUCGAAUGAAAAUAAUGCCUCUUUGCACACAAAAGCAUAGCAAACAGAUUUGCUGAAAUCUAGCUCAUCAAUAUCAGAUUUGGUGGCAAAUAAACAUGCACUUUUCAAUUUAAUUUCAGAAGCAACACUAGAUGGUUUAUUAUUAGGCUUCAUUUGUUGCUCAAAUUCUUUUGCCACAAUCUGAUUUUCACUCUUAUUCGUCUCCUGUUUUGCUUUAUUAGCUCUAUUAAUAUCAUCUUUCAAAAUGGAAUCAGGAGUCAUAGGAAGCAAAGUAAUGUUUUUAUCCUUAUGAACAAGAGUAUAGUGAUUGUUUCUACCAUGGUGUACAGAAUUUUUAUCAAAUUGCCAUGGUCUACCAAGUAAUAAGGAACAUGCUUGCAUAGGUACCACAUCACAAUCAACAUAAUCAGCAUAUGUAGAGAUACUAAAAUGCACACGAACAGUACGUGUUACCUUAACCUUGCCGCUGUUGUUGAACCAUUGGAUGUAGUAAGGAUGUGGAUGUGGUCUUGUGGUGAGAGAAAGCUUCUCGGCCAUCUCCAUGCUAGCCAAGUUGUUGCAGCUCCCUCCGUCUAUGAUGACGCGCACAGAACGUUCUUUCACAACUCCCUUGGUAUGGAACAAAUUGUGCCUCUGAUUUUGCUCAGAUUGUGUAACCUGCACACUCAAAACACGUUGAGCAACUAAACAUUCAUACCUGUCAGCGUCUUCAGGAGCCAUGUAUUGUGUCUCAUGAUCAGAAUCAUUUCCACCAUGUUCUUCACGUGUAAUAAGAGCCAAAGUCUCCUCAUCAUAGUCACUAGCGGACUCAUAUCCACCAUCUGCGGUAGCAAUCAUCACACGCGGAGAUUUGCAUUCUCUCGCAUAAUGACCUCCUCCCUUACAUCGACGACAAAUAAUAUCACUUGUGUGCCCUAUUGAUGCCAUAGAAGAAGAAGAACUCUGUGCAGGCCCAGCAGGUGCGCUCUUGGCAGAUAAUGGUGGUUGUGCCUGUUUUCUUGUAUCAUGACUGGAGGAGGCACCUGAUUGAGGUGCUGGUGCAGUUGAAGUAGAAGAUGCACGCAGUGUCCAUGAUGAAGGUCGGCCUGCAGAAAAGUUAGUGAUGUAGGGUGGAACCGUAUAGCGUUGAUCUUUCACGUUUGGAGUGGAUCCAACGGGGAAUCACGAAGAACACGCGGAAGCACAAAGGGAAACUCGGGGGAAAACGAGAGGGAAUCACUCAACCAACAAGGAAUCGAUCACACAAGUGCUAGAUCAUCGAAUACAUAGAGUAACAUAUGAUCCACAAUCGACAAAGGGAAAGGAUACAACGGAAUCGUUCUUCUCCAAGAGGAGGCCUUGAUGUUCUUCCCUAAAGAGGGGUCUUGAAUCCGCUUGGGGAUCUUCUCCGGAGAGGUCCUGAUCUCCGAUGAGAAGUAUCCAAGGGGAUGAGCAAAGGCUCACUGAUGAGGACAUGACUACCUUGGAUAUGACCAAAAAUAUUGCAUAUAUGCAUAUUUGUCAGGUGAUUUCUAGUGCAAACUAUUCAAUAAUCUAUUUAUGUUAUCCAGAACAAAAAUACUUCACACACUUUUGUGUUUUGUCUAAUUGCAGGUGUAUGGGACAUUUGUACAAUCCACAUAUGAAGAUAAGGAAGAAAGAGAUGUUUAUUUGCUGUCCAAAAAGUUCUCUCACGUCACUUUUGGCCCAACAGAAGAUAGAGUCCAAGUCUCUCAUGUUCUGGAUUCAGAUUCGGACUGCACAGACAUACCUGACUCAAAACGCACACAAGUUUUUCAUACGGAAUCCGAAUUGGGUGAUUCUUUUUUUGUUGGAAACUAGAUUUCGUGCACUUUCCAACCCAAUUGGAAGCACCUUCAAAUUCGUCCGGAGCGUUGAGUUGUGGACGAAACAAUCUAAUGCUGCAACAGAAUCCAAGUCAAACUACAAGUCCAAAGGUGUUACAUCACCUCCACUUGGGCCCAUUGGCCUUGUACGACCUAGAUUUAGUUUUAGGCUGCCUUGGGACGUCCCCCCACCUCCUUGGCCGCCACCCCUUGCUCCUAUAUAAGUAGAUCCAUCUAGUAGCUUUUCCUUGGGAUUUGUUUAGUUAAAAGUUAGCCAUUGCAACUUCGUGUAAUUCGUUUGUGUCCAACGACCAGACCAAAACCGCUUACGGAUCCCCACCUUUAUCAAUACUUCAUCUAUAUUCGCAAUAUUCAGUUUGCUUUAUCAUAUUCUUGCUUGUUCUUCGAUUGCUUGCAGGAAUAGACCUUCGUGGUCAGGUUGAUUGUGCUUCGGCGUGGUCAAUAACCUCUCGGAGUUGGUUUAGCGAUUGCUAAGGCGCAACGUCGUGCACGUUUGUAGUCGGAUCGUCAAAGUCAUCUUCACCAAAUCGAUAGUUAUCAUCUCAUCGAAAGAUCGGGACACCCCGCCUCUAUCAAGUGGUAUCAGUUUUCAGGUUGCUCGGUGAGAAUUUCCAGUUUUCCUAGAUUAGAUUUAUUUUCUUACCUAUUGUCCAAGAAAAAUCCACAAAAAAGAGUUAGAUCUAUUCAUCCUUUGUCCAAGCCAGUCUGAACCUUUGUAAUUUUCUUUUCAUUGCUUGCAUAGUUGAAUUAUCGGUUGCAUCGUCGUGUCGAGUUGCUGGUCUUAGUGUCUAGGUCGUUUAGAGUUUCGAGUUCUGUUCACAUUAGUCACGUCGCCGCUGCAUCGUUAUCCCUUCCGCUGUCAACCACCCAUCCAUCAAUUUCCUCCACGUGCUACCCACCGUUCAUUGUCAUAAUCAUAGUUGAGAUCGUUCCCAUCUUCGCUUGAUCCAAUCUACAUCUUAUCUAGUUUGUUUUGGAAUGAGGGAGAGAGAAAAAAAAGAUAGAGAAAAAAACGAGAGAAAAAAAGUAAAAAAAAGUCAGAGAAAAAAAAAAGAAAGGAAAAGAAAAAAAGGCGUGAGAAAAAAAGAGAGAAGAAAAAAAAAUUGGAUCUAUCUAGAAUCAAUCUCGUACCUGAAUUCGGAUUGGAAUCUGUUUUGCGCACUGUUCAGUAAAACAGGUGUAUCUUCCUCAUACGAAGUCAGUUUUGGCUCUGUGAGUACUCAAAUUGAAGAUAGCGACGAGACACAUCUAAAUAGUUGUAGAAGCAAGUUCAAUAUUUGACACCUCAAAAUCGGCUUCUAAAUAGGUCUUUUUGCCCUCCGAAGUUCGUGAACACAACUUUUUCCAAUUUUUCAGGCAAGUUUUAGAAUUCUUUGACUCCUCAUAUCAACUCGGAAUUGAGUGAUUCUUUUUGCAUUGGAAAGCUUGAGUUAGUAGCAUUCUUUGAAAGAAUUUAUCAGAAAAUUGUCUCAAACUUUUCAAGAGGAAAGUUGGAGGGAGAGUUGUUGUAUAUCCUGCUUGGCAGUUGUUUUUCAUCAUUAUCUUCACUGCCGUUGUGAUCUUCACUUAUAUCUUGCUGUCAAGAGCUACUUAGUAUCCUUCAUUGAUGCUAGUUGUGCUACGCCUGACCUCAUUAGUGUUCUAGGCUCGCGUCUCUAGUCCGGUCUAGCCUAGGACCAGCACAGUAUCGUCAUUGAGCCGUUUAUUCAACAUUGCAUCUUUGAAUUGAUUAUUGCUAAUCUUUUGCUACCAUAUAUAGCCAACCCAGCUCCACAUAUUUCUACACCGUGUAUACGUACGCUCCCCUGGCAAUCGCUUUACUCAAUAUUCGGAGUUACUUGACACCGCUGGUUGCCGAUCACCGCCUGCUGCAUGGUAAGAACUUGUAAGACAUUGAUAUUUGCUUUACUGUGAGCGUUUUACCACCACAUCCUAGUAGUUAUAGGAACAUUAUUUUUGGGUUUUGUUUCUUGUUCUACUAAUCAUGACAGGAUCUAGAGUCAAUUCAUGGGCUUUGUCGAUCGCGGGAGACGUGCCACCACCUUUGCAAAUACCACAACCGUCACGAGAGGUGCACAAAUAUCCAAAUGCACAUGAUCAGGUUAAUGUAUCUAUACCANNNNNNNNNNAUGAACAUAAAAAGGUUAAGGUUGCGGUUGGUUCUUUCACUGGUUAUGCUUUGGUUUGGUGGAGUGAAUAUUGUCGGUUACACCCUGAUUAUAUACCUACUACUUGGGAUGAUUUGAAACUUGCCAUGCGACAUACUUUCGUCCCUGCUUAUUAUAUUCGUGACAUGAUUAAGAAGUUGCAACACUUAAAACAAGGUAGUGAAACUGUAACAAAAUAUUAUGAUGAUUUACAAACUACCUUGUUGCAUUCCUCUUUAGAAGAAAGUGAAGAUGAUUUUAUGGAUAGAUUUUGGGGAGGAUUAAACCGUGAUAUUCAAGAGAUACUAAUUCAUGAAGAGUGUUAUCCUAUGAACCAUUUGUUUCAUCUUGCUUGCAAAGCUGAACAGGAAAUAAAACGACGUGUUGGCCACGAGGAGAACAAGCGCACGGUGCACAUUCCAAGAGUUGAUAUGAUUGUUCCUUCAACUACUAGGCAUACUAUGACAACCACAUCCGUUGUUGUCAGGACUACAUCACCUCCACCAUGUGACACAUCGCCCCCGAGAGUGGCUACAUCAUCUGAGUUGAUCAUAAGAGGUAAUGACAAAGGUACUAAUCUUCCAUCUCUACAUGAGAAUGAUGAAUGCCUUGUCAAUUUGAAUGCACCAUCUAAUGAGCUACCCACUACUUUGAUCACACCACCUAUUUUAGAGGACUACGUUGAUAAUUUGACUUUGCCAUGUGAUCAAACAACUGAAAUACCAACAAUUUUGAGUGCACCCAUUGAAUUAACUAUUGAUGCAAAAGAACCAAUGUUUAAUCAUUUUGAUAUGACCUCUAAUCUUGGUGAUGAUUCUAUGUUAAAUGACUUAUUGCAUGUUUGCUUAUUUAAGCAUGUUGUAGCAUGUAAAUUUGAUGCAAGUAAGGUUUAUUCACCAAUGUUGGGAUGGUUUAAUAAUGAACAUUGUCAAUCUUUUGAAAUGAAUAAGAGCUUCACUUAUAUGUGCAAACUGCGUUGCAAUAUUUUCAUGCCUUCUACUUCUUGUGCUAAUUUUUUGGCUUUAGAUUUUAUGAACUAUGCAAGUUACUCAUCUAUUCAUGUGUCAUAUAUGCAAAAAUCAAGGGAAGUAAAAAUGGAUGACAUAUACAUAUACAACAUGUACACCUUGUCUCUUUUGUUAGCCACAUUUCAGAUUAAGCAACGCCGAGGACGGCUUUAUUUUCAAGAAGGGGAGGAUGAUGAGGACAUGACUACCUUGGAUAUGACCAAAAAUAUUGCAUAUAUGCAUAUUUGUCAGGUGAUAUCUUGAUGAGGACAUGAUUACCUUGGAUAUGACCAAAAAUAUUGCAUAUAUGCAUAUUUGUCAGGUGAUUUCUAGUGCAAACUAUUCAAUAAUCUAUUUAUGUUAUCCAGAACAAAAAUACUCCAUACACUUUUGUGUUUUGUCUAAUUGCAGGUGUAUGGGACAUUUGUACAAUCCACAUAUGAAGAUAAGGAAGAAAGAGAUGUUUAUUUGCUGUCCAAAAAGUUCUCUCACGUCACUUUUGGCCCAACAGAAGAUAGAGUCCAAGUCUCUCACGUUCUGGAUUCAGAUUCGGACUGCACAAACAUACCUGACUCAAAACGCACACAAGUUUUUCAUACGGACUCCGAAUUGGGUGAUUCUUUUUUUGUUGGAAACUAGAUUUCGUGCACUUUCCAACCCAAUUGGAAUCACCUUCAAAUUCGUCCAAAGCGUUGAGUUGUGGACGAAACAAUCUGAUGCUGCAGCAAAAUCCGAGUCAAACUAUAAGUCCAAAGGUGUUACAUCACCUUCACUUGGGCCCAUUGGCCUUGUACAACCUAGAUUUAGUUUUAGGCUGCCUUGGGACGUCCUCCCACCUCCUUGGCCACCACCCCUUGCUCCUAUAUAUAUAUAAGUAGAUCCAUCUAGUAGCUUUUCCUUGGGAUUUGUUUAGUUAAAAGUUAGCCAUUGCAACUUCGUGUACUUCGUUUGUGUCCAACGACCAGACCAAAACCGCUUCCGGAUCCCCACCAUUAUCAAUACUUCAUAUUUAUUUGCAAUAUUCAUAUUGCUUUAUCAUAUUCUUACUCGUUCUUCGAUUGCUUGCAGGAAUAGACCUUCGUGGUCAGGCUGACCGUGCUUCCAGCAUCGUCAGUAACCUCAGGAGAUUGGUUUAGCGAUUGCUAAGGCGCAACGUCGUGCAUGUUUGUAGUCGGAUCGUCAAAGUCGUCUCCACCAAAUCGAUAGUUAUCAUCUCAUCGAAAGAUCGGGACCCUCGCCUCUAUCAAGUGGUAUCAGUUUUCAGGUUGCUCGGUGAGAAUUUCCAGUUUUUCCUAGAUUAGAUUUAUUUUCUUACCUAUUGUCCAAGAAAAAUCCACAAAAAAGAGUUAGAUCUAUUCAUGCUUUGUCCAAGCCAGUCUGAGCCUUUGCAAUUUUCUUUUCAUUGCUUGCAUAGUUGAAUUAUCGGUUGCAUCGUCGUGUCGAGUUGCUGGUCUUAGUGUCUAGGUCGUUUAGAGUUUCGAGUUCUGUUCACAUUAGUCACGUCGCCGCUGCAUCGUUAUCCCUUCCGCUGUCCACCACCCAUACAUCAAUUUCCUCCACGUGCUACCUACCGUUCGUUGUCAUAAUCAUAGUUGAGAUCGUUCCCAUCUUCGCUUGAUCCAAUCUACAUCUUAUCUAGUUUGUUUUGGAAAGAGUGAUAGAGGCAAAGGUGUCCCGUCUUUCGAUGAGAUGGUGGAUUUCGCUUUGGUGGAAGUCGACUUUGACGAUCCGACUACGAACGUGCGAGGACGUCGCGCCUUAGCAAUCGCUAAACCAACUCCGAGAGGUUAUUGACCACGCCGGAGCACGAUCAACCUGACCACGAAGGUCUGUUUCCUGCGAGCAAACGAAGAACAAGCAAGAAACUAAGAUUGCAAUCUGGAUAUUGCGAAUAUAAGAUGAAAGCUUUAUUGAUCAAGGUGGGGUUCUGUGACGCCUUUGUCUGGUCGUUGAACACAAACGAAGUACGCGAAGUUGCAGCUAUGGCGAACUUUUAAUCUAAACAAAACCCAAAGUCUAAACGAUGCCCUAAGGGCUGUAUAUAUGGAGGAAGAGGGGGGGAAUUUCGUGGCCCUUGGUGGAGGGGUCCGAAAUCAACCCUAUCUCUUGUUUCCCGACACAUACGGACUCUAAAAAUAGCCUAUACUUAUGUAUUUCGAAAUUACAUGGGCCUGGCCCAAUAAUAAGGUGACGCAGCACCUAAAAUAGCCUCGGGACGAAAUUUAUGAAGUGGCGUCUUGUAUAUUUCGUCCAAGGCUUCAUGCACCCAUUAUGGUGGCUUCAAAGUCCUGAAAUCAUCACUUGUAACUCCGUUCUUGUUUCCCUUGCGCAUGCCAUCAUCUCCAUGCUUGUUCUUGCUCCAAUGUUCAUCCUUCUCCAAGCUAGGCCCUUCAUUUGUAAGCAAAACAAAUGUAUCCAAUUUAGGCAGCAUCAUAUUCUCAUGAACAAUAGAAUCAUUACCAAGAAACGAAAGUACCUGGUAAUUUAGUUGGCGUGCACGAGCUCUAGUAAUUGGUCCAGUAUGUAUAGCAGCAGGGGCUGUGGGUGUAACAAUUGUAUUGGAGUUACAAGUGAUGAUUUCAGGACUUUGAAGCCACCAUAAUGGGUGCAUGAAGCCUUGGACGAAAUAUACAAGAUGCCACUUCAUAAAUUUCGUCCCGAGGCUAUUUUAGGUGCUGCGUCACCUUAUUAUUGGGCCAGGCCCAUGUAAUUUCGAAAUACAUAAGUAUAGGCUAUUUUUAGAGUCCGUAUGUGUGGGGAAACAAGAGAUAGGGUUGAUUUCGGACCCCUCCACCAAGGGCCACGAAAUCCCCCCCUCUUCCUCCAUAUAUACAGCCCUUAGGGCAUCGUUUAGACUUUGGGUUUUGUUUAGAUUAAAAGUUCGCCAUAGCUGCAACUUCGCGUACUUCGUUUGUGUUCAACGACCAGACAAAGGCGUCACAGAACCCCACCUUGAUCAAUAAAGCUUUCAUCUUAUAUUCGCAAUAUCCAGAUUGCAAUCUUAGUUUCUUGCUUGUUCUUCAUUUGCUCGCAGGAAACAGACCCUCGUGGUCAGGUUGAUCGUGCUCCGGCGUGGUCAAUAACCUCUCGGAGUUGGUUUAGCGAUUGCUAAGGCGCGACGUCCUCGCACGUUCGUAGUCGGAUCGUCAAAGUCGACUUCCACCAAAGCGAUAUCCAUCAUCUCAUCGAAAGACGGGACACCUUUGCCUCUAUCAGCCUGCAGAAAAGUUAGUUCGCCCCAAUGCUUGUCGAUCCUGCACUUCACGUUCAGCUUUACAAGCAAGAUGGAAUAAACGAGUGAUAUUAGUAUACUCCUUAUAGUCUAGAAUGGUCUGAAUCUCUCUAUUUAAUCCACCCAGAAAACGUGCAAGCAUAGCUUCAUUCUCCUCAACAAUACCACAUCUAAUCAUGCCAGUUUGUAAUUCCUGAUAAUAUUCUUCUACAGAAUUUUUUCCUUGUCUUAAACGCUGCAAUUUUUGAAGCAAUUCACGUUGAUAAUAUGGUGGAACCCAACGCAUACGCAUAGCAGUUUUCAAAGCAGCCCAAGUAGUUGGAAUAGGAUAUAAUCUACAAUGUUCAGACCACCAUACACAUGCAAAACUAGUGAAAGCACAAACAGCAGCAGCAACUCGUCUCUCCUCAGGAUAUUGUAAACAUGUAAAUCGUUGUUCAGUUUCUAACUCCCAAGUAAGAUAUAUAUCAGGAACAUAUCUACCCUCAAAUGGUGGAAUAUUCAAUUUCAGUUUAGGAAUAUGGACAUCAUCGCGUACCUGAGGUGGUGGUGCAGGCCUACCAUUACGAAUAUAUACCUGAGGUCGACCUGCUGGUGGUGGUACAGGUGGUUGCACGUAGUGUUGAUUUUGAUCAACCUCAUCCUCAUAAUCUCCCACAUAAUCAUCCUCCUCCGCAUCAGCAGCAGGAGCCACAGAAGUAUCAACAGCAGCACCAACAGUUUGGCCAAACGCAAGAGGAACACGGCUUGCUCGGCGGAGGUCCGCUUCGCGACGUGGAGGUAGUCGUUGUUGUUGUUGUUGGAGAGGUGCGUUAGGUGCAGCGGGUGGUGGUGGUGGAAGACGCGCGAGCAAUUCAUUAAACUUGUUAUCGAGCUUUGUUUCGAACGUCUUCUCAAAGCCAGUGAUCUUCUCCAUGGCCUCUUCAAAAUUGUUCAGCACAUUUUGCACCUGUUCAGUCAUCAUUUGCUGAAACUUAUCAUGAAGCUCCUUGUUCGAUAAAUUCUCCCAGUCAAUCUCGUCGGCUUGUGAUCCUGGCAUGGUUAGCAGCAAUAGAAACACACAAGAAUAUGAUCCUACAGACUACGAGCAAGUGGUGGUGGUGGGUGUCACAAAUCCGUCAAGCAAAUCUCAAAUUCUUACCAGUUCUUACCCAGCAGCAGGCGGUGAUCGGCAACCGUUGUAGUCAAAAACUCUCAAAGCUUGGAUAGAACGAUUACCAGGGAGAGUCGAACACACGACGUAGAUGUAUGUGGAGCUGGGAAGGCUUAUAGUAUGGUAGCAAAAAGGGUCAGCAAUAAUCAAUUCAGAGAUGCAAAGUUGAAUAAACGCUCAACGACGGUACUGUGCUGGUCCUAGGCUAGACUGUGCUAGAGACGCGAGCCUAGAACACCAACAAAAUCACGGCGCGGCACGUAAACAAGGGAAAAGCACACUCUGAAUUUUUUUUUUCCGCUCUUUUUUUUUCCGAAACCUACUCCGGCAAGGAAACACGAAUCGGAAUCUAGAUUGAUCCCGAAAACAAACCUAAUAAGCAAGGAACUCGGAUUGGUGGUGGAUAUAUGGUGGUGGUAUAUGGCAGCGGUGGUAGUAUUUGGAUAUGGAUCGGUGGUGGUAUAUGGACACGGAUUGGUGGUGGUAUAUGGAUACGGAUUCGGAGCGGUGGUGGUAGAUGGCAGGGGCGAUGAUGAUGGUGCGGCGACGGUGUGACAACUUGUGAACAGAACUCGAAACUCUAAAAGACUAGACGCUAAGACCAGCAACUGAACACGACGAUGCAACCGCAAAUUCAACAAAGCAAAUACAGAAAAGAUAAUGCAAGGCUCAGAUUGGUUUGGAUGGGAUGAACUAACCCUAAUUUUUUUUUGGCUUUUUCGUGGACUAUAGGUAUGAAGAACAGACUCGAUCUAAACUACGAAAAACUGUAAAAUCUCACCGAGCAACCUGGAAAUCUGAUACCACUUGAUAGAGGCAAAGGUGUCCCGUCUUUCGAUGAGAUGGUGGAUUUCGCUUUGGUGGAAGUCGACUUUGACGAUCCGACUACGAACGUGUGAGGACGUCGCGCCUUAGCAAUCGCUAAACCAACUCCGAGAGGUUAUUGACCACGCCGGAGCACGAUCAACCUGACCACGAGGGUCUGUUUCCUGCGAGCAAACGAAGAACAAGCAAGAAACUGAGAUUGCAAUCUGGAUAUUGCGAAUAUAAGAUGAAAGCUUUAUUGAUCAAGGUGGGGUUCUGUGACGCCUUUGUCUGGUCGUUGAACACAAACGAAGUACGCGAAGUUGCAGCUAUGGCGAACUUUUAAUCUAAACAAAACCCAAAUUCUAAACGAUGCCCUAAGGGCUGUAUAUAUGGAGGAAGAGGGGGGGAAUUUCGUGGCCCUUGGUGGAGGGGUCCGAAAUCAACCCUAUCUCUUGUUUCCCCACACAUACGGACUCUAAAAAUAGCCUAUACUUAUGUAUUUCGAAAUUACAUGGGCCUGGCCCAAUAAUAAGGUGACGCAGCACCUAAAAUAGCCUCGGAACGAAAUUUAUGAAGUGGCAUCUUGUAUAUUUCGUCCAAGGCUUCAUGCACCCAUUAUGGUGGCUUCAAAGUCCUGAAAUCAUCACUUGUAACUCCGUUCUUGUUCUUGCUCCAAUGUUCAUCCUUCUCCAAGCUAGGCCCUUCAUUUGUAAGCAAAACAAAUGUAUCCAAUUUAGGCAGCAUCAUAUUCUCAUGAACAUUAGAAUCAUUACCAAGAAACGAAAGUACCUGGUAGUUUAGUUGGCGUGCACGAGCUCUAGUAAUUGGUCCAGUAUGUAUAGCAGCAGGGGCUGUGGGUGUAACAAUUGUAUUGAUGUCCUCAUCAGGGAGGGAUAGCAUAUUUGUUGUCGUGGAUAGAUUCUCGAAAAUGGCACACUUUAUACCAUGUCAUAAAAGCGAUGAUGCUGUUAAUGUUGCUGAUUUGUUCUUUCGUGAAAUUAUUCGCUUGCAUGGUGUGCCAAAUACUAUUGUUUCAGAUCGUGAUACUAAAUUUCUUAGCCACUUUUGGAGAUGUUUAUGGGCUAAGUUGGGGACUAAACUGCUUUUUAGUACUACUUGUCACCCCCAAACUGAUGGACAAACUGAAGUAGUCAAUAGAACGUUGUCUACUAUGCUUAGGGCUGUUUUGAAGAAUAAUAAGAAAAUGUGGGAGGAAUGCUUGCCUCAUAUUGAAUUUGCUUAUAAUCGUUCAUUGCAUUCUACUACUAAGAUGUGCCCUUUUGAAGUUGUGUAUGGUUUCCUACCUCGUGCACCUAUUGAUUUGUUGCCUCUUCCAUCUUCGGAGAAGGUUAAUUUUGAUGCUAAACAACGUGUUGAAUUGAUUUUAAAAAUGCAUGAGUUAACUAAGUGAUAGAGGCAAAGGUGUCCCGUCUUUCGAUGAGAUGGAGGAUUUCGCUUUGGUGGAAGUCGACUUUGACGAUCCGACUACGAACGUGCGAGGACGUCGCGCCUUAGCAAUCGCUAAACCAACUCCGAGAGGUUAUUGACCACGCCGGAGCACGAUCAACCUGACCACGAAGGUCUGUUUCCUGCGAGCAAACGAAGAACAAGCAAGAAACUAAGAUUGCAAUCUGGAUAUUGCGAAUAUAAGAUGAAAGCUUUAUUGAUCAAGGUGGGGUUCUGUGACGCCUUUGUCUGGUCGUUGAACACAAACGAAGUACGCGAAGUUGCAGCUAUGGCGAACUUUUAAUCUAAACAAAACCCAAAGUCUAAACGAUGCCCUAAGGGCUGUAUAUAUGGAGGAAGAGGGGGGGAAUUUCGUGGCCCUUGGUGGAGGGGUCCGAAAUCAACCCUAUCUCUUGUUUCCCCACACAUACGGACUCUAAAUAUAGCCUAUACUUAUGUAUUUCGAAAUUACAUGGGCCUGGCCCAAUAAUAAGGUGACGCAGCACCUAAAAUAGCCUCGGGACGAAAUUUAUGAAGUGGCAUCUUGUAUAUUUCGUCCAAGGCUUCAUGCACCCAUUAUGGUGGCUUCAAAGUCCUGAAAUCAUCACUUGUAACUCCGUUCUUGUUUUCCUUGCGCAUGCCAUCAUCUCCAUGCUUGUUCUUGCUCCAAUGUUCAUCCUUCUCCAAGCUAGGCCCUUCAUUUGUAAGAAAAACAAAUGUAUCCAAUUUAGGCAGCAUCAUAUUCUCAUGAACAUUAGAAUCAUUACCAAGAAACGAAAGUACCUGGUAAUUUAGUUGGCGUGCACGAGCUCUAGUAAUUGGUCCAGUAUGUAUGGCAGCAGGGGCUGUGGGUGUAACAAUUGUAUUGAUGUCCUCAUCACCAAGCUUUGAGAGUUUUUGACUACAACGGUUGCCGAUCACCGCCUGCUGCUGGGUAAGAACUGGUAAGAAUUUGAGAUUUGCUUGACGGAUUUGUGAUACACCACCACCACUUCUUAGUAGUCUGUAGGAUCAUAUUCUUGUGUGUUUCUAUUGCUGCUAACCAUGCCAGGAUCACAAGCCGACGAGAUUGACUGGGAGAACUUAUCGAACAAGGAGCUUCAUGAUAAGUUUCAGCAAAUGAUGACUGAACAGGUACAAGAUGUGCUGAACAAUUUUGAAGAGGCCAUGGAGAAGAUCACUGGCCUUGAGAAGACGUUCGAAACAAAGCUCGAUAACAGAUUUAAUGAACUGCUUGCGCGUCUUCCACCACCGGCUGCACCUGUCGCACCUCUGCAACAACAACAACUACGCCCCCUUCCGAAUCAGUAUGGACGAGCACAGCGUGUUCCUAUUGAGCCAGGACAAAAUUCUGGUGCCGCUACUACUGCUGUUGGUGUUUCUUUGGCUCCUGCUACUGCUGCUGCUGGUACCCAGGAGGAUGAUGAUAGAGGCAAAGGUGUCCCGUCUUUCGAUGAGAUGAUGGAUAUCGCUUUGGUGGAAGUCGACUUUGACGAUCCGACUACGAACGUGCGAGGACGUCGCGCCUUAGCAAUCGCUAAACCAACUCCGAGAGGUUAUUGACCACGCCGGAGCACGAUCAACCUGACCACGAGGGUCUGUUUCCUGCGAGCAAACGAAGAACAAGCAAGAAACUGAGAUUGCAAUCUGGAUAUUGCGAAUAUAAGAUGAAAGCUUUAUUGAUCAAGGUGGGGUUCUGUGACGCCUUUGUCUGGUCGUUGAACACAAACGAAGUACGCGAAGUUGCAGCUAUAGCGAACUUUUAAUCUAAACAAAACCCAAAGUCUAAACGAUGCCCUAAGGGCUGUAUAUAUGGAGGAAGAGGGGGGAAUUUCGUGGCCCUUGGUGGAGGGGUCCGAAAUCAACCCUAUCUCUUGUUUCCCCACACAUACGGACUCUAAAAAUAGCCUAUACUUAUGUAUUUCGAAAUUACAUGGGCCUGGCCCAAUAAUAAGGUGACGCAGCACCUAAAAUAGCCUCGGGACGAAAUUUAUGAAGUGGCAUCUUGUAUAUUUCGUCCAAGGCUUCAUGCACCCAUUAUGGUGGCUUCAAAGUCCUGAAAUCAUCACUUGUAACUCCGUUCUUGUUUUCCUUGCGCAUGCCAUCAUCUCCAUGCUUGUUCUUGCUCCAAUGUUCAUCCUUCUCCAAGCUAGGCCCUUCAUUUGUAAGAAAAACAAAUGUAUCCAAUUUAGGCAGCAUCAUAUUCUCAUGAACAUUAGAAUCAUUACCAAGAAACGAAAGUACCUGGUAAUUUAGUUGGCGUGCACGAGCUCUAGUAAUUGGUCCAGUAUGUAUGGCAGCAGGGGCUGUGGGUGUAACAAUUGUAUUGAUGUCCUCAUCAAAGAGGGAGAGAGAAAAAAAGAUAGAGAAAAAAAACGAGAGAAAAAAAAGUAAAAAAAAAGUCAAAGAAAAAAAAGAAAGGAAAAGAAAAAAAAGUGUGAGAAAAAAAGAGAGGAGAAAAAAAAAACAAAAUUCGGAUCUAUCUAGACUCAAUCUCGUAGUUGAAUUCGGAUUGGAAUCUGUUUUGUGCACUGUUCAGUAAAACAGGCAUAACUUCCUCAUAUGAAGUCUGUUUUGGCUCCGCGAGUACUCAAAUGAAAGCUAGCGAUGAGACGCAUCUAAAUAGUUGCAGAAGCUAGUUCAGUAUUUGGCACCUCAACAUCAGCUUCUAAAUAGGUCUACUGCUAUUGUGAUCUUCACUUAUAUCUUGCUGUCCAGGGCUACUUCAUAUCCUUUGUUGAUGCUAGUUGUGCUACGACGUGACCUCAUUAGUGUUCUAGGCUCGCGUCUCUAGUUUGGUCUAGCCUAGGACCAGCACAGUACCGUCGUUGAGCGUUUAUUCAACAUUGCAUCUUUGAAUUGAUUAUUGCUAAUCUUUUGCUACCAUAUAUAGCCAACCCAGCUCCACAUAUUUCUACACCGUGUAUACGUACGCUCCCCUGGCAAUCGCUUUAUUCAAUAUUCGGAGUUACUUGACACCGCUGGUUGCCGAUCACCGCCUGCUGCAUGGUAAGAACUUGUAAGACAUUGAUAUUUGCUUUACUGUGAGCGUUUUACCACCACAUCCUAGUAGUUAUAGGAACAUUAUUUUUGGGUUUUGUUUCUUGUUCUACUAAUCAUGACAGGAUCCAGAGUCAAUUCAUGGGCUUUGUCGAUCGAGGGAGACAUGCCACCACCUUGGCAAAUAGCACAACCGUCACGAGAGGUGCACAAACAUCCAAAUGCACAUGAUCAGGUUAAUGUAUCUAUACCACCAUUUAAUGGCCGUUUUAAACCUGCUUUAUAUAUUGAAUGGGAGUUUGACAUAAAAAAUAUAUUUGCUUCCCAUAAUUUCAAUGAACAUAAAAAGGUUAAGGUUGCGGUUGGUUCUUUCACUGGUUAUGCUUUGGUUUGGUGGAGUGAAUAUUGUCGGUUACACCCUGAUUAUAUACCUACUACUUGGGAUGAUUUGAAACUUGCCAUGCGACAUACUUUCGUCCCUGCUUAUUAUACUCGUGACAUGAUUAAGAAGUUGCAACACUUAAAACAAGGUAGUGAAACUGUAACAAAAUAUUAUGAUGAUUUACAAACUACCUUGUUGCAUUCCUCUUUAGAAGAAAGUGAAGAUGAUUUUAUGAAUAGAUUUUGGGGAGGAUUAAACCGUGAUAUUCAAGAGAUACUAAUUCAUGAAGAGUGUUAUCCUAUGGACCAUUUGUUUCAUCUUGCUUGCAAAGCUGAACAGGAAAUAAAACGACGUGUUGGCCACGAGGAGAACAAGCACACGGUGCACAUUCCAAGAGUUGAUAUGAUUGUUCCUUCAACUACUAGGCAUACUAUGACAACCACAUCCGUUGUUGUCAGGACUACAUCACCUCCACCAUGUGACACAUCACCCCCGAGAGUGGCUACAUCAUCUGAGUUGAUCAUAAGAGGUAAUGACAAAGGUACUGAUCUUCCAUCUCUACAUGAGAAUGAUGAAUGCCUUGUCAAUUUGAAUGCACCAUCUGAUGAGCUACCCACUACUUUGAUCACACCACCUAUUUUAGAGGACUACGUUGAUAAUUUGACUUUGCCAUGUGAUCAAACAACUGAAAUACCAACAAUUUUGAGUGCACCCAUUGAAUUAACUAUUGAUGCAAAAGAACCAAUGUUUAAUCAUUUUGAUAUGACCUCUAAUCUUGGUGAUGAUUCUGUGUUGAAUGACUUAUUGCAUGUUUGCGUAUUUAAGCAUGUUGUAGCAUGUAAAUUUGAUGCAAGUAAGGUUUAUUCACCAAUGUUGGGAUGGUUUAAUGAUGAACAUUGUCAAUCUUUUGAAAUGAAUAAGAGCUUCACUUAUAUGUGCAAACUGAGUUGCAAUAUUUUCAUGCCUUCUACUUCUUGUGCUACUUUUUUGGCUUUAGAUUUUAUGAACUAUGCAAGUUACUCAUCUAUUCAUGUGUCAUAUAUGCAAAAAUCAAGGGAAGUAAAAAUGGAUGACAUAUACAUAUACAACAUGUACACCUUGUCUCUUUUGUUAGCCACAUUUCAGAUUAAGCAACGCCGAGGACGGCUUUAUUUUCAAGAAGGGGAGGAUGAUGAGGACAUGACUACCUUGGAUAUGACCAAAAAUAUUGCAUAUAUGCAUAUUUGUCAGGUGAUUUCUACUGCAAACUAUUCAAUAAUCUAUUUAUGUUAUCCAGAACAAAAAUACUUCACACACUUUUGUGUUUUGUCUAAUUGCAGGUGUAUGGGACAUUUGUACAAUCCACAUAUGAAGAUAAGGAAGAAAGAGAUGUUUAUUUGCUGUCCAAAAAGUUCUCUCACGUCACUUUUGGCCCAACAAGAGAUAGAGUCCAAGUCUAUCACGUUCUGGAUUCAGAUUCGGACUGCACAGACAUACCUGACUGAAAACGCACACAAGUUUUUCAUACGGACUCCGAAUUGGGUGAUUCUUUUUUUGUUGGAAACUAGAUUUCGUGAACUUUCCAACCCAAUUGGAAUCACCUUCAAAUUCGUCCAGAGCGUUGAGUUGUGGACGAAACAAUCUGAUGCUACAGCAGAAUCCGAGUAAAACUACAAGUCCAAAGGUGUUACAUCACCUUCACUUGGGCCCAUUGGCCUUGUACGACCUAGAUUUAGUUUUAGGCUGCCUUGGGACGUCCUCCCACCUCCUUGGCCGCCACCCCUUUGAUAGAGGUGGAGGUGUCCCGUCUUUCAAUGAGAUGAUGGAUUUCGCUUUGGUGGAAGUCGACUUUGACGAUCCGACUACGAACGUGCGAGGACAUCGCGCCUUAGCAAUCGCUAAACCAACUCCGAGAGGUUAUUGACCACGCCGGAGCACGAUCAACCUGACCACGAGGGUCUGUUUCCUGCGAGCAAACGAAGAACAAGCAAGAAACUGAGAUUGCAAUCUGGAUAUUGCGAAUAUAAGAUGAAAGCUUUAUUGAUCAAGGUGGGGUUCUGUGACGCCUUUGUCUGGUCGUUGAACACAAACGAAGUACGCGAAGUUGCAUCUAUGGCGAACUUUUAAUCUAAACAAAACCCAGAGUCUAAACGAUGCCCUAAGGGCUGUAUAUAUGGAGGAAGAGGGGGGAAUUUCGUGGCCCUUGGUGGAGGGGUCCGAAAUCAACCCUAUCUCUUGUUUCCCCACACAUACGGACUCUAAAAAUAGCCUAUACUUAUGUAUUUCGAAAUUACAUGGGCCUGGCCCAAUAAUAAGGUGACGCAGCACCUAAAAUAUCCUCGGGACGAAAUUUAUGAAGUGGCAUCUUGUAUAUUUUGUCCAAGGCUUCAUGCACCCAUUAUGGUGGCUUCAAAGUCCUGAAAUCAUCACUUGUAACUCCGUUCUUGUUCCCCUUGCGCAUGCCAUCAUCUCCAUGCUUGUUCUUGCUCCAAUGUUCAUCCUUCUCCAAGCUAGGCCCUUCAUUUGUAAGCAAAACAAAUGUAUCCAAUUUAGGCAGCAUCAUAUUCUCAUGAACAUUAGAAUCAUUACCAAGAAACGAAAGUACCUGGUAAUUUAGUUGGCGUGCGCGAGCUCUAGUAAUUGGUCCAGUAUGUAUAGCAGCAGGGCCUGUGGGUGUAACAAUGGUAUUGAUGUCCUCAUCAUCCUCCCCUUCUUGAAAUGAAGUCGUCCUCGACGGAAACUCAUCUUCCUCACCCAAAUAAGGCUUCAAAUCUGCAAUGUUAAAAGUGGGACUAACCCCAAAAUCUGCAGGCAGCUCUAGUUUAUAUGCAUUAUCAUUUAUUUUCUCGAACACCUUAAAGGGACCAUCAGCACGUGGCAUUAGCUUUGAUUUGCGCAAAUCAGGAAAUCUAUCCUUACGCAAAUGUAACCAAACAAGAUCUCCAGGUGCAAACACAACAUGUUUUCUACCCUUAUCUCCAGCAAGUUUAUUUUUAGCAUUCAUACGCUCAAUGUUUUCCUUAGUUAACUCAUGCAUUUUUAAAAUCAAUUCAGCACGUUGUUUAGCAUCAAAAUUAACCUUCUCCGAAGAUGGAAGAGGCAACAAAUCAAUAGGUGCACGAGGUAGGAAACCAUACACAACUUCAAAAGGGCACAUCUUAGUAGUAGAAUGCAAUGAACGAUUAUAAGCAAAUUCAAUAUGAGGCAAGCAUUCCUCCCACAUUUUCUUAUUAUUCUUCAAAACAGCCCUAAGCAUAGUAGACAACGUUCUAUUGACUAUUUCAGUUUGUCCAUCAGUUUGGGGGUGACAAGUAGUACUAAAAAGCAGUUUAGUCCCCAACUUAGCCCAUAAACAUCUCCAAAAGUGGCUAAGAAAUUUAGUAUCACGAUCUGAAACAAUAGUAUUUGGCACACCAUGCAAGCGAAUAAUUUCACGAAAGAACAAAUCAGUAACAUUAACAGCAUCAUCGCUUUUAUGACAUGGUAUAAAGUGUGCCAUUUUCGAGAAUCUAUCCACGACAACAAAUAUGCUAUCCCUCCCCUUCUUUGUUCGAGGUAAACCUAAAACAAAGUACAUAGAUAUAUCCUCCCAAGGAACACUAGGUACAGGCAAAGGCAUAUAUAAACCAUGAGGAUUGAGUCGUGACUUAGCUUUUUGACAUGUAGUGCAUCGAGCAAUAAAACGCUCAACAUCCCGUCUCAUCUUUGGCCAAAAGAAAUGUGUAGCAAGUACGUCCUCCGUCUUCUUCACGCCAAAGUGUCCCAUUAAUCCUCCUCCAUGCGCCUCCUGCAACAACAAAAGACGAACGGAGCUAGCUAGAAUGCAUAGCUUGUUAGCACGAACCACAAAUCCAUCGUUAACGACGAACUUGUUCCACAUUCUUCCUUCUUUACAAUUCUGCAUUACAUCUUUAAAAUCAGCAUCAUGCACAUAUUGAUCUUUGAUGGUCUCCAAACCAAAUAUUUUGAAGUCAAGUUGUGAAAGCAUAGUAUAGCGGCGAGACAAUGCAUCAGCAAUAACAUUUUCUUUUCCCUUCUUGUGUUUAAUGACAUAAGGAAAAGUCUCAAUGAAUUCAACCCAUUUAGCAUGCCUACUAUUCAAUUUAGCUUGACUUUUAAUAUGUUUCAAAGAUUCAUGAUCAGAAUGUAUAACAAAUUCUUUGGGCCAUAAAUAAUGUUGCCAUGUUUCUAAAGUCCGAACAAGAGCAUAUAAUUCUUUAUCCUAAGCAGAAUAAUUCAGACUAGGCCCACUCAAUUUUUCAGAAAAGCAUGCAACAGGUUUGCCAUCUUGUAAUAACACACCGCCUAAUCCAAUUCCACUAGCAUCACAUUCAAGCUCAAAAGUCUUAUUAAAAUCAGGAAGUUGGAGUAAAGGAGCAUGUGUCAACUUAUCUUUCAAUACCGAGAAGGCUUCUUCCUGUGCGGUACCCUAAAGAAAAGGCACAUCUUUCUUUGUAAGCUCAUUGAGAGGUGCAGCAAUGGUGCUAAAAUCUCUCACAAAACGCCUAUAGAAUCCAGCGAGGCCAAGAAAACUCCUCACGUGUGUGACCGUUUUGGACUGCGGCCAACUCUCAGUAGCUUCAAUCUUGGCUUUAUCAACUUCAAUUCCCUGUGGAGUAACAACAUAGCCAAGAAAAGAUACUCGGUCGGUGCAAAAGGUGCACUUCCCAAGGUUACCAAACAAACGUGCAUCACGUAAAGCAAUAAAAACAGCACGUAAAUGUUCCAAAUGUUCUUCCAAAGAUCUGUUAUAAAUCAAUAUGUCAUCCAAGUAAACUACCACAAAUCGUCCAAUGAAAGCACGUAAAACUUCGUUCAUUAAUCUCAUGAAAGUACUAGGUGCAUUAGUUAACCCAAAAGGCAUGACUAACCACUCAUAUAAUCCAAACUUAGUUUUAAAUGUUGUUUUCCAUUCAUCUCCCAAUUUCAUACGAAUUUGAUGGUAGCCACUACGCAAAUCAACUUUGGAGAAUAUUGUAGAGCCACUCAAUUCAUCAAGCAUAUCAUCUAGCCUAGGAAUAGGAUGACGAUAACGAAUAGUAAUAUUAUUAAUGCCUCUACAAUCAACACACAUACGUGAUGUACCAUCCUUUUUCGGCACUAGAAUAAGAGGAACAACACAAGGACUAAGGGAUUCGCGUAUAUAACCUUUGUCGAGAAGCUCUUGUACUUGACGCAUAAUCUCCUUCGUCUCCUCUGGAUUGGUAUGGUAUGGUGCACGGUUUGGCAGUGAAGCACCGGGAAUUUAGUCGAUCUGAUGCUCAAUCCCUCGAAUAGGUGGUAAUCCCGGUGGCACGUCUUGUGGAAAGACGUCAGCGAACUCCUGCAAAAUGUUAGUGAUAGCAGGAGGCAAAGAGGAAGGCACGUCCUUGAAUGAAAAUAAUGCCUCUUUGCACACAAAAGCAUAGCAAACAGAUUUGCUGAAAUCUAGCUCAUCAAUAUCAGAUUUGGUGGCAAAUAAACAUGCACUUUUCAAUUUAAUUUCAGAAGCAACACUAGAUGGUUUAUUAUUAGGCUUCAUUUGUUGCUCAAAUUCUUUUGCCACAAUCUGAUUUUCACUCUUAUUCUUCUCUUGUUGUGCUUUAUUAGCUCUAUGAAUAUCAUCUUUCAAAAUAGAAUCAGGAGUCAUAGGAAGCAAAGUAAUAUUUUUAUCCUUAUGAACAAGAGUAUACUGAUUGUUUCUACCAUGGUGUACAGAAUUUUUAUCAAAUUGCCAUGGUCUACCAAGUAAUAAGGAACAUGCUUGCGUAGGUACCACAUCACAAUCAACAUAAUCAGCAUAUGUGGAUAUACUAAAAGGCACACGAACAGUACGUGUUACCUUAACCUUGCCGCUGUUGUUGAACCAUUGGAUGUAGUAAGGAUGUGGAUGUGGUCUUGUGGUGAGAGAAAUCUUGUCCACCAUCUCCAUGCUAGCCAAGUUGUUGCAGCUCCCUCCAUCUAUGAUGACGCGCACAGAACGUUCUUUCACAACUCCCUUGGUAUGGAACAAAUUGUGCCUCUGAUUUUGCUCAGCUUGUGUGACCUGCACACUCAAAACAUGUUGAGCAACUAAACUUUCAUACCUGCCAGCGUCUUCAGGAGCCAUGUAUUGCGUCUCAUGAUCAGAAUCAUCUCCACCAUGUUCUUCACGUGUAAUAAGAGCCAAAGUCUCCUCAUCAUAGUCACUAGCGGACUCAUAUCCACCAUCCGCGGUAGCAAUCAUCACACGCGGAGAUUUGCAUUCUCUCGCAUAAUGACCUCCUCCCUUACAACGACGACAAAUAAUAUCACUUGUGUGCCCUGUUGAUGCCAUGGAAGAAGAAGAACUCCGUGCAGGCCCAGCAGGUGCGCUCUUGGCAGAUAAUGGUGGUUGUGCCUGUUUUCUUGUAUCACGACUGGAGGAGGCACCUAAUUGAGGUGCUGGUGCAGUUGAAGUAGAAGAUGCACGCGGUGUCCAUGAUGAAGGUCGGCCUGCAGAAAAGUUAGUUCGCGCCAAUGCUUGUCGAUCCUGCACUUCACGUUCAGCUUUACAAGCAAGAUGGAAUAAAUGAGUGAUAUUAGUAUACUCCUUAUAGUCUAGAAUGGUCUGAAUCUCUCUAUUUAAUCCACCCAGAAAACGUGCAAGCAUAGCUUCAUUCUCCUCAACAAUACCACAUCUAAUCAUGCCAGUUUGUAAUUCCUGAUAAUAUUCUUCUACAGAAUUUUUUCCUUGUCUUAAGCGCUGUAAUUUUUGAAGCAAUUCACGUUGAUAAUAUGGUGGAACCCAACGAGUACGCAUAGCAGUUUUCAAAGCAGCCCAAGUAGCGGGAAUAGGAUAUAAUCUACAAUGUUCAGACCACCAUACACAUGCAAAACUAGUGAAAGCACAAACAGCAGCAGCAACCCGUCUCUCCUCGGGAUAUUGUAAACAUGUAAAACGUUGUUCAGUUUCUAACUCCCAAGUAAGAUAUAUAUCAGGAACAUAUCUACCCUCAAAUGGUGGAAUGUUCAAUUUCAGUUUAGGAAUAUGGACAUCAUCUCGUACCUGAGGUGGUGGUGCGGGCCUACCAUUACGAAUAUAUACCUGAGGUCGACCUGGUGGUGGUGGUGCUGGUGGCUGCACGUAGUUCGGAUUUUGAUCAACCUCAUCCUCAUAAUCUCCCACAUAAUCAUCAUCCUCCUGGGUACCAGCAGCAGUAGUAGCAGGAGCCAAAGAAGCACCAACAGCAGUAGCAGCGGCACCAGAAUGUUGUCCUGGCUCAAUAGGAACAUGCUGUGCUCGUCCAUACUGAUUCGGAAGGGGGCGUAGUUGUUGUUGUUGCAGAGGUGCGACAGGUGCAGCCGGUGGUGGAAGACGCGCAAGCAGUUCAUUAAAUCUGUUAUCGAGCUUUGUUUCGAACGUCUUCUCAAGGCCAGUAAUCUUCUCCAUGGCCUCUUCAAAAUUAUUCAGCACAUCUUGCACCUGAUCAGUCAUCAUGUGCUGAAACUUAUCAUGAAGCUCCUUGUUCGAUAAAUUCUCCCAGUCAAUCUCGUCGGCUUGUGAUCCUGGCAUGGUUAGCAGCAAUAGAAACAAACAAGAAUAUGAUCCUACAGACUACGAACAAGUGGUGGUGGUGGGUGUCACAAAUCCGUCAAGCAAACCUCAAAUUCUUACCAGUUCUUACCCAGCAGAAGGUGGUGAUCGGCAACCGUUGUAGUCAAAACUCUCAAAGCUUGGAUAGAGCGAUUACCAGGGAGAGUCAAACGCACGACGUAGAUGUAUGUGGAGCUGGGAAGGCUUAUAAUAUGGUAGCAAAAAGGGUCAGCAAUAAUCAAUUCAGAGAUGCAAAGUUGAAUAAACGCUCAACGACGGUACUGUGCUGGUCCUAGGCUAGACUGUGCUAGAGACGCGAGCCUAGAACACCAACAAAAUCACGGCGCGGCACGUAAACAAGGGAAAAGCACACUCUGAAUUUUUUUUCACUCUUUUUUUUUGCGCUCUCUUUUUUUUGCGCUGCUUUUUUUUGCGAAAAAUCACUAUAAUGGCGAGUGUCUCAAAACUCUUCCUAGCUCAAACGGACAGGAUGGGCACGAAAUUUUUUCGACCAAUUUUUUUUUCGACUGCCCGGACCCAAAAACUGGAAACGGGUCAAAAAAAACUUCCUAUAAUGGCACCUGUCUCAAAACACUCAGAAACACCUAAAAAUAGGAUAGCCAGAAAUUUUUUCGAAAAAUGCGUUGUCGAAUUUUUUUUUUCCGAAACCUACUCUGGCAAGGAAACACGAAUCGGAAUCUAGAUGGAUCUCAAAAACAAACCUAAUAUGCAAGGAACUCGGAUUGGUGGUGGAUAUAUGGUGGUGGUAUAUGGCAGCGGUGGUGGUAGCGGUGGUAGUAUAUGGAUAUGGAUCGGUGGUGGUAUAUGGACACGGAUUGGUGGUGGUAUAUGGAUACGGAUUCGGAGCGGUGGCGGAUAAGCGGUGGUGGUAGAUGGCAGGGGCGAUGAUGAUGGUGCGGCGGCGGCGUGACAACUUAUGACCAGAACUCGAAACUCUAAAAGACUAGACUCUAAGACCAGCAACUAGACACGACGAUGCAACCGCAAAUUCAACAAAGCAAAACCCUAAAAAGAUUAUGCAAAGGCUCAGAUUGGUUCGGAUAUGAUGAACUAACCCUAAUUUUUUUUGUGGUUUUUUCGUGGACUGUAGGUAUGAAGAACAGACUCGAUCUAAACUACGAAAAACUGUAAAAUCUCACCGAGCAACCUGGAAAUCUGAUACCACUUGAUAGAGGCGGAGGUGUCCCGUCUUUCGAUGAGAUGAUGGAUUUCGCUUUGCGGGAAGUCGACUUUGACGAUCCGACUACGAACGUGCGAGGACGUCGCGCCUUAGCAAUCGCUAAACCAACUCCGAGAGGUUAUUGACCACGCCGGAGCACGAUCAACCUGACCACGACGGUCUGUUUCCUGCGAGCAAACAAAGAACAAGCAAGAAACUGAGAUUGCAAUCUGGAUAUUGCGAAUAUAAGAUGAAAGCUUUAUUGAUCAAGGUGGGGUUCUGUGACGCCUUUGUCUGGUCGUUGAACACAAACGAAGUACGCGAAGUUGCAGCUAUGGCGAACUUUUAAUCUAAACAAAACCCAAAGUCUAAACGAUGCCCUAAGGGCUGUAUAUAUGGAGGAAGAGGGGGGAAUUUCGUGGCCCUUGGUGGAGGGGUCCGAAUUCAACCCUAUCUCUUGUUUCCCCACACAUACGGACUCUAAAAAUAGCCUAUACUUAUGUAUUUCGAAAUUACAUGGGCCUGGCCCAAUAAUAAGGUGACGCAGCACCUAAAAUAGCCUCGGGACGAAAUUUAUGAUGUGGCAUCUUGUAUAUUUCGUCCAAGGCUUCAUGCACUCAUUAUGGUGGCUUCAAAGUCCUGAAAUCAUCACUUGUAACUCCGUUCUUGUUCCCCUUGCGCAUGCCAUCAUCUCCAUGCUUGUUCUUGCUCCAAUGUUCAUCCAUCUCCAAGCUAGGCCCUUCAUUUGUAAGCAAAACAAAUGUAUCCAAUUUAGGCAGCAUCAUAUUCUCAUGAACAUUAGAAUCAUUACCAAGAAACGAAAGUACCUGGUAAUUUAGUUGGCGUGCGCGAGCUCUAGUAAUUGGUCCAGUAUGUAUAGCAGCAGGGCCUGUGGGUGUAACAAUGGUAUUGAUGUCCUUAUCACCCUUGCUCCUAUAUAAGUAGAUCCAUCUAGUAGCUUUUCCUUGGGAUUUGUUUAGUUAAAAGUUAGCCAUUGCAACUUCGUGUACUACGUUUGUGUCCAACGACCAGACCAAGACCGCUUCCGGAUCCCCACCAUUAUCAAUACUUCAUAUUUAUUUGCAAUAUUCAGAUUGCUUUAUCAUAUUCUUACUAGUUCUUCGAUUGCUUGCAGGAAUAGACCUUCGUGGUCAGGCUAACCGUGCUUCCAGCAUCGUCAGUAACCUCAGGAGAUUGGUUUAGCGAUUGCUAAGGCGCAACGUCGUGCACGUUUGUAGUCGGAUCGUCAAAGUCGUCUCCACCAAAUCGAUAGUUAUCAUCUCAUCGAAAGAUCGGGACCCUCGCCUCUAUCAUUUCUAGUGCAAACUAUUCAAUAAUCUAUUUAUGUUAUCCAGAACAAAAAUACUUCACACACUUUUGUGUUUUGUCUAAUUGCAGGUGUAUGGGACAUUUGUACAAUCCACAUAUGAAGAUAAGGAAGAAAGAGAUGUUUAUUUGCUGUCCAAAAAGUUCUCUCACGUCACUUUUGGCCCAACAGAAGAUAGAGUCCAAGUCUCUCACGUUCUGGAUUCAGAUUCGGACUGCACAGACAUACCUGACUCAAAACGCACACAAGUUUUUCAUAUGGAAUCCGAAUUGGGCACACAAGUACCAGGCCAAUUAAAUUAUCAGGUACUUUCGUUUCUUGGUAAUGAUUCUAAUGUUCAUGAGAAUAUGAUGCUGCCUAAAUUGGAUACAUUUGAGAAAGUACCCAAUUCGGAUUCCGUAUGAAAAACUUGUGUGCGUNNNNNNNNNNNNNNNNNNNNNNNNNNNNNNNNNNNNNNNNNNNNNNNNNNNNNNNNNNNNNNNNNNNNNNNNNNNNNNNNNNNNNNNNNNNNNNNNNNNNNNNNNNNNNNNNNNNNNNNNNNNNNNNNNNNNNNNNNNNNNNNNNNNNNNNNNNNNNNNNNNNNNNNNNNNNNNNNNNNNNNNNNNNNNNNNNNNNNNNNNNNNNNNNNNNNNNNNNNNNNNNNNNNNNNNNNNNNNNNNNNNNNNNNNNNNNNNNNNNNNNNNNNNNNNNNNNNNNNNNNNNNNNNNNNNNNNNNNNNNNNNNNNNNNNNNNNNNNNNNNNNNNNNNNNNNNNNNNNNNNNNNNNNNNNNNNNNNNNNNNNNNNNNNNNNNNNNNNNNNNNNNNNNNNNNNNNNNNNNNNNNNNNNNNNNNNNNNNNNNNNNNNNNNNNNNNNNNNNNNNNNNNNNNNNNNNNNNNNNNNNNNNNNNNNNNNNNNNNNNNNNNNNNNNNNNNNNNNNNNNNNNNNNNNNNNNNNNNNNNNNNNNNNNNNNNNNNNNNNNNNNNNNNNNNNNNNNNNNNNNNNNNNNNNNNNNNNNNNNNNNNNNNNNNNNNNNNNNNNNNNNNNNNNNNNNNNNNNNNNNNNNNNNNNNNNNNNNNNNNNNNNNNNNNNNNNNNNNNNNNNNNNNNNNNNNNNNNNNNNNNNNNNNNNNNNNNNNNNNNNNNNNNNNNNNNNNNNNNNNNNNNNNNNNNNNNNNNNNNNNNNNNNNNNNNNNNNNNNNNNNNNNNNNNNNNNNNNNNNNNNNNNNNNNNNNNNNNNNNNNNNNNNNNNNNNNNNNNNNNNNNNNNNNNNNNNNNNNNNNNNNNNNNNNNNNNNNNNNNNNNNNNNNNNNNNNNNNNNNNNNNNNNNNNNNNNNNNNNNNNNNNNNNNNNNNNNNNNNNNNNNNNNNNNNNNNNNNNNNNNNNNNNNNNNNNNNNNNNNNNNNNNNNNNNNNNNNNNNNNNNNNNNNNNNNNNNNNNNNNNNNNNNNNNNNNNNNNNNNNNNNNNNNNNNNNNNNNNNNNNNNNNNNNNNNNNNNNNNNNNNNNNNNNNNNNNNNNNNNNNNNNNNNNNNNNNNNNNNNNNNNNNNNNNNNNNNNNNNNNNNNNNNNNNNNNNNNNNNNNNNNNNNNNNNNNNNNNNNNNNNNNNNNNNNNNNNNNNNNNNNNNNNNNNNNNNNNNNNNNNNNNNNNNNNNNNNNNNNNNNNNNNNNNNNNNNNNNNNNNNNNNNNNNNNNNNNNNNNNNNNNNNNNNNNNNNNNNNNNNNNNNNNNNNNNNNNNNNNNNNNNNNNNNNNNNNNNNNNNNNNNNNNNNNNNNNNNNNNNNNNNNNNNNNNNNNNNNNNNNNNNNNNNNNNNNNNNNNNNNNNNNNNNNNNNNNNNNNNNNNNNNNNNNNNNNNNNNNNNNNNNNNNNNNNNNNNNNNNNNNNNNNNNNNNNNNNNNNNNNNNNNNNNNNNNNNNNNNNNNNNNNNNNNNNNNNNNNNNNNNNNNNNNNNNNNNNNNNNNNNNNNNNNNNNNNNNNNNNNNNNNNNNNNNNNNNNNNNNNNNNNNNNNNNNNNNNNNNNNNNNNNNNNNNNNNNNNNNNNNNNNNNNNNNNNNNNNNNNNNNNNNNNNNNNNNNNNNNNNNNNNNNNNNNNNNNNNNNNNNNNNNNNNNNNNNNNNNNNNNNNNNNNNNNNNNNNNNNNNNNNNNNNNNNNNNNNNNNNNNNNNNNNNNNNNNNNNNNNNNNNNNNNNNNNNNNNNNNNNNNNNNNNNNNNNNNNNNNNNNNNNNNNNNNNNNNNNNNNNNNNNNNNNNNNNNNNNNNNNNNNNNNNNNNNNNNNNNNNNNNNNNNNNNNNNNNNNNNNNNNNNNNNNNNNNNNNNNNNNNNNNNNNNNNNNNNNNNNNNNNNNNNNNNNNNNNNNNNNNNNNNNNNNNNNNNNNNNNNNNNNNNNNNNNNNNNNNNNNNNNNNNNNNNNNNNNNNNNNNNNNNNNNNNNNNNNNNNNNNNNNNNNNNNNNNNNNNNNNNNNNNNNNNNNNNNNNNNNNNNNNNNNNNNNNNNNNNNNNNNNNNNNNNNNNNNNNNNNNNNNNNNNNNNNNNNNNNNNNNNNNNNNNNNNNNNNNNNNNNNNNNNNNNNNNNNNNNNNNNNNNNNNNNNNNNNNNNNNNNNNNNNNNNNNNNNNNNNNNNNNNNNNNNNNNNNNNNNNNNNNNNNNNNNNNNNNNNNNNNNNNNNNNNNNNNNNNNNNNNNNNNAUCAGGAAUUACAAACUGGCAUGAUUAGAUGUGGUAUUGUUGAGGAGAAUGAAGCUAUGCUUGCACGUUUUCUGGGUGGAUUAAAUAGAGAGAUUCAGACCAUUCUAGACUAUAAGGAGUAUACUAAUAUCACUCGUUUAUUCCAUCUUGCUUGUAAAGCUGAACGUGAAGUGCAGGAUCGACAAGCAUUGGGGCGAACUAACUUUUCUGCAGGCCGACCUUCAUCAUGGACACCACGUGCAUCUUCUACUUCAACUGCACCAGCACCUCCAUCCGGUGCCACCUCCAGCCGUGAUACAAGAAAACAGGCACAACCACCAUUAUCCGCCAAGAGCGCACCUGCGGGGCCUGCACAGCGUUCUUCUUCUUCCAUGGCAUCAACAGGGCACACAAGUGAUAUUAUUUGUCGUCGUUGUAAGGGAGGAGGUCAUUAUGCGAGAGAAUGCAAAUCUCCGCGUGUGAUGAUUGCUACCGCGGAUGGUGGAUAUGAGUCCGCUAGUGACUAUGAUGAGGAGACAUUGGCUCUUAUUACACAUGAAGAACAUGGUGGAGAUGAUUCUGAUCAUGAGACGCAAUACAUGGCUCCUGAAGACGCUGACAGGUAUGAAUGUUUAGUUGCUCAACGUGUUUUGAGUGUGCAGGUCACACAAGCUGAGCAAAAUCAGAGACACAAUUUGUUCCAUACCAAGGUAGUUGUGAAGGAACGUUCUGUGCGCGUCAUAAUAGACGGAGGGAGCUGCAACAACUUGGCUAGCAUGGAGAUGGUGGAGAAGCUUUCUCUCACCACAAGACCACAUCCACAUCCUUACUACAUCCAAUGGUUCAACAACAGCGGCAAGGUUAAGGUAACACGUACUGUUCGUAUGCAUUUUAGUAUCUCUACAUAUGCUGAUUAUGUUGAUUGUGAUGUGGUACCUAUGCAAGCAUGUUCCUUAUUACUUGGUAGACCAUGGCAAUUUGAUAAAAAUUCUGUACACCAUGGUAGAAACAAUCACUAUACUCUUGUUCAUAAGGAUAAAAAUAUUACUUUGCUUCCUAUGACUCCUGAUUCCAUUUUGAAAGAUGAUAUUAAUAGAGCUAAUAAAGCAAAACAGGAGACGAAUAAGAGUGAAAAUCAGAUUGUGGCAAAAGAAUUCGAGCAACAAAUGAAGCCUAAUAAUAAACCAUCUAGUGUUGCUUCUGAAAUUAAAUUGAAAAGUGCAUGUUUAUUUGCCACCAAAUCCGAUAUUGAUGAGCUAGAUUUCAGCAAAUCUGUUUGCUAUGCUUUUGUGUGCAAAGAGGCAUUAUUUUCAUUCGAGGACGUGCCUUCCUCUUUGCCUCCUGCUGUCACUAACAUUUUGCAGGAGUUCGCUGACGUCUUUCCACAAGACGUGCCACCGGGAUUACCGCCUAUUCGAGGGAUUGAGCAUCAGAUUGACUUAAUUCCCGGUGCUUCACUGCCAAACCGUGCACCAUACCGUACCAAUCCAGAGGAGACGAAGGAGAUUAUGCGUCAAGUACAAGAGCUUCUCGACAAAGGUUAUAUACGCGAAUCCCUUAGUCCUUGUGCUGUUCCUAUUAUUCUAGUGCCGAAAAAGGAUGGUACAUCACGUAUGUGUGUUGAUUGUAGAGGCAUUAAUAAUAUUACUAUUCGUUAUCGUCAUCCUAUUCCUAGGCUAGAUGAUAUGCUUGAUGAAUUGAGUGGCUCUACAAUAUUCUGCAAAGUUGAUUUGCGUAGUGGAUACCAUCAAAUUCGUAUGAAAUUGGGAGAUGAAUGGAAAACAGCAUUCAAAACUAAGUUUGGAUUAUAUGAGUGGUUAGUCAUGCCUUUUGGGUUAACUAAUGCACCUAGUACUUUCAUGAGAUUAAUGAACGAAGUUUUACGUGCUUUCAUUGGACGAUUUGUGGUAGUUUACUUUGAUGACAUAUUGAUUUAUAGCAGAUCUUUGGAAGAACAUUUGGAACAUUUACGUGCUGCUUUUAUUGCUCUACGUGAUGCACGUUUGUUUGGUAAUCUUGGGAAGUGCACCUUUUGCACCGACCGAGUAUCUUUUCUUGGCUAUGUUGUUACUCCACAGGGAAUUGAAGUUGAUAAAGCCAAGAUUGAAGCUAUUGAGAGUUGGCCGCAACCCAAAACGGUCACACAAGUGAGGAGUUUUCUUGGCCUCGCUGGAUUCUAUAGGCGUUUUGUGAGAGAUUUCAGCACCAUUGCUGCACCUCUCAAUGAGCUUACAAAGAAAGAUGUGCCUUUUCUUUGGGAUACCGCACAGGAAGAAGCCUUCUCGGUAUUGAAAGAUAAGUUGACACAUGCUCCUUUACUCCAACUUCCUGAUUUUAAUAAGACUUUUGAGCUUGAAUGUGAUGCUAGUGGAAUUGGAUUAGGCGGUGUGUUAUUACAAGAUGGCAAACCUGUUGCGUACUUUUCUGAAAAAUUGAGUGGGCCUAGUCUGAACUAUUCUACUUAUGAUAAAGAAUUAUAUGCUCUUGUUCGGACUUUAGAAACAUGGCAACAUUAUUUAUGGCCCAAAGAUUUUGUUAUACAUUCUGAUCAUGAAUCUUUGAAACAUAUUAAAAGUCAAGCUAAACUGAAUUGUAGACAUGCUAAAUGGGUUGAACUCAUUGAGACUUUUCCUUAUGUCAUUAAACACAAGAAGGGAAAAGAAAAUGUUAUUGCUGAUGCAUUAUCUCGCCGCUAUACUAUGCUUUCACAACUUGACUUCAAAACAUUUGGUUUGGAGACCAUCAAAGAUCAAUAUGUGCAUGAUGCUGAUUUUAAAGAUGUAAUGCAGAAUUGUAAAGAAGGAAGAAUGUGGAACAAGUUCGUCGUUAACGAUGGAUUUGUGUUUCGUGCUAACAAGCUAUGCAUUCCAGCUAGCUCCGUUCGUCUUUUGUUGUUGCAGGAGGCGCAUGGAGGAGGAUUAAUGGGACACUUUGGCGUGAAGAAGACGGAGGAUGAUAGAGGCGAGUGUCCCGAUCUUUCGAUGAGAUGAUGGAUAUCGCUUUGGUGGAAGUCGACUUUGACGAUCCGACUACGAACGUGCGAGGACGUCGCGCCUUAGCAAUCGCUAAACCAACUCCGAGAGGUUAUUGACCACGCCGGAGCACGAUCAACCUGACCAUGAGGGUCUGUUUCCUGCGAGCAAACGAAGAACAAGCAAGAAACUAAGAUUGCAAUCUGGAUAUUGCGAAUAUAAGAUGAAAGCUUUAUUGAUCAAGGUGGGGUUCUGUGACGCCUUUGUCUGGUCGUUGAACACAAACGAAGUACGCGAAGUUGCAGCUAUGGCGAACUUUUAAUCUAAACAAAACCCCAAAGUCUAAACGAUGCCCUAAGGGCUGUAUAUAUGGAGGAAGAGGGGGGGAAUUUCGUGGCCCUUGGUGGAGGGAUCCGAAAUCAACCCUAUCUCUUGUUUCCCCACACAUACGGACUCUAAAAAUAGCCUAUACUUAUGUAUUUCGAAAUUACAUGGGCCUGGCCCAAUAAUAAGGUGACGCAGCACCUAAAAUAGCCUCGGGACGAAAUUUAUGAAGUGGCAUCUUGUAUAUUUCGUCCAAGGCUUCAUGCACCCAUUAUGGUGGCUUCAAAGUCCUGAAAUCAUCACUUGUAACUCCGUUCUUGUUCCCCUUGCGCAUGCCAUCAUCUCCAUGCUUGUUCUUGCUCCAAUGUUCAUCCUUCUCCAAGCUAGGCCCUUCAUUUGUAAGCAAAACAAAUGUAUCCAAUUUAGGCAGCAUCAUAUUCUCAUGAAUAUUAGAAUCAUUACCAAGAAACGAAAGUACCUGGUAAUUUAGUUGGCGUGCACGAGCUCUAGUAAUUGGUCCAGUAUGUAUAGCAGCCGGGGCUGUGGGUGUAACAAUUGUAUUGAUGUCCUCAUCAUCCUCCCCUUCUUGAAAUGAAGUCGUCCUCGACGGAAGUUCAUCUUCCUCACCCAAAUAAGGCUUCAAAUCUGCAAUGUUAAAAGUGGGACUAACCCCAAAAUCUGCAGGCAGCUCAAGUUUAUAUGCAUUAUCAUUUAUUUUCUCUAACACCUUAAAGGGACCAUCAGCACGUGGCAUUAACUUUGAUUUGCGCAAAUCAGGAAAUCUAUCCUUACGCAAAUGUAACCAAACAAGAUCUCCAGGUGCAAACACAACAUGUUUUCUACCCUUAUCUCCAGCAAGUUUAUAUUUAGCAUUCAUACGCUCAAUGUUUUCCUUAGUUAACUCAUGCAUUUUUAAAAUCAAUUCAACACGUUGUUUAGCAUCAAAAUUAACCUUCUCCGAAGAUGGAAGAGGCAACAAAUCAAUAGGUGCACGAGGUAGAAAACCAUACACAACUUCAAAAGGGCACAUCUUAAUAGUAGAAUGCAAUGAACGAUUAUAAGCAAAUUCAAUAUGAGGCAAGCAUUCCUCCCACAUUUUCUUAUUAUUCUUCAAAACAGCCCUAAGCAUAGUAGACAACGUUCUAUUGACUACUUCAGUUUGUCCAUCAGUUUGGGGGUGACAAGUAGUACUAAAAAGCAGUUUAGUCCCCAACUUAGCCCAUAAACAUCUCCAAAAGUGGCUAAGAAAUUUAGUAUCACGAUCUGAAACAAUAGUAUUUGGCACACCAUGCAAGCGAAUAAUUUCACGAAAGAACAAAUCAGCAACAUUAACAGCAUCAUCGCUUUUAUGACAUGGUAUAAAGUGUGCCAUUUUCGAGAAUCUAUCCACGACAACAAAUAUGCUAUCCCUCCCCUUCUUUGUUCGAGGUAAACCUAAAACAAAGUCCAUAGAUAUAUCCUCCCAAGGAACACUAGGUACAGGCAAAGGCAUAUAUAAACCAUGAGGAUUGAGUCGUGACUUAGCUUUUUGACAUGUAGUGCAUCGAGCAAUAAAACGCUCAACAUCCCGUCUCAUCUUUGGCCAAAAGAAAUGUGUAGCAAGUACGUUGAUGAGGACAUCAAUACAAUUGUUACACCCACAGCCCCUGCUGCUAUACAUACUGGACCAAUUACUAGAGCUCGUGCACGCCAACUAAAUUACCAGGUACUUUCGUUUCUUGGUAAUGAUUUUAAUGUUCAUGAGAAUAUGACGCUGCCUAAAUUGGAUACAUUUGUUUUGCUUACAAAUGAAGGGCCUAGCUUGGAGAAGGAUGAACAUUGGAGCAAGAACAAGCAUGGAGAUGAUGGCAUGCUCAAGGAGAACAAGAACGGAGUUACAAGUGAUGAUUUCAGGACUUUGAAGCCACCAUAAUGGGUGCAUGAAGCCUUGGACGAAAUAUACAAGAUGCCACUUUAUAAAUUUCGUCCCGAGGCUAUUUUAGGUGCUGCGUCACCUUAUUAUUGGGCCAGGCCCAUGUAAUUUCGAAAUACAUAAUUAUAGGCUAUUUUUAGAGUCCGUAUGUGUGGGGAAACAAGAGAUAGGGUUGAUUUCGGACCCCUCCACCAAGGGCCACGAAAUUCCCCCCCUCUUCCUCCAUAUAUACAGCCCUUAGGGCAUCGUUUAGACUUUGGGUUUUGUUUAGAUUAAAAGUUCGCCAUAGCUGCAACUUCGCGUACUUCGUUUGUGUUCAACGACCAGACAAAGGCGUCACAGAACCCCACCUUGAUCAAUAAAGCUUUCAUCUUAUAUUCGCAAUAUCCAGAUUGCAAUCUCAGUUUCUUGCUUGUUCUUCGUUUGCUCGCAGGAAACAGACCCUCGUGGUCAGGUUGAUCGUGCUCCGGCGUGGUCAAUAACCUCUCGGAGUUGGUUUAGCGAUUGCUAAGGCGCGACGUCCUCGCACGUUCGUAGUCGGAUCGUCAAAGUCGACUUCCACCAAAGCGAAAUCCACCAUCUCAUCGAAAGACGGGACACCUUUGCCUCUAUCACACCACGUGCAUCUUCUACUUCAACUGCACCAGCACCUCCAUCCGGUGCCACCUCCAGCCGUGAUACAAGAAAACAGGCACAACCACCAUUAUCUGCCAAGAGCGCACCUGCGGGGCCUGCACAGCGUUCUUCUUCUUCCAUGGCAUCAACAGGGCACACAAGUGAUAUUAUUUGUCGUCGUUGUAAGGGAGGAGGUCAUUAUGCGAGAGAAUGCAAAUCUCCGCGUGUGAUGAUUGCUACCGCGGAUGGUGGAUAUGAGUCCGCUAGUGACUAUGAUGAGGAGACUUUGGCUCUUAUUACACGUGAAGAACAUGGUGGAGAUGAUUCUGAUCAUGAGACGCAAUACAUGGCUCCUGAAGACGCUGACAGGUAUGAAUGUUUAGUUGCUCAACGUGUUUUGAGUGUGCAGGUCACACAAGCUGAGCAAAAUCAGAGGCACAAUUUGUUCCAUACCAAGGGAGUUGUGAAGGAACGUUCUGUGCGCGUCAUAAUAGACGGAGGGAGCUGCAACAAUUUGGCUAGCAUGGAGAUGGUGGAGAAGCUUUCUCUCACCACAAGACCACAUCCACAUCCUUACUACAUCCAAUGGUUCAACAACAGUGGCAAGGUUAAGGUAACACGUACUGUUCGUGUGCAUUUUAGUAUCUCUACAUAUGCUGAUUAUGUUGAUUGUGAUGUGGUACCUAUGCAAGCAUGUUCCUUAUUACUUGGUAGACCAUGGCAAUUUGAUAAAAAUUCUGUACACCAUGGUAGAAACAAUCACUAUACUCUUGUUCAUAAGGAUAAAAAUAUUACUUUGCUUCCUAUGACUCCUGAUUCCAUUUUGAAAGAUGAUAUUAAUAGAGCUAAUAAAGCACAACAGGAGAAGAAUAAGAGUGAAAAUCAGAUUGUGGCAAAAGAAUUUGAGCAACAAAUGAAGCCUAAUAAUAAACCAUCUAGUGUUGCUUCUGAAAUUAAAUUGAAAAGUGCAUGUUUCUUUGCCACCAAAUCUGAUAUUGAUGAGCUAGAUUUCAGCAAAUCUGUUUGCUAUGCUUUUGUGUGCAAAGAUGAUAGAGGCAGAGGUGUCCCGUCUUUCGAUGAGAAGAUGGAUAUCGCUUGGUGGAAGUCGACUUUGACGAUUCGACUACGAACGUGCGAGGACGUCGCGCCUUAGCAAUCGCUAAACCAACUUCGAGAGGUUAUUGACCACGCCGGAGCACGAUCAACCUGACCACGAGGGUCUGUUUCCUGCGAGCAAACGAAGAACAAGCAAGAAACUAAGAUUGCAAUCUGGAUAUUGCGAAUAUAAGAUGAAAGCUUUAUUGAUCAAGGUGGGGUUCUGUGACGCCUUUGUCUGGUCGUUGAACACAAACGAAGUACGCGAAGUUGCAGCUAUGGCGAACUUUUAAUCUAAACAAAACCCAAAGUCUAAACGAUGCCCUAAGGGCUGUAUAUAUGGAGGAAGAGGGGGGGAAUUUCGUGGCCCUUGGUGGAGGGGUCCGAAAUCAACCCUAUCUCUUGUUUCCCCACACAUACGGACUCUAAAAAUAGCCUAUACUUAUGUAUUUCGAAAUUACAUGGGCCUGGCCCAAUAAUAAGGUAACGCAGCACCUAAAAUAGCCUCGGGACGAAAUUUAUGAAGUGGCGUCUUGUAUAUUUCGUCCAAGGCUUCAUGCACCCAUUAUGGUGGCUUCAACGUCCUGAAAUCAUCACUUGUAACUCCGUUCUUGUUUCCCUUGCGCAUGCCAUCAUCUCCAUGCUUGUUCUUGCUCCAAUGUUCAUCCUUCUCCAAGCUAGGCCCUUCAUUUGUAAGCAAAACAAAUGUAUCCAAUUUAGGCAGCAUCAUAUUCUCAUGAACAUUAGAAUCAUUACCAAGAAACGAAAGUACCUGGUAAUUUAGUUGGCGUGCACGAGCUCUAGUAAUUGGUCCAGUAUGUAUAGCAGCAGGGGCUGUGGGUGUAACAAUUGUAUUGAUGUCCUCAUCACUUAACCUUGCCGCUGUUGUUGAACCAUUGGAUGUAGUAAGGAUGUGGAUGUGGUCUUGUGGUGAGAGAAAGCUUCUCCACCAUCUCCAUGCUAGCCAAAUUGUUGCAGCUCCCUCCGUCUAUUAUGACGCGCACAGAACGUUCCUUCACAACUCCCUUGGUAUGGAACAAAUUGUGCCUCUGAUUUUGCUCAGCUUGUGUGACCUGCACACUCAAAACACGUUGAGCAACUAAACAUUCAUACCUGUCAGCGUCUUCAGGAGCCAUGUAUUGUGUCUCAUGAUCAGAAUCAUCUCCACCAUGUUCUUCACGUGUAAUAAGAGCCAAUGUCUCCUCAUCAUAGUCACUAGCGGACUCAUAUCCACCAUCCGCGGUAGCAAUCAUCACACGCGGAGAUUUGCAUUCCCUCGCAUAAUGACCUCCUCCCUUACAACGACGACAAAUAAUAUCACUUGUGUGCCCUGUUGAUGCCAUGGAAGAAGAAGAACGCUGUGCAGGCCCCGCAGGUGCGCUCUUGGCAGAUAACGGUGGUUGUGCCUGUUUUCUUGUAUCACGGCUGGAGGUGGCACCGGAUGGAGGUGCUGGUGCAGUUGAAGUAGAAGAUGCACGUGGUGUCCAUGAUGAAGGUCGGCCUGCAGAAAAGUUAGUUCGCCCCAAUGCUUGUCGAUCCUGCACUUCACGUUCAGCUUUACAAGCAAGAUGGAAUAAACGAGUGAUAUUAGUAUACUCCUUAUAGUCUAGAAUGGUCUGAAUCUCUCUAUUUAAUCCACCCAGAAAACGUGCAAGCAUAGCUUCAUUCUCCUCAACAAUACCACAUCUAAUCAUGCCAGUUUGUAAUUCCUGAUAAUAUUCUUCUACAGAAUUUUUCCCUUGUCUUAAACGCUGCAAUUUUUGAAGCAAUUCACGUUGAUAAUAUGGUGGAACCCAACGCGUACGCAUAGCAGUUUUCAAAGCAGCCCAAGUAGUUGGAAUAGGAUAUAAUCUACAACGUUCAGACCACCAUACACAUGCAAAACUAGUGAAAGCACAAACAGCAGCAGCAACUCGUCUCUCCUCAGGAUAUUGUAAACAUGUAAAUCGUUGUUCAGUUUCUAACUCCCAAGUAAGAUAUAUAUCAGGAACAUAUCUACCCUCAAAUGGUGGAAUAUUCAAUUUCAGUUUAGGAAUAUGGACAUCAUCUCGUACCUGAGGUGGUGGUGCAGGCCUACCAUUACGAAUAUAUACCUGAGGUCGACCUGCUGGUGGUGGUGCUGGUGGCUGCUCGUAGAUCUGAUUUUGAUCAACCUCAUCCUCAUAAUCGCCUGCAUACUCAUCAUCCUCCUGGGUACCAGCAACAGCAGUAGCAGGAGCCACAGAAGUAUCAACAGCAGCACCAACAGUUUGGCCAAACGCAAGAGGAACACGGCUCGCUCGGCGAAGGUCUAUUUCGUGACGUGGAGGUAGUCGUUGUUGUUGUUGUUGGAGAGGUGCGUUAGGUGCAGCGGGUGGUGGUGGUGGAAGACGCGCGAGCAAUUCAUUAAAUCUGUUAUCGAGCUUUGUUUCGAACGUCUUCUCAAGGCCAGUAAUCUUCUCCAUGGCCUCUUCAAAAUUAUUCAGCACAUCUUGCACCUGUUCAGUCAUCAUGUGCUGAAACUUAUCAUGAAGCUCCUUGUUCGAUAAGUUCUCCCAGUCAAUCUCGUCGGCUUGUGAUCCUGGCAUGGUUAGCAGCAAUAGAAACACACAAGAAUAUGAUCCUACAGACAACUAAGAAGUGGUGGUGGUGUAUCACAAAUCCGUCAAGCAAAUCUCAAAUUCUUACCAGUUCUUACCCAGCAGCAGGCGGUGAUCGGCAACUGUUGUUGUCAAAAACUCUCAAAGCUUGGAUAGAGCGAUUACCAGGGAGAGUCAAACACACGACGUAGAUGUAUGUGGAGCUGGGAAGGCUUAUAGUAUGGUAGCAAAAAGGGUCAGCAAUAAUCAAUUCAGAGAUGCAAAGUUGAAUAAACGCUCAACGACGGUACUGUGCUGGUCCUAGGCUAGACUGUGCUAGAGACGCGAGCCUAGAACACCAACAAAAUCACGGCGCGGCACGUAAANNNNNNNNNNNNNNNNNNNNNNNNNNNNNNNNNNNNNNNNNNNNNNNNNNNNNNNNNNNNNNNNNNNNNNNNNNNNNNNNNNNNNNNNNNNNNNNNNNNNNNNNNNNNNNNNNNNNNNNNNNNNNNNNNNNNNNNNNNNNNNNNNNNNNNNNNNNNNNNNNNNNNNNNNNNNNNNNNNNNNNNNUUUCGACUGCCCGGACCCAAAAACUGGAAACGGGUCAAAAAAAACUUCCUAUAAUGGCACCUGUCUCAAAACACUCAGAAACACCUAAAAAUAGGAUAGCCAGAAAUUUUUUCGAAAAAUGCAUUUUCGAAAAAUUUUGGGCCUAAACGGAGCGUGGCUACCCGACUCUUUCUUCUUUUUUUUUUUCCGAAACCUACUCCGGCAAGGAAACACGAAUCGGAAUCUAGAUUGAUCCCGAAAACAAACCUAAUAAGCAAGGAACUCGGAUUGGUGGUGGAUAUAUGGUGGUGGUAUAUGGCAGCGGUGGUAGUAUAUGGAUAUGGAUCGGUGGUGGUAUAUGGACACGGAUUGGUGGUGGUAUAUGGAUACGGAUUCGGAGCGGUGGUGGUAGAUGACAGGGCGAUGAUGAUGGUGCGGCGACGGCGUGACAACUUGUGAACAGAACUCGAAACUCUAAAAGACUAGACGCUAAGACCAGCAACUGAACACGACGAUGCAACCGCAAAUUCAACAAAGCAAAUACAGAAAAGAUUAUGCAAGGCUCAGAUUGGUUCGGAUGGGAUGAACUAACCCUAAUUUUUUUUGGCUUUUUCGUGGACUAUAGGUAUGAAGAACAGACUCGAUCUAAACUACGAAAAACUGUAAAAUCUCACCGAGCAACCUGGAAAUCUGAUACCACUUGAUAGAGGCGAGUGUCCCGAUCUUUCGAUGAGAUGAUGGAUAUCGCUUUGGUGGAAGUCGACUUUGACGAUCCGACUACGAACGUGCGAGGACGUCGCGCCUUAGCAAUCGCUAAACCAACUCCGAGAGGUUAUUGACCACGCCGGAGCACGAUCAACCUGACCACGAGGGUCUGUUUCCUGCGAGCAAACGAAGAACAAGCAAGAAACUAAGAUUGCAAUCUGGAUAUUGCGAAUAUAAGAUGAAAGCUUUAUUGAUCAAGGUGGGGUUCUGUGACGCCUUUGUCUGGUCGUUGAACACAAACGAAGUACGCGAAGUUGCAGCUAUGGCGAACUUUUAAUCUAAACAAAACCCCAAAGUCUAAACGAUGCCCUAAGGGCUGUAUAUAUGGAGGAAGAGGGGGAAUUUCGUGGCCCUUGGUGGAGGGGUCCGAAAUCAACACUAUCUCUUGUUUCCCCACACAUACGGACUCUAAAAAUAGCCUAUACUUAUGUAUUUCGAAAUUACAUGGGCCUGGCCCAAUAAUAAGGUGACGCAGCACCUAAAAUAGCCUCGGGACGAAAUUUAUGAAGUGGCAUCUUGUAUAUUUCGUCCAAGGCUUCAUGCACCCAUUAUGGUGGCUUCAAAGUCCUGAAAUCAUCACUUGUAACUCCGUUCUUGUUCCCCUUGCGCAUGCCAUCAUCUCCAUGCUUGUUCUUGCUCCAAUGUUCAUCCUUCUCCAAGCUAGGCCCUUCAUUUGUAAGCAAAACAAAUGUAUCCAAUUUAGGCAGCAUCAUAUUCUCAUGAAUAUUAGAAUCAUUACCAAGAAACGAAAGUACCUGGUAAUUUAGUUGGCGUGCACGAGCUCUAGUAAUUGGUCCAGUAUGUAUAGCAGCCGGGGCUGUGGGUGUAACAAUUGUAUUGAUGUCCUCAUCAUCCUCCCCUUCUUGAAAUGAAGUCGUCCUCGACGGAAGUUCAUCUUCCUCACCCAAAUAAGGCUUCAAAUCUGCAAUGUUAAAAGUGGGACUAACCCCAAAAUCUGCAGGCAGCUCAAGUUUAUAUGCAUUAUCAUUUAUUUUCUCUAACACCUUAAAGGGACCAUCAGCACGUGGCAUUAACUUUGAUUUGCGCAAAUCAGGAAAUCUAUCCUUACGCAAAUGUAACCAAACAAGAUCUCCAGGUGCAAACACAACAUGUUUUCUACCCUUAUCUCCAGCAAGUUUAUAUUUAGCAUUCAUACGCUCAAUGUUUUCCUUAGUUAACUCAUGCAUUUUUAAAAUCAAUUCAACACGUUGUUUAGCAUCAAAAUUAACCUUCUCCGAAGAUGGAAGAGGCAACAAAUCAAUAGGUGCAUGAGGUAGGAAACCAUACACAACUUCAAAAGGGCACAUCUUAGUAGUAGAAUGCAAUGAACGAUUAUAAGCAAAUUCAAUAUGAGGCAAGCAUUCCUCCCACAUUUUCUUAUUAUUCUUCAAAACAGCCCUAAGCAUACUAGACAACGUUCUAUUGACUACUUCAGUUUGUCCAUCAGUUUGGGGGUGACAAGUAGUACUAAAAAGCAGUUUAGUCCCCAACUUAGCCCAUAAACAUCUCCAAAAGUGGCUAAGAAAUUUAGUAUCACGAUCUGAAACAAUAGUAUUUGGCACACCAUGCAAGCGAAUAAUUUCACGAAAGAACAAAUCAGCAACAUUAACAGCAUCAUCGCUUUUAUGACAUGGUAUAAAGUGUGCCAUUUUCGAGAAUCUAUCCACGACAACAAAUAUGCUAUCCCUCCCCUUCUUUGUUCGAGGUAAACCUAAAACAAAGUCCAUAGAUAUAUCCUCCCAAGGAACACUAGGUACAGGCAAAGGCAUAUACAAACCAUGAGGAUUGAGUCGUGACUUAGCUUUUUGACAUGUAGUGCAGCGAGCAAUAAAACGCUCAACAUCCCGUCUCAUCUUUGGCCAAAAGAAAUGUGUAGCAAGUACGUCCUCCGUCUUCUUCACGCCAAAAUGUCCCAUUAAUCCUCCUCCAUGCGCCUCCUGCAACAACAAAAGACGAACGGAGCUAGCUGGAAUGCAUAGCUUGUUAGCACGAAACACAAAUCCAUCGUUAACGACGAACUUGUUCCACAUUCUUCCUUCUUUACAAUUCUGCAUUACAUCUUUAAAAUCAGCAUCAUGCACAUAUUGAUCUUUGAUGGUCUCCAAACCAAAUAUUUUGAAGUCAAGUUGUGAAAGCAUAGUGUAGCGGCGAGACAAUGCAUCAACAAUAACAUUUUCUUUUCCCUUCUUGUGUUUAAUGACAUAAGGAAAAGUCUCAAUGAAUUCAACCCAUUUAGCAUGUCUAUGAUUCAGUUUAGCUUGACUUUUAAUAUGUUUCAAAGAUUCAUGAUCAGAAUGUAUAACAAAUUCUUUGGGCCAUAAAUAAUGUUGCCAUGUUUCUAAAGUCCGAACAAGAGCAUAUAAUUCUUUAUCAUAAGUAGAAUAAUUCAGACUAGGCCCACCCAAUUUUUCAGAAAAGUAUGCAACAGGUUUGCCAUCUUGUAAUAACACACCUCCUAAUCCAAUUCCACUAGCAUCACAUUCAAGAUCAAAAGUCUUAUUAAAAUCAGGAAGUUGGAGUAAAGGAGCAUGUGUCAACUUAUCUUUCAAUACCGUGAAGGCUUCUUCCUGUGCGGUACCCCAAAGAAAAGGCACAUCUUUCUUUGUAAGCUCAUUGAGAGGUGCAGCAAUGGUGCUGAAAUCUCUCACAAAACGCCUAUAGAAUCCAGCGAGGCCAAGAAAACUCCUCACUUGUGUGACCGUUUUGGGCUGCGGGCAACUCUCAAUAGCUUCAAUCUUGGCUUUAUCAACUUCAAUUCCCUGUGGAGUAACAACAUAGCUAAGAAAAGAUACUCGGUCGGUGCAAAAGGUGCACUUCCCAAGGUUACCAAACAAACGUGCAUCACGUAGAGCAAUAAAAACAGCACGUAAAUGUUCCAAAUGUUCUUCCAAAGAUCUGCUACAAAUCAAUAUGUCAUCAAAGUAAACUACCACAAAUCGUCCAAUGAAAGCACGUAAAACUUCGUUCAUUAAUCUCAUGAAAGUACUAGGUGCAUUAGUUAACCCAAAAGGCAUGACUAACCACUCAUAUAAUCCAAACUUAGUUUUAAAUGUUGUUUUCCAUUCAUCUCCCAAUUUCAUACGAAUUUGAUGGUAGCCACUAUGCAAAUCAACUUUGGAGAAUAUUGUAGAGCCACUCAAUUCAUCAAUGAUAGAGGCUAAGGUGUCCCGUCUUUCGAUGAGAUGAUGGAUAUCGCUUUGGUGGAAGUCGACUUUGACGAUCCGACUACGAACGUGCGAGGACGUCGCGCCUUAGCAAUCGCUAAACCAACUCCGAGAGGUUAUUGACCACACCGGAGCACGAUCAACCUGACCACGAGGGUCUGUUUCCUGCGAGCAAACGAAGAACAAGCAAGAAACUAAGAUUGCAAUCUGGAUAUUGCGAAUAUAAGAUGAAAGCUUUAUUGAUCAAGGUGGGGUUCUGUGACGCCUUUGUCUGGUCGUUGAACACAAACGAAGUACGCGAAGUUGCAGCUAUGGCGAACUUUUAAUCUAAACAAAACCCCAAAGUCUAAACGAUGCCCUAAGGGCUGUAUAUAUGGAGGAAGAGGGGGGGAAUUUCGUGGCCCUUGGUGGAGGGAUCCGAAAUCAACCCUAUCUCUUGUUUCCCCACACAUACGGACUCUAAAAAUAGCCUAUACUUAUGUAUUUCGAAAUUACAUGGGCCUGGCCCAAUAAUAAGGUGACGCAGCACCUAAAAUAGCCUCGGGACGAAAUUUAUGAAGUGGCAUCUUGUAUAUUUCGUCCAAGGCUUCAUGCACCCAUUAUGGUGGCUUCAAAGUCCUGAAAUCAUCACUUGUAACUCCGUUCUUGUUCCCCUUGCGCAUGCCAUCAUCUCCAUGCUUGUUCUUGCUCCAAUGUUCAUCCUUCUCCAAGCUAGGCCCUUCAUUUGUAAGCAAAACAAAUGUAUCCAAUUUAGGCAGCAUCAUAUUCUCAUGAAUAUUAGAAUCAUUACCAAGAAACGAAAGUACCUGGUAAUUUAGUUGGCGUGCACGAGCUCUAGUAAUUGGUCCAGUAUGUAUAGCAGCAGGGGCUGUGGGUGUAACAAUUGUAUUGAUGUCCUCAUCAGAGGACGUACUUGCUACACAUUUCUUUUGGCCAAAGAUGAGACGGGAUGUUGAGCGUUUUAUUGCUCGAUGCACUACAUGUCAAAAAGCUAAGUCACGACUCAAUCCUCAUUGUUUAUAUAUGCCUUUGCCUGUACCUAGUGUUCCUUGGGAGGAUAUAUCUAUGGACUUUGUUUUAGGUUUACCUCGAACAAAGAAGGGGAGGGAUAGCAUAUUUGUUGUCGUGGAUAGAUUCUCGAAAAUGGCACACUUUAUACCAUGUCAUAAAAGCGAUGAUGUUGUUAAUGUUGCUGAUUUGUUCUUUCGUGAAAUUAUUCGCUUGCAUGGUGUGCCAAAUACUAUUGUUUCAGAUCGUGAUACUAAAUUUCUUAGCCACUUUUGGAGAUGUUUAUGGGCUAAGUUGGGGACUAAACUGCUUUUUAGUACUACUUGUCACCCCCAAACUGAUGGACAAACUGAAGUAGUCAAUAGAACAUUGUCUACUAUGCUUAGGGCUGUUUUGAAGAAUAAUAAGAAAAUGUGGGAGGAAUGCUUGCCUCAUAUUGAAUUUGCUUACAAUCGUUCAUUGCAUUCUACUACUAAGAUGUGCCCUUUUGAAGUUGUGUAUGGUUUCCUACCUCGUGCACCUAUUGAUUUGUUGCCUCUUCCAUCUUCGGAGAAGGUUAAUUUUGAUGCUAAACAACGUGCUGAAUUGAUUUUAAAAAUGCAUGAGUUAACUAAGGAAAACAUUGAGCGUAUGAAUGCUAAAUAUAAACUUGCUGGAGAUAAGGGUAGAAAACAUGUUGUGUUUGCACCUGGAGAUCUUGUUUGGUUACAUUUGCGUAAGGAUAGAUUUCCUGAUUUGCGCAAAUCAAAGCUAAUGCCACGUGCUGAUGGUCCCUUUAAGGUGUUAGAGAAAAUAAAUGAUAAUGCAUAUAAACUUGAGCUGCCUGCAGAUUUUGGGGUUAGUCCCACUUUUAACAUUACAGAUUUGAAGCCUUAUUUGGGUGAGGAAGAUGAGUUUCCGUCGAGGACGACUUCAUUUCAAGAAGGGGAGGAUGAUGAGGACAUCAAUACCAUUGCUACACCCACAGCCCCUACUGCUACAUAUACGGGACCAAUUACUAGAGCUCGCGCACGCCAAUUAAAUUAUCAGGUACUUUCGUUUCUUGGUAAUGAUUCUAAUGUUCAUGAGAAUAUGAUGCUGCCUAAAUUGGAUACAUUUGUUUUGCUUACAAAUGAAGGGCCUAGCUUGGAGAAGGAUGAACAUUGGAGCAAGAACAAGCAUGGAGAUGAUGCCAUGCGCAAGGGGAACAAGAACGGAGUUACAAGUGAUGAUUUCAGGACUUUGAAGCCACCAUAAUGGGUGCAUGAAGCCUUGGACGAAAUAUACAAGAUGCCACUUCAUAAAUUUCGUCCCGAGGCUAUUAUAGGUGCUGCGUCACCUUUUUAUUGGGCCAGGCCCAUGUAAUUUCUAAAUACAUAAGUAUAGGCUAUUUUUAGAGUCCGUAUGUGUGGGGAAACAAGAGAUAGGGUUGAUUUCGGACCCCUCCACCAAGGGCCACGAAAUUUCCCCUCUCUUCCUCCAUAUAUACCGCACUUAGGGGUCCGUUUAGACUUUGGGUUUUGUUUAGAUUAAAAGUUCGGCAUAGCUGCAACUUCGCGUACUUCGUUUGUGUUCAACGACCAGACAAAGGCGUCACAGAACCCCACCUUGAUCAAUAAAGCUUUCAUCUUAUAUUCGCAAUAUCCAGAUUGCAAUCUUAGUUUCUUGCUUGUUCUUCGUUUGCUCGCAGGAAACAGACCCUCGUGGUCAGGUUGAUCGUGCUCCGGCGUGGUCAAUAACCUCUCGGAGUUGGUUUAGCGAUUGCUAAGGCGCGACGUCCUUGCACAUUCGUAGUCGGAUCGUCAAAGUCGACUUCCACCAAAGCGAUAUCCAUCAUCUCAUCGAAAGACGGGACACCUUUGCCUCUAUCACUCGUCGAGGAUAGGCAUGUCGUCAUGUAGGAGACCUAGCACCAAAGAAGAAAACACACUAGGAGUAGAGGUUAAGUCGUUAGAAAUCAUAGUGGCCUCACAUGCUGUGUCAACUACCUCACUCACUAAGUGUUGUGGCUCACUCACUCCCUCAAGGAUGCUCUCACUCGUAUGGUAGGUGGAGUCACUCAAAUGGCUCUCAACCUCACAUAGGAUGUGUUGCAUGCUCUCAUGUGUGGGGCUAGUGGUGGUCACACUCAUCCUCUCAUAGGAAAUGCUCUCAAUGUCACGUAUGGUGGAGUCACUCAUGUCACUCAUGUGGUGGUGGCUCUCCUCACAUGGCACUUUGGGCAUCUCUUCAUAUGUGGGUGUCGGAGAGGUGUAGGUGCAAAUGUCUCCAUGCGCGGCCGCGUAGCUUGACUCGGAGUAUGAGUCUAAUGUGGGCGCCGUCUUCAUGUUGUUGAAGUGGUUCGCGCGCGUCGCCGUGGUCGAAGGGGAUGGCCCUUGCUCGACCGUCUUGGUGUUGGAGGCCCAUAUGAUGUGGCACCUCGUAGCUCGUCUCCAUGACCGAAGGGAAUUUCCCAUGCUCGGCCAUCUUCCUUGGGGGGCUUCCGAAGAUGGAAGUGUCACCCUCACUUGUAUGUGGUCGCCUUGGACUUGAUGAAGUCGUUGUAGGCGUACUUGUGGGAAGUAGGCGAAGAUGUCGUACGUCCAUAGGCGAAGAUGCCUUGAGAACACUUGGCGAAGAUGCCGAAGUGGUUGAUGUAGCCGUAGCGCCGUCUUGGUGGUGGUCGUCUCGCGGACUUCUUUUAUGCUCAUGAAGCUUCGACUUGGCGUGUUGGGACUUGUGCAUUUGUGCUUGUGGAGCAUCUUCAUGAUGAUGGUGUCGUUGUCGUGCUUGAACUCGAAGGCGUUCGUCGUCGUCGUGCACAUGAUGCUUGGAGGUGACUUGCCCUUCAUGACGAUGUUGAUCACGAACGUGAUGGUGGUCGCCAUGUAGAUGUGGACGAGGACGAGUUGCACUUGCAUCUUUUUCGCGCUCCGAAGAUUUGUGGCUUGAACGUCGUCGUCUUGAGGAUGAUGAAGUGGAAGAAGACUUGAUCAAGGCCCGAAUCUCUUCCAUCCUCGCAUCUUGCUCCUCCUUUUGUGCGGCAAGCUUGUUGUCGAUGUAGUCCAUUUUCCUUGCUUCGGAGUGGAAAAUGUCGAUGGAGAUGUUCUCAAUGCGCUCUUGCAAUCUUGAUUGUGCGCCUUGCAUUUGUCGUUGUAGAUCGAAGAUAGACGCUUUGGAGAUGUAGUUGUUCACACCGUCGUUGUUGUCGUAGACCGGAGAGGGAAUGCCUUGCCUAUCCAUCACAAGACUCGGGCAAAUAUGAGUGGGAGAAAGAGAAGAACUUAUACCAAUGUACCUUGACCGAUGUUGACGAUGAAUCAAGUUCACUCAAAUGCGGACAAUGAAAUAGCACUAUUGGUACCAAUCCUUGUCGGUUCUCACACCUACACAAGUAAAGCUUAUAGUGGAGCUCGGUGAGGAUAGUGGCACAAAAAUUUAAUGCAAAAUGUUAGCAAGAGUCAAUAAUGUUGAAAGAGAUUCACAAAUUCGCAAGUGAAACAAGUAGACCAAUAGCAAUAUGAAAGGCACACGGAAAUGCACACACGGAUAGAUAAAUGGGGUCGUGCAACCAAGGAAUGAGCACAAAAUGUGGAAUCCACGGAAAAUGCUCGUGUUGCACAACUCAAGAGAGACGCUAGCACGAUUGCUCUAUAGGCGGAUACGACACUUGUGCACAACCUAUAAGAUGCAAAAUGGAUAAACUUUCUAUCCCAAGUAUGCUAUAUAUGUAUGGUUCUCGAUGUUUCUCACACAAUGAUCCAAGAUGAUCAAAUAUGAUACCGUAUGAUAUAUUGUGAUGCUAUGGCUAUUGCUUACAAGCUCUUUGCUCUCUUUCUUUUGCUUAAAAGCUUUAUUUCUUUUUUUUUCUUUUUUUAUGGCCACUUUGCACAAUGCACAAACCAAGAUAGCAAUUGUGUAUAUGCGGGAACAAACUUGAGGCACAAUGGAUGGCAUGAUACCAAGAUGAUAUGGUAUGCAUGCAAUGGAUGGUGUAGACCGCUAAUGUGCACAAGUCACGUUGCCGGCAAUACUCAAAUGGCUAGUCUCGAUAGGCAAGUAACGCAAAAUGGGCUAGGGGUUAACAAUGCAAUUGCAAGGGAAUAUACAAAGGUGUCGUCGAGGUUACCGUCCUUUGCGAUGAUGAGUGGCGGUGUUCUUGGUGUAGAUACCAAGAUGAUGGAGACUCGUCCCUAAGUAGCCGAAACACCUUAGGAAACGGAAAAACCGCAAACUCAAAAUCUCAAAUGACAAAUGUCAAAUGGUGGUAGCGGAAAGCGGUGGUGGUGUUGGACUAGGCAAUGCGGAAGUGGAAUGAUGGGCUAUACACGAGUCGGAGUUGAAUUUGCUGUCCCUAAGUAGCCGAAACACCUUAGGAGACACAAGCCACAACUCAAACAAAAUUGGGUUAAGUUGGGGUUGAAAUGUAUGGUGGGCACGUCUAUGCGGAAGUAGUGGUGGUGGUUGAUGAAGAAGCAAUUGUCCCUAAGUAGCCGAAACACCUUAGGAGACUCUAGUCACAACUCAAACAACCACAUAUGCAAUGGGGAACAAAAUGGGUUAGGUUGCGGAAGUCGGUGGUGGUAAUGCGGAUGAUAUGGUGGAAGGCCUAGGCAAACUUGCCAAAUUUUGGAAAAUUUGAUGGAGUCAAAUUGUGUUGGUGGUAUUUUUGUGGGAUGGGGGAUGUCAAUAGCUUCAAAACGAGCUAAAGAACGUCAAAAACGGACUCCGGAUGAAUUAGUUAUGGGCAAAACGGUCAAACUCGGAACGCUAAAACUGGGAUGAUCCGGGUGAUCCGGGUUCGUCAGCUCCGGAUCUGUUUUCUGGGUGCGUGGGGUAUCCGGACGUCCGGGAGAGGGUCCAGCUGAUUCGGGAGGUGUCCGGAUGAUCCGGGAGAAGGUCCGGAUGAUCCGGGCAGGUCAAACUGCUCGGGAUUUCCUCUCGGGGACGAAUUUUUGGGCGGAAAUGGAUGAUUUUCGGGGCAAAAUUUGAUGGAUUUCGUGGAUGGAAGGUGGGGAAACUUGGGGAAAUGCUAGAUCCACUUGAAACCAUGCAAAUCCAUGGAUCAAAAUCAACAAAACAUCAUCAAACCAACAAAUCACAAAAAAAAAUUGGGGCUAUUUUUGGUGGGGAUUUUCGGAUUUAGGACGAAAACAACAAAAUCAAGCUAGAAAAAGGGGGCAGGGGCUCCAAAAACGUGAUCAACAUGGCUCAUGAUACCAUAUGAUGUAGGGUGGAACCCUAUAGCGUCGAUCUUUCACGUUUGGAGUGGAUCCUACGGGGAAUCACGAAGAACACGCGGAAGCACAAAGGGAAACUCGGGGGAAAAUGAGAGGGAAUCACUCAACCAACAAGGAAUCGAUCACACAAGUGCUAGAUCAUCGAAUACAUAGAGUAACAUAUGAUCCACAAUCAACAAAGGGAAAGGAUACAACGGAAUCGUUCUUCUCCAAGAGGAGGCCUUGAUGUUCUUCCCUAAAGAGGGGUCUUGAAUCCGCUUGGGGAUCUUCUCCGGAGAGGUCCUGAUCUCCGAGGAGAAGUAUCCAAGUGGAUGAGCAAAGGCUCUCACACAAAUAUGAGCUAAUCCAAUGCUGAGUCUCAAAGUGAGGAGGAGGAGUCCUAUAUAUAGGCUAGGGGGCGAAGGGGUACAUGGGCUCAGCCCAAGUCGCGCACACAGGCGGGGUCCGGAUGAUCCAGAUGGUGGCCCGGAUGAUCCGGGUGUCGGGGGUCCGGAUGAUCCGGGUGACCGUCCGGAUGAUCCGGCUUCGUCGAGCAGCUUCGGGUGUCUUCGGGCGCGUUAGCCGGAUCGUCCGGCUGGGUGUCCGGAUGAUCCGGGCAAGUCCAGUCUUGCUCCAUUCUUCUUCUUCCUUCUCCUCUUCCAUGCUUGGCCUUGAUCCUUGGAUUCUCCAUGGUCAUCUUGGUUGUACCUGAGUGUAUGCAAGGUCCAUGCAUGAGGUAGUAGUCGUGUCUCAUAUGCGGAAAGUGACGGUUCGAAGAGGAGUGAAUUCACCUUGUGUCCAAUGGCGCAUAGUCGAGGUCUCAUCUUAUGUGUCCUUAGGGCUUGGGGAGUAGUCGGAGUGUACAUGG